rnacentral:lncRNA from 1 species
ACAGCAAGAGCUAGCUUAUUGGUGGCUGCCUGCCUGCUUAUAGCAAGGCGGACGGACGGAGGAGCAUGGAAGGAUCCAUCGGCUGUGCCGCUGUGGAUGAGUCUAGUGGAUCUUGCAGCCGCAGUUUUCGGGGAGGAAGUCGCGGCACCUGUACUUGGUGGUGCCCUUGUCCGUGGACACGGGGACGCAGUUCUUGCAGGUGGCGGCGCACUUGGUGAGGAGGUCGUCGCAGGUCCACACGCCCGACCAGCUGGUGCACUCGCCGCACCAGCACUGCUUCUUCGUCGUCGGCCCUGCGCGGCAGCAUCAUGCGUACUCGCUUUAUUUCGUCACAUGCACCCCGCACAUAUAUACGCGCAGAUUAACUGUAUACACACGAGCUAGCAGCGUCCAAUCAAGCUAGCAGCCAGCUAGAUGAAAUCUCGGCAAGCACACGUACCUGCAGGUCCUUUGGCCACGGCCGCAGAGACCAGAAGGGCCUGGAGAACUAGGAUCGCCAACAGAGUGCUGCUCUUCAUCUUCUCGACCUCUCGCUCUACCGCUUGCUGCCGACCUCUACUACAAGAACGCAAGCUUCGAGUUCGUCACUGCUGAGAAGCACACGUAACUAGGUACUCAAUAUAUAGGCCGGGUGUGUCCUGAUCGAUCGGGCCGGGACACAUGCCAUGUGCACCGGGACUGGCAUCUAUCUUUUUUUAUUUGAAAAAACACGUGUUACGCGAGUCACUGCCAGUAGAUCGAUCGAGUCGUGGAGCUGAGUGCAUGCAUAUCCAUCAUUUUUCUGUAGCCCGCACUAGCAUACAGAGGUCGCUCUAGAUGGUCCAAAAUGGACUGCGGUUACACCGACACCGGCACCAUCAUACAGAGGUUAGUGGGUGUUCAAACAUCGGGUCGGGCACCAGCGUACUCGGUACGGUAAUUUUUUUAUCGAGUGUGAGUGUGUGACUUGAUAAAAGAAAACUCGGUAAAUUGUACAUCGCAACUGUUUCUUUGUUGAAUACUUUUUGUCUUUAUCGAAUGUCACCUGGUGCUCGACAAAAAAAAGUCGUCAUGACAACGACAAGUGAUGAUGACGGACACUUUUGCCAUGUGUACUUACUGACAUUCGGCAAAAGAGUUUUUGUCGAGUGUCUACUAUCCUACCACUCAACCAAGAAAGCUUCAGUGGGCCCCACGGAAGCCUCGGUACCAAGAGCCGCAAACUGACGUUCAAUAAAGAGAGAGCCUUGACGAGUGUCUGUCAGCUUAGCACUCGGCAAAGAGAGCACCAGUGUGAGCCUCUUUGCCAGUUUCUUUGCCGAGUGCGCUGAUCGGCACUCGACAAAGGGAGCUUCUUUGCCGAAUGCUCUGAUUGAGACACUCGACAAAGGUAAUGUCCAUCAGCUGCUGACGAAGCUUUGCCGAGUGCUGGUCAGAGCCAUUUUUAUGCCGAGUGUUCGACGCUCCGAAAAGACUGUUUUCGUCGAGUGCUUUCUUUUGCCGAGUGUGAUGUUCGGCAAAGCACACAUUUUGCCGAGUGUCCGAUAAACUCGGCAAAUCUAUAGGCACUCGGCUAAGAGCCGAAUUCCUCCGGUAGUGGGAUCGGGUUCGGGUUGAGUCAAAGUCGGGUGGUACGACAUUUAGUAUGGUCCAUACCCGAUCCAUGCCUAGUGUCGGAUCGGUUGGGUUAGCAUAUGCGUGCCUUUUUGACGUGUUGAGUCGGUUUUUGUUUAGAUUGAGUCGAGUUUUUAGUUUUGGAUCAGGUUUUUUCGGAUUAGGUCAAUUUUUUGAUAAAAAAAUUAUGGUCCGUAUCAAUUAUUGCGGGUCAAAAAUAAUAGACCAUACUUAUCCAUUAUAUUGGUCAGAUCGAACCAGAUUUUUUUAGACGGGUCAAGUCUGAGUUGGUCAGAUCGAAUCACUUCGAUCCACGAUGAGAUCUAACUGUACGUAAAGCUAAGCUCGGGGCAUCACGGGACCACCGUCGCUCAUGUCGGUCGAUCAGCCCAGGCCCGGCCGCGGUCUCCAUGCAGCAGCUGCGAAGGUUCCUCGUCACAAGUCACAACUCACAAGUCACAACCAGCACGCGCCACCAACACCGUGUACGCGUGUAUCGCGUGUAUGCGCUGCGCUUUGUAUCUGGGACCGUCGCUCGUAUACGGCUGGCAUGCAUGCACAUAGCCACGCGCCCACCCAUAUGCGGCCGAAAACGUCAUCGGAGCAAUGCCUUUUGGCCAGACACCACCAAUAGCAAUAAUGGGUUUUCGAUUGGCUCUCGAUCCAUUUGUGAACAAAGUGAGAUUAGAUUAGUUUAAAUCUCAAAUAAAUCAGAUUUUUCUAAUCUCAUCUAAUUUAUAUGUAAUAAAAAUAAUUAAACAAAGUCUAACAUGAUACCAGCAAACAAACAUAUAAGCCAGUAUCUGGCUUGAGGCGUCGAGUCAUAAAAAUCAGGUGUACAAUUUACGCCGCUGUUAGUGAAAGUUUUGAUUGCAUAUAAUAAGCUGCUUCUAUCCGCGCAUGAUUGUUUGCCCGCAUCUUUAUCUUGAACGGUUACCUGUAAAUGGAAGGCGUAGAUUGUAUGAAACGGAUGCAAAACAUGAUAUUUUGAAGCUAUUUGGCUGCAUUCGUUGGUAUGCUCGAAACAGUCGUAUCCGGCCAGCUAUGGUGGCACCAGCCUGAGCAUCCAAUCAGUUUCUAUAUGAGUAUAGUUUCAUUUACUACUGGUAAACAAAUACUUGUUAAGUCACUAGUACACAGAGUCUCUAUAGUGGCGGCCCUAAAACUAUUUUCACUGGCGUAUUUCAGUGCCGCCUGUUUAGUGGCGGCCCUAAACAAAUAGGUUUCCACUGGCGGUUCCCAAGCCGGGUCCACCUGGUUUUUUUACUGGCGCGCGGUAACUGAAACCGCCAGUGAUAAUUUAUUGGUACCGCAGGCUUUGAGCUCUUUUCUACUAGUGAGUAUCCUAAACAAUUGAUAAAAGCUAUUUUACACUCGUUGUCAAAAAAACAUUUGAUAAAAAAAAUCAGUAAGUGAAUAUUUUUUGUCGGACACUCGACAAAAAACUUAGCCAAGUAUCGAAUAACACUUGUAAAGAAAAACACUCAGCAAAACAAAAAUAAAAAACCCAAAAAACAACAUCUUUAUUUUUAAUUGAGCGAGACAACCAUAAAUUCUAGCAUUUUCACAAUUUGCAAACGCUUCGCGGCCGCUGAGAUCUAAACUUGUGUCCUCUCUCGCGCAAAACCUCCUCUACCCCUAUCUCACUUGUGUCCAUAUAACGUUUUCUGUUAGAUAUUGACUUAUAUUCGAUACUAGGUUGAUCCGAUCUGUAUGGCAGUAGGUCUAUGAACAAGAUAACUCGACUAUAGAGGUAGUGGAAAAGUAAGGUAAAUUUGUUGAAGAUCAGCGGUAAUUAGUUUUAUACCUGAUCAAGAUCGGAUGUGGCCAAGUGAUAGGGAGAGAGACAUCGAACCCGUGUAUACUUCGGCUCGAUCUCCAAACGACCGUAAAACCACAAUCGGAGCUAAUCCACACAAUGCGAGGCAGCUGUAUUGGAACCCGUAAAGCACGAACCAUUGGAUCCCAGAGGAAUUCUUCACAUGUCCAGGUAGAACAAAGGUAGAGUAAGCACUCAACAGCUCGGCUGCGCAAAAUCACUUGGAUCAUCUAAUUCUCAAAGGGUUGCCUUACAUCUUAGACAUAGGGGGAGCAUUUAUACUAGUAACAACCUGCUUUAGACAUGUAUAAACACAAAAAUAAAGUAUAUUAACGAGCUAAUGUGAAGGGGCCUAUUCGGGAAUGCCUCUAGAGCUGAUUACACGUGGUUGUUUGACUUCUACGCAACCUUCAAUAUUUUGAUAAUAACGUCACCUAAGAAUCUCCAAAUAGUGUGGGGUUGGAUGUGUGUUGGAAAGCUGGCUUGCUAAGAUUUCUCACCAUGUAAAUCAAGCAUAAUGAAACUUCGUAGAAUGACACUUUUAAUACGAAAACUUGGUCAUCAAGCAGACUGUUAACCUUCUGGCCAAUAAGCACUAAAAUAGGUCGGGUGCCUUGCUGGGAGAAUCAAUUAAGUCGGCCUUAGAAGCAUUGGAAACUAGACUUUAGAAGCUUUCCAACAAGUGUUUAUGGGCCUUCAUAGCUUUUGGGAAUUAAAAGAUAUGACUAUUUGUUCUGGAUAGUUCUAUCAUGCUGGACUGACUCAAAUAUGAUUCUUCUUUCUGAUUCGCCCUUCAUGUAUUCUACCCUUCAUCUUUGGUGUACCUAAGCAAUAUCAGUAUACACGACUUAGGUAGCAUAAACUUCUCAUUAGUGUUGAAUUGAAAUUCAUAAAGUAGCGUGUGCACCUCUUGUGUUGUAUCUUUUUCGCUUACCUUCGAGUGAUUGGUCCAGUAAGGGCUUUGGUUGGCGUAUAGGUCGGUGAGGUUGGCGUGUUGGUUAGCGUGGUCAUAUCAUUUUCUUCAUGUUGGAAUUAAUGUAUUGUUACAUGGACAAAACAUGGAAAAACCUUGUAUUGCAAACUUCUCGAGAUGGCAUCGACCCUUCAUUUGUCAAAGUUUUCGUCAAGGGGCACAAGGGUCUAGAUUUGGACACCUAGAGAUUCUGUGCGAUGAGAAUGCAACCCAAAAGUUGGUAAGUCCAAAUAUUGUCUCGAAUCUCUAAUUUCAAUGCUCUCUCUCUCUCUCUAUAAUGGAUGGCUAUCGAGUUUGACACGGUGUCAACUUAUGGGGCUGGUGGAGGUGUGUCGCAUGUGAGGUACUUUAUAUAUUGUCAUUUCAUUUCAUAUCGACAACUACAAUUUCAUUUCAUUUCGAUAACUAUGAUUCUAUUUAUUGAAUAUAUUAUAAUACUCUAUGUAGGUUUCCUAUCAGCGACGUCGUUGUGGGCCAUUAAAGUUAUAGUAGGCAGUCCUCCUACUGGACUAGUCGGCCUCGACGAUCAUCUGCAUGGGAGGACGAUCUAAUUAAGAAGCAACGACAAUGCAGCAGAAGAUGUAGUAAAUGCAACAAGAAGUGCAAAUGAUGCAAUCACAAUAGAUGAUGCAGAGUAUGUGGAUGCAACAACAUUUAAUAGCUCGACUUCAAUCUAGUCAUUUGUCAGUUUCCAAAUGAGUCUAAAUACAUAAUUAAUGAUUAAUUUAGUUGCAGGCAUACAGUAGUGGCAGGCCUCAGUAUGGCAUGACUCCGACUACAUCAAUGAACCCCUCGCCUUCACAUGGUGAUGUAUCACAUGUAAACUUGUGUAACUUGAUCAAGUUAGAUUUCUAAACCUUGAACAUGAAAUUGAUUCGCUUGUUAUAGGGUUUCAGGACUGGUUCACAUGACCAAGUGAUGUCGCCACCGAUGUCGUGGGGAUUUGCUCCAUGGCCGUCUCAAAUUCCACCACAUAUACCAUAGAUGGCAUUGUAGAUGCCAUCGAUGAUUGCACCACCCUAGAUGCCUUGGGGAUAUCCUUAUACCGGGCAAUCACAAAUGCCUUGUGGACAUGCUCCAUGGCCAACACAGCCACCUCCAUCACCAGGAGUGGUAAGUUAAGUCUAUUUUGAGUACUUUUCUUUUUUCUCGAAAGGUUUCUAUAUCCUUUCGAACCAAUAGUUUGGACAUGGAGCUAUAUAUACCACCCAAUUGAUCAUUUGAGAUGUGGGAGAGCUAAGGAACAUACUAAAAGGGAAAUGUGCCCUUGGGUCAUUUCUAUAAUGUUUUGGUGAUUAAGUGUCCAACACAUAGUGAGUGAGAUAUUAUGUGCCAAACAAGCAAAAGAGUACAAAUCAUGUAACAAGGUACGUUUCUAGACUUAGUACAUUGUUUUGAGUACUAACAUAUUUUGUCUAAGUGCUAGAAACAGAGAAAAGAAAAGAAGAAAAGAAGAAAAGAAUUGCAUUGGAGUUGGCUCGGUGAAACCAAACUCAGCUCAGUUUGGCACACCGGACUGUCCGGUGGUGCAGGCUGAACUCCGGUGAACAGGCCGCUCUCGAGAAAGUUUGGCGGCGUACGACUAUAAUUCACCGGACUAUCCGGUGGUGCACCGGACUGUCCGGUGAGUCGUCCGCGGUGAAGUCGUCACUCUUGGGAAAAGGAUCAGCGGCGUACGACUAAAAUUCACUGGACUGUUCGGUGGUGCACCAGACUGUCUGGGGAGCCAACGGUCGACUACGCAACGGUCGACCGCGUGGGCGACGCGUGGCCCGCUCCAACGGUCGGUAGGGGGCACCGGACUGUCCGGUGUGCACCGGACAGUGUCCGGUGCGCCAACUGCCACGAAUCUGCAACGGUCGACUGCGCCAAAAUAGGAAGGAAAUCGUGCACCGGACAGCUACAGUGGUUGUCCGGUGGCACACCGGACUGUCCGGUGCACCACCCGACAGAAGGCAAUCUUAGCCUUCCUUGAUGGUCUCCAACGGCUCCUAGCUGCCUUGGGGCUAUAAAAGGGACCCCUAGACGCAUGGAGGAGUAACCCAAGCAUUCACUAAGCAUUCUAAGUCUCCCACACUCUGUCUCCGCGCACUUGAUCGACUGUGUUAGUGAUUUGAGCCCUGUUCUAGUUGUGAACUCUUUGUGCUUCAUUUUGAGCUCAAGUCUUGGUUUGUGUGCGUGUGUGUGUUGCGGAUUUGUGUAUGUUGCUCCCCAACCUUACUCUUGUGCUAUCAUUGUGAUCUUUGUUGUAAGGGCGAGAGACUCCAACUUGUGGAGAUUCCUCGCAAACGGGAAAAAGUGAUAAGGAAGAAAAACCGUGGUAUUCAAGUUGAUCAUUGGAUCACUUGAAAGGGGUUGAGUGCCAUGGCUUGAACUGCCACCGGCUCUGGCUCCGAAAGCUCCAUGCCAUGGCUUGAAUUGCCACCGGCGUCGUCUCCGUCAGGGUCUCCUCCAGCAGCCGGGAUGCCCUAUGGUGGUGCAGGGGGCAUCUCUGGCUGAGGUGCAGGGGAAGGUGAAAGUCGCCUAGAGGGGGGGUGAAUAGGGUGACACUGAAAUUUACAAAAUUAAUCACAACUACAAGCCGGGUUAGCGUUAGAAAUAUAAUUGAGUCCGCGAGAGAGGGUGCAAAACAAAUUGCAAGCGAAUAUGGAAGUGAGACACAAGGAUUUGUUUUACCGAGGUUCGGUUCUCGCAAACCUACUCCCCGUUGAGGAGGCCAAAAAGGCCAGGUCUCCUUCAACCCUUUCCCUCUUUCAAACGGUCCCUCGGACCGAGUGAGCUUUCUCUUCUCAAAUGCUUGGAACACGAAGUUCCCACAAGGACCACCACAAGAUUGGUGUCUCUUGCCUCAAUUACAAGUGAGUUUGAUCGCAAUGAAGAUUGAAAGAAAACACGAUUGCAAAAACCAAGCGACAAGAGCGACAAAUAACACACGGAUCGCUUUCUCUCUCAAGUCACUAAUCACUAAUGAUCUCUUUUCUCAAUUGUGAAACUUGGAGAGAUGGAGGCUUUGAAUGUGUCUUGGAAUGGAUUGCUAGCUCUUGUAUUGAAUGUUGAAGGUUGGAAUGCUUGGGUGAAGUGAAUGGAGGUGGUUGGGGUUGUAUUUAUAGCCACCAACCACUUCCUAGCCGUUGCUCCAUUCUGCCGACCGCGGACGGUCCGCCCGCCUGGUCCGGACGGUCCGCGCCUGUAGAUCAUUUUUCCGAGCCCGUUACCUUCGGGUUUUACGGCGGACGGUCCGCGCCUGAGCCCGGACGGUCCGCGCACGGUCUCGGACAGUCCUUGCUUUUCCUUCGGACGGUCCGUAGUGCAUACUUGGAUUUUUGCAUUGGUUCUGUCCGAGUGUCAUCCUGGUGUUGCGGACGGUCCGCCGCAAGGGCCCAGACGGUCCGCGCUUGGCCUGUUUUUCCAAAAAGCUUCUCCUGUCCGGAAUAAUCUACGGUAUUCCGGACAGUCGAUUUAGUAUAGUUGUAGAUGAACCUUUGACACCUGUAGAACAUAUAAUCUAGAGCAAACUAGUUAGUCCAAUUAUUUGUGUUGGGCAAUUCAACCACCAAAAUUAAUUAGGAACUAGGUGUAAGCCUAAUUCCCUUUCAAUCUCCCCCUUUUUGGUGAUUGAUGCCAACACAAACCAAAGCAAGUAGAGAAGUGCAUAAUUGAACUAGUUUGCAUAAUGUCAGUGUAAAGGUUACUUAGAAUUGCGCCAAUAUAAAUUUUUGCAUGGAUUGUUUCUUUAUUUUUAACAUUUUGGACCACGCUUGCACCACUUGUUUUGUUUUUGCAAAUUCUUUUGUAAAUCCUUUUCAAAGGUCUUUUGGAAAAUAGUCAAAGGUAAAUGAAUAAGAUUUUGCGAAGCAUCUUUCAAGAUUUGAAAUUUUCUCCCCCUGUUUCAAAUGCUUUUCUUUUGGCUAAAACAAAACUCCCCCUAAAUGAAAUUAUCCUCUUAGUAUUCAAGAGGGUUUUGAUAUAUCAAUUUUGAAAUACUACUUUCUCCCCAUUUUGAUCAUAAUAAGAUACCAAUUUGAAAUUUCCAUUUGAAAAUCAUUUUAAAUUUAGGUGGUGGUGCGGUCCUUUUGCUUUGGGCCAAUACUUUCUCCCCCUUUGGCAUGAAUCGCCAAAAACGGAUACUUGGAAUGAAAUAUAGGCCCUUAGCUAGCUACUUUCUCCCCUUUGGCAAAUAAAACAUAUAAGUGAAGAUUAUACCAAAGCUGGAGAGUGAUGCAGAGCGACGGCGAAGGAUGAGUUGCGGAGUGGAAGCCUUUGUCUUCGCCGAAGAUUCCAAUUUCCUUUCAAUACACCUAUGACUUGGUUUGAAAUAGACUUGAAAACGCAUUAGUCAUAGCAUAUGAAGGAUACAUGAUCAAAGGUAUAUAAAAGAGCUAUGUGUGCAAAUCAACAAAAGAAGUUCCUAGAAUCAAGAAUAUUUAGCUCAUGCCUAAGUUUGUUAAAAGUUUGUUCAUCUAGUGGCUUGGUAAAGAUAUCGGCUAAUUGAUCUUUAGUAUUAAUGUAUGAAAUCUUGAUAUCUCCCUUUUGUUGGUGAUCCCUAAGAAAAUGAUACCGAAUGGCUAUGUGUUUAGUGCGGCUAUGCUCGACGGGAUUAUCCGCCAUUUUGAUUGCACUCUCAUUAUCACAUAGCAAAGGAACUUUGGUUAAUUUGUAACCGUAGUCCCGCAGGGUUUGCCUCAUCCAAAGUAAUUGCGCGCAACAGUGGCCUGCGGCAAUAUACUAGGCUUCGGUGGUAGAAAGAGCUACCGAAUUUUGCUUCUUUGAAGCCCAAGACACCAAGGAUCUCCCCAAGAACUGGCAAGUCCCCGAUGUGCUCUUUCUAUUAAUCUUACACCCCGCCCAAUCGGCAUCCGAAUAACCAAUCAAAUCAAAUGUGGAUCCCUUAGGAUACCAAAGCCCAAACUUAGGAGUGUAAGCCAAAUAUCUCAAGAUUCGUUUUACGGCCGUAAGGUGAGCUUCCUUAGGGUCGGCUUGGAAUCUUGCACACAUGCAUACAGAAAGCAUAAUGUCCGGUCGAGAUGCACAUAAAUAGAGUAAUGAGCCUAUCAUCGACCGAUAUACCUUUUGAUCGACGGAUUUACCUCCCGUGUCGAGGUCGAGAUGCCCAUUGGUUCCCAUGGGUGUCUUGAUGGGUUUGGCGUCCUUCAUCCCAAACUUGUUUAGAAUAUCUUGAGUAUACUUUGUUUGGCUGAUGAAGGUGCCCUCUUGGAGUUGCUUCACUUGAAAUCCUAAGAAGUACUUCAACUCCCCCAUCAUAGACAUCUCAAAUUUCUGUGUCAUGAUCCUACUAAACUCUUCACAUGUAGAUUCGUUAGUAGACCCAAAUAUGAUAUCAUCAACAUAAAUUUGGCAUACAAACAAAUCAUUUUCAAGUGUUUUGGUAAAGAGUGUAGGAUCAGCUUUUCCGACUUUGAAUCCAUUUGCAAUAAGGAAAUCUCUAAGGCAUUCAUACCAUGCUCUUGGGGCUUGCUUGAGCCCAUAAAGCGCCUUAGAGAGUUUAUACACAUGGUUAGGGUACUCACUAUCUUCAAAGCCGGGAGGUUGCUCAACAUAGACCUCCUCCUUGAUUGGUCCAUUGAGGAAGGCACUCUUCACGUCCAUUUGAUAAAGCUUGAAGCCAUGGUAAGUAGCAUAGGCUAAUAAUAUAUGAAUUGACUCAAGCCUAGCUACGGGUGCAUAGGUUUCACCAAAAUCCAAACCUUCGACUUGUGAAUACCCCUUGGCCACGAGUCGAGCUUUGUUCCUUGUCACCACACCAUGCUCGUCUUGCUUGUUGCGGAAGACCCACUUGGUUCCUACAACAUUUUGGUUAGGACGUGGAACCAAAUGCCAUACCUCGUUCCUCGUGAAGUUGUUGAGCUCCUCUUGCAUCGCCAUCACCCAAUCCGAAUCUUGGAGUGCUUCCUCUACCCUGUGUGGCUCAAUAGAGGAAACAAAAGAGUAAUGCUCACAAAAAUGUGCAACCCGAGAUCGAGUGGUUACCCCCUUAUGAAUGUCGCCGAGGAUGGUAUCGACGGGGUGAUCUCGUUGGAUUGCUUGGUGGACUCUUGGGUGUGGCGGCCUUGGUUGUUCAUCCUCCUUGUCUUGAUCAUUUGCAUCUCCCCCUUGAUCAUUGCCGUCAUCUUGAGAUGGCUUAUCUCUUUGAUCUUCUCCUUCAUCAACUUGAGCCUCGUCCUCAUUUUGGGUUGGUGGAGAUGCUUGCGUGGAGGAGGAUGGUUGAUCUUGUGCAUUUGGAGGCUCUUCGGAUUCCUUAGGACACACAUCCCCAAUGGACAUGUUCCUUAGCGCGAUGCACGGAGCCUGUUCUUCACCUAUCUCAUCAAGAUCAACUUGCUCUACUUGAGAGCCGUUAGUCUCAUCAAACACAAUGUCACAAGAAACUUUUACAAGUCCUGAGGACUUGUUAAAGACUUUAUAUGCCCUUGUGUUUGAGUCAUAUCCUAGUAAAAAGCCUUCUACAGUUUUAGGAGCAAAUUUAGAUUUUCUACCUCUUUUGACAAGAAUAAAACAUUUGUUACCGAAAACUCUAAAAUAUGAAAUAUUUGGCUUUUUACCGGUUAGGAGUUCAUAGGAUGUCUUCUUGAGGAUUGGGUGUAGAUAUAACCGGUUGAUGGAGUAGCAAGCGGUGUUGACCACCUCGGCCCAAAACCGAUCCGGUGUCUUGUACUCAUCAAGCAUGGUCCUUGCCAUGUCCAAUAGAGUUCGAUUCUUCCUCUCCACUACACCAUUUUGUUGUGGCGUGUAGGGAGAAGAGAACUCAUGCUUGAUGCCCUCUUCCUCAAGGAAGCCUUCGAUUUGAGAGUUCUUGAACUCCGUCCCGUUGUUGCUUCUGAUUUUCUUGAUCCUUAAGCCGAACUCAUUUUGAGCCCGUCUCAAGAAUCCCUUUAAGGUUUCUUGGGUUUGAGAUUUUUCCUGCAAAAAGAACACCCAAGUGAAGCGAGAAUAAUCAUCCACAAUAACUAGACAGUACUUACUCCCGCCGAUGCUUAUAUAAGCGAUCGGGCCGAAUAAAUCCAUGUGUAGGAGCUCCAGUGGCCUGUCACUAGUCAUGAUGUUCUUGUGUGGAUGAUGAGACCCAACUUGCUUUCCUGCUUGGCAUGCGCUACAAAUUCUGUCUUUCUCAAAAUGAACAUUUGUUAGUCCCAAAAUGUGCUCUCCCUUUAGAAGCGUAUGAAGAUUCUUCAUCCCAACAUGGGCUAGUCGGCGGUGCCAGAGCCAACCCAAGUUAGUCUUAGCAAUUAAGCAAGUGUUGAGUUCAGCUCUAUCAAAAUCUACCAAGUAUAGCUGACCCUCUAACACUCCCUUAAAUGCUAUUGAAUCAUCACUUCUUCUAAAGACAGUGACACCUACAUCAGUAAAUAGACAGUUGUAGCCCAUUUGACAUAGUUGCGAAAUAGAAAGCAAAUUGUAAUCUAAAGAAUCUACAAGAAAAACAUUGGAAAUAGUAUGGUCAGGUGAUAUAGCAAUUUUACCCAAUCCUUUGACCAAACCUUGAUUUCCAUCCCCGAAUGUGAUAGCUCGUUGGGGAUCUUGGUUUUUCUCAUAUGAGGAGAACAUCUUCUUCUCCCCUGUCAUGUGGUUUGUGCACCUGCUGUCGAGUAUCCAACUUGAGCCCCCGGAUGCAUAAACCUACAAAACAAUUUUAGUUCUUGAUUUUAGGUACCCAAACGGUUUUGGGUCCUUUGGCAUUAGAAACAAGAACUUUGGGUACCCAAACACAAGUCUUUGACCCCUUGUGUUUGCCCCCAACAAACUUGGCAACUACCUUGCCGGAUUUGUUAGUAAGCACAUAAGAUGCAUCAAAAGUCUUAAAUGAAAUGUCAUGAUCAUUUGAUGCACUAGGAGUUUUCUUUUUAGGCAACUUAGCACGGGUUGGUUGCCUAGAGCUAGAUGUCUCACCCUUAUACAUAAAAGCAUGGUUAGGGCCAGAGUGAGACUUCCUAGAAUGAACUCUCCUAAUUUUGCUCUCGGGAUAACUGGCAGGGUCUAAAAUGUAACCCUCGUUAUCCUGAGGCAUGGGAGCCUUGCCCUUAACAAAGUUAGACAAAUUUCUAGGAGGGGCACUAAGUUUGACAUUGUCUCCCCUUUGGUAGCCAAUGCCAUCCUUGAUGCCAGGGCGUCUCCCAUUAUAGAGCAUACUUCUAGCAAAUUUGAACUUUUCAUUUUCUAAGUUAUGCUCGGCAAUUUUAGCAUCUAAUAUUGCUAUAUGAUCAUUUUGUUGUUUAAUUAAAGCCAUGUGAUCAUGAAUAGCAUUGAUAUCAACAUCUCUACAUCUAGUACAAAUGGAAGUGUGCUCAAUGGUAGAUGUAGAGGGUUUGCAAGAUUUUAGUUCUACAACCUUAGCAUGCAACAUAUCAUUCUUAGUUCUAAGGUCGGAAAUAGUAGUAUUGCAAACAUCAAAAUCUUUAGCCUUAGCAAUCAAAUUUUCAUUUUCUACUCUAAGGCUAGCAAGAGAAUCAUUCAAUUCCUUAAUCUUAGCAAGCAAAUCAUCAUUAUUAUUUCUAAGAUUGGGAAUUGAGACAUCACAAACAUGAGAAUCAACCUUAGCAAUUAAUCUAGCAUUUUCAUUUCUAAGGUUUUUAAUAGUCUCAUGGCAAGUGCUUAGCUCACUAGACAAUUUUUCACAUUUUUCAACUUGUAGAGCAUAAGCAUUUUUAACCUUAACAUGCCUUUUAUUUUCCUUGAUUAGGAAGUCCUCUUGGGAGUCCAAGAGAUCAUCCUUCUCAUGGAUGGCACUAAUUAAUUCAUUUAAUUUCUCCUUUUGUUGCAUGUUUAGGUCGGCAAAAAGGGUACGCAAAUUAUUCUCCUCAUCACUAGCAUUAUCAUCACUAGAGGAUUCAUAUUUAGUGGAGGAUUUAGAUUUAACCUUCUUCCUUUUGCCGUCCUUUGCCAUGAGACACUUGUGGCCGACGUUGGGGAAGAGGAGUCCUUUGGUGACGGCGAUGUUGGCGGCGUCCUCGUCGGAGGAGGAGUCGGUGGAGCUCUCGUCCGAGUCCCACUCCCGGCAAACAUGGGCAUCGCCGCCCUUCUUCUUGUAGUACCUCUUCUUUUCUCUCCUCUUUCCCUUCUUGUCGUCGCCCCUGUCACUGUCACUAGAUAUAGGACAUUUUGCAAUGAAAUGACCGGGCUUACCACACUUGUAGCAAACCUUCUUGGAACGGGAUUUGUAGUCCUUCCCCUUCCGUUGCUUGAGUAUUUGGCGAAAGCUUUUGAUGAUUAAAGCCAUCUCCUCAUUGUCGAGCUUGGAGGCGUCAAUUGGUUGUCUACUCGGUGUAGACUCCUUCUCCUCCGUCGCCUUAAAUGCCACCGGUUGCGCUUCGGACGUGGAGGGUUCGUCAAGCUCGUUGAUCUUCUUUGAGCCUUUAAUCAUACAUUCAAAGCUCACAAAAUUCCCGAUUACUUCCUCGGGAGUCAUUAGUGUGUAUCUAGGAUUACCACGAAUCAAUUGAACUUGAGUAGGGUUAAGGAAAAUAAGUGAUCUCAGAAUAACCUUAACCACCUCGUGGUCAUCCCAUUUCUUGCUCCCGAGGUUGCGCACUUGGUUCACCAGGGUUUUGAGCCGGUUGUACAUAUCUUGUGGCUCCUCUCCUUGGCGAAGACGGAAGCGACCGAGCUCCCCCUCGAUCGUUUCCCGCUUGGUGAUCUUGGUGAGUUCAUCACCCUCCUGUGCGGUCUUGAGUAGGUCCCAAAUCUCUUUUGCAUUCUUCAACCCUUGCACCUUGUUGUAUUCCUCCUUGCUUAGAGAGGCUAGGAGUAUGGUUGUAGCUUGAGAGUUGAAGUGCUCGAUUUGGGCCACUUCGUCUGUAUCAUAGUCUUCAUCCCCUACGGAUGGUACCUGUGCUCCAAACUCAACAACAUUCCAUAUACUUUUGUGGAGUGAGGUUAGAUGAAAUUUCAUUAAAUCACUCCACCUAGCAUAAUCUUCACCAUCAAAGGUUGGCGGUUUGCCUAAUGGAACGGAAAGUAAUGGAGUAGGUCUAGAUGUACGAGGAUAGUGUAAGGGGAUCUUACUAAACUUCUUGCGCUCUUGGCGCUUAGAAGUUACGAACGGCGCAUCGGAGUCGGAGGUCGAUGUUGAUGAAGUGUCGGUCUCGUAGUAGACCACUUUCCUCAUCCUCUUGUGCUUGUCGCCUUUCCGAUGCGACUUGUGGGAAUAAGAUUUUUCCUUCUUCUCUUUGUGGUGAGAAGAAGAAGAUCUUUUCUCCUUCCGUUUGGAGGAGUCCUUCUUCUUCUCCUUCCUCUUGGUGCGGGACUCUUCCGAUGAAGUGCUCCCGUGGCUCGUAGUGGGCUUGUCGCCGGUCUCCAUCUCCCUCUUGGUGUGAUUCCCGGCAUCACUUCGAGCGGUUAGGCUCUAAUGAAGCACCGGGCUUUGAUACCAAUUGAAAGUCGCCUAGAGGGGGGGUGAAUAGGGCGAAACUGAAAUUUACAAAAUUAAUCACAACUACAAGCCGGGUUAGCGUUAGAAAUAUAAUUGAGUCCGCGAGAGAGGGUGCAAAACAAAUUGCAAGCGAAUAUGGAAGUGAGACACAAGGAUUUGUUUUACCGAGGUUCGGUUCUCGCAAACCUACUCCCCGUUGAGGAGGCCACAAAGGCCGGGUCUCUUUCAACCCUUUCCCUCUCUCAAACGGUCCCUCGGACCGAGUGAGCUUUCUCUUCUCAAAUGCUUGGAACACGAAGUUCCCACAAGGACCACCACAAGAUUGGUGUCUCUUACCUCAAUUACAAGUGAGUUUGAUCGCAAUGAAGAUUGAAAGAAAACAUGAUUGCAAAAACCAAGCGACAAGAGCGACAAAUAACACAUGGAUCGCUUUCUCUCUCAAGUCACUAAUCACUAAUGAUCUCUUUUUUCAAUUGUGAAACUUGGAGAGAUGGAGGCUUUGAAUGUGUCUUGGAAUGGAUUGCUAGCUCUUGUAUUGAAUGUUGAAGGUUGGAAUGCUUGGGUGAAGUGAAUGGAGGUGGUUGGGGUUGUAUUUAUAGCCACCAACCACUUCCUAGCCGUUGCUCCAUUCUGCCGACCGCGGACGGUCCGCCCGCCUGGUCCGGACGGUCCGCGCCUGUAGAUCAACGGCGGACGGUCCGCGCCUGAGCCCGGACGGUCCGCGCACGGUCUCGGACAGUCCUUGCUUUUCCUUCGGACGGUCCGUAGUGCAUACUUGGAUUUUUGCAUUGGUUCUGUCCGAGUGUCAUCCUGGUGUUGCGGACGGUCCGCCGCAAGGGCCCGGACGGUCCGCGCUUGGCCUGUUUUUCCAAAAAGCUUCUCCUGUCCGGAAUAAUCUACGGUAUUUCGGACAGUCGAUUUAGUAUAGUUGUAGAUGAACCUUUGACACCUGUAGAACAUAUAAUCUAGAGCAAACUAGUUAGUCCAAUUAUUUGUGUUGGGCAAUUCAACCACCAAAAUUAAUUAGGAACUAGGUGUAAGCCUAAUUCCCUUUCAGAAGGUGGCCUCUCAGACUCAACCUCCCACUAAGGCGAGGGGGAAGAGUGUCACACCCGGGUUUCGGGGCACCAAAGCCCGGGCGCGAACAUAAUCACCAGGUGUGCUGGGACCAAGUCUCACACAUAUGAUGAAUCAUGGCACAUGAUCGAAUGUCACAUCUUUACUAUAUAACAGGAGUUCUAUACAAAAUAGAUAAUUACAUUAUAAGGAGACAACGGUCCAGCAACCCAAAGUUGACUGGGAGACGACGGCCUAGAUCUCUCACGAACACGUCACAUCAUCCUCCAUGCGCCUCAUCCUGUGGUACCUGUUCUUGACCUGUGGGGGGUGUGAGACAGCAAGAGUGAGCUCACAUACGUUCAUAGCUCAACAAGUUGUGGGGAAUAAUGUGCAUGAACUCGCCAAAGGUGGGAGCUCACGUGAAGUGUAAGGCUUACCAAAGAGGAUGGUUGAAGAUGAGCAUUGCUUUUAAAGUUGGUCAAAAUUUUAUUAGCAAUUACUAAGUAUAAGUAAAUACCAACCCAAUUAAGUAGUAGAACAAAAGUAACAACAUCACCUGCGAUGCAAUGCAUAUGACAAUUUGAAUUUAGUUCCAUAAAUUAAUCAUGUGAGGGUCUGAGCUGCUCAUGGCCGUGAGCACGGCUAGUAUACCAGUUUUACACUCUGCAGAGGUUGCACAUCUUUACCCACAAGUCAUGUUACCCAUCUGCCAAGGGAUCGCGACUUCCCAUACACCUCUACCGAGGAGGCGAGGCAGGGUAACACUACGAGGCCUUUACAAAGUUCCACUAGCUUAAGAAAACCCGCUACAGUUUAUAGGAAGCUCCAAUGCAGGGUUCUUGCCUGACCGCCAUCGCAGCAAAAUCAACAAAGGACCUCCCUACACUGACCACUCCCCUACUGCCCUUGCCCCUUUCGGGUAAGGUAGUCUUCCACUAGCUUUCCUAAUUAAUCAGCCAAGGGCGUCCCAUUAAACCCUUGUGGUAGCACUGUUUUCCCGGGUGGUCGCUCCAUGUUCCAAUUAACAUAAUGAUCUUAUCAUGAACAGUAAUAAUAAAUAGAUAAUAAAAGUGUGAUCACGAAUAAUGUAUCUUCAUACCCAAAACCACAUAAAGCACUAGCAAGUACUACCCAAAAAGUUCAGUGGUAAACAAGGUAUAAAGAUAGACAAACUAGGGUAACCUAUUGGGUCCCAUCAAAAUUAACCUAUGCAGAUCAUUAUGAUUAAUCAGAACAUGGCUGGGUAAAAAGAAGUGAUCAAGGGCACAACUUGCCUGGGACUUGAGAUUCCAGGUACCAGGAUGAUCUUCAGGUGACACGUGACCUCACCGCUAUUCGUAGCAAUACAAACAAACAUGGUAUAUGCAACAUUAACAUCACACCAAACAUAAGCACAAACUAUGAAAUAAUAUUCCAUGCGUCGCUACGAGAUCGUAGGAACGAUAAUCACUAAAUUCGGAGCUACGGUUGUUAAGUUAGGAAUUUCUGAAGUUAUUUAAUACCUAGAAUAGAGUUAUUCAUGUGAAUAAUUUUAAAUCAAGUUUCAUGGUUAGACAAAGGUACUAGGUAAUAAACAAUACUUUAACAAAAUUAAUGCCACUGGAUUAAUCAAUUUGGAGCUAAAUUCAUCAAGUUAUGAAUUUUCUAAGUUUAUCAUAUUUAUUUUUAUCCUGAAAAUCAUUUUAGAUUUUAUUUCCUGAAAUUCCCAGACUCUGGACGACGGCCAUUAUUUCUCGAAAACUUGGGGGCUAACACGUGAAAUCCCCCAGACACAGAGAACUCCGCACAGGAUGGCGGGUUGAUUCCCCAUAACCCAAGGGGCUCUUUUACAAUUUUUACGUUGUCGAAGGGGCACGGGACUGUUAGGACCGUCCGAUGAAGAUCUGGCUGCCACGAUUAAAUCAAUUAUACGCCUGAACCGGUAUCUAGCAUCGACCGUCAGAUCUCGGACCGAUGGCUGCGAUCGAAUGCGCGAACGGGUAUUACCUGUGUUUGAUCACAACCGUCCGUACGGGGAUCAACGGUCCAGACCGGACUUGCCCUAUCUGCCACCCAGACCUGGAGGAGCAGCGGUCCGUGAUGGCGCCACCCAAUGCAGCGGCGGAGCCCCGCCGGGGCGCCCCCAAUCUUGGUGAUCACAAGAUUGAAAUCCCCAACUAAAGCGGUCUUAAACGAUAAGUACACCAAAGCGAAUUACUCGGGUAAAUCCUUACCGCAGAAUGAACAACGAAGACUCAUGCCCACGGAGAAGACGGUUCUACGGCGGUCCUUGAAGUCCGGCAAGGAUCAACGAGCCGCCAGAAGUCCAUGCGUAGAAUUGGCACAAGAAGAUUACCCAUGUGCUGGCGAACCACCGUAACCCCCACCAGGCCCUCAAACCCCGAUGCAUGGGCAAGGGUGUAUCGAUGGCGAGGCACGACUCUGUAGUAUGGAGGGAACUCCAGUGAACGAUUGGCCAUGGUCGGGACUAGACCCGAGCAACCACCAAGCACGGAGGGAUCCCCAGUCCACGAUGAAGCCCCUGAUAGCCCAAUCGAUGCUGGUCAAUCGGUGGUGGCGUGGAUACACGGAGGCGGCCUGAUCUACAUCUCGCACAUCUCGCAUCAAGUCGUUAGCGCCACAGGCGCCGCGAUGAUUGCCGCCGAGGAGGGAUGGGGACACAGGGGUUGCAAGGGAGCCGAUUUUAUCCCCAAGAACGGAUGUAGUCCGAGUAGGCGUAGAUCGAGGAGCUGAACUCCACCAUACAAGAGAGUUUGUUGCACGCGCAAAGCUUGGGAGGUAGGCAACAAGAGAAUCGGAGGAUCCCAACGAUCGUUCUAGAAGGUGUUUCUGCCACAUGGGACCCACACGUAAGUGAAAUACCUUGGCGCACUCAGUCAUGGGCCAGGCGGGUAACACACCGGGCCGAUGGCCAGGGGUUUGGCUGGGCCAAAAUUGAGGUAGCUGGCCCAACACAGGUAGUUUUCUAUUUUCUUUUUUUUUCCUUUUACAUUUUCUUAUUUCUAUUUUGUUAUUGAUUUCUUUCGUUUUUUAUUUUAAAUUCAAAUACAAUUUGAUCACCAAUAUUAAAUGCACAAUCUUAAAAAAAAUACUCAACAUGAAAUACAUGGUUCAUUAUAUUUUAUAUAUCAAAUAUUUAUUUAGUCAAAUGAAAUGCACCACAAAAAGAAAUAUUAGCAUGAGAUGCAUACUUCUUAUUUAUUUAUUGGUCACUUGACUAAUCUGAUACUAUUGAUUGAAUAUGCACAAAGAAAGAAAAACCAAAUAAUCUCCAAAAGUUUUAUAAUUCUAAAACACCCACUUAUAAGCAUAUUUAUUUAUUUUUUUUUCUUAUACAAAUUUUGGGCUUUAUAAAUCCUACCCCCUUAACAGAAAUCUCGUCCUCGAGAUUUGCAAGAAAAGGGAUACAAUAGGUUUGGUUUAAAAUUUUAGUUUCUCAUUGGGUUUUGGAAAUCAAAGUUUUGUUCAAGUUUUUUUUCAUAACAUUUAGUAGACGAUUUGGAAUAUAUGUAUAUUGUAUGUCUAUCCAUAUAUUAUGUCACAUGAGGCACGGUUAUGGCAAGGGUAUAAUAAGGACAAACUUCAUCCAGAACUGUGGAUCUUGAUUCCGCUGGCGAUUCAACUUGAUCUUUGAAGACUUGAGUUGAUGCUUAUGCUUCUUUGACGUGGUUGGUCUUCUUUGGCCUUUCUUUUUGGAGUUGCCAUCCGAGUUAAGGACAUAUAGUUAGGAUAGCCAGGGUACACGAGGUAGGUAGGUUUGAACAAAGUUUUACUUUGCUUUUAGGACAAAUGGACUAAGUAGCCUGUGAGGUAGGUUAUGUUGUUUGUUCAAGGACGAGUUGGUUUGUCGUUCUUAAUUUAGUGCAGAGUGCAAUAAUUUAAAAUAUGUUUUAUAGGGGUAGAGUCUCAUUUAUUUUACCACUAUCAACUGGUUAAAUGAUUGACCUUAGGUUAGCUCAACUUAAGGUUAGACUUCGUUAGGUUAGAUUAAUCCAUCACAUUAGAUCAGAUCUAGGUUAAUUGUUAUGACUAAAUAAGAUCUCAUUAAUUUGGAUUAGAUCAUGGUUGUUACCUUAGGAUGAGAUAAGCAAAGUUUUUAGGAUAAAACGAAUCUGUCAAGGUGAGAUGAAUUUAUUGAGAUAAGAGAGAAUCUUUUAAGCCAAGAUGGAUCUAUUUAAAAAUAGAUACACUUUAAUGAAGGAUAAUAUAGGUUGUUUAGUUGUCUUAUGAAUUUUAUUUAUUUAUAUUUAUGCCUAUAUGUAUAUGCAGAUGUAAUUGUGGACAUUACUCCACAACUCAUCACACUCAAUCAAAGAUCCAAAUCAAACAAGUAUCAUAAGAACAAACAUUCAAGCGUAUAGAUACCAAUAUAAAAAAAUAGUUUUGUUUUUCUUCCUAGGAUUAGGUCUCCUAUUCCUAAAAGUCACUUUAAGCACAGAAUUUCAAAGUGUGAAAUCCACAUUUGUCUCUAGAAUGAAAAGGUAAGAAUAAUCAGAGUAAAGCGGAAAUAGAUGAGAAAAGAUUAAGAAGAGUUUAGAAAGGACCAAAGUAGCAAAGGUAAGUAAGUAUUGGUUGUCCAGUUUUAUCUAGGUUUCGUCCUACAAUCAACAUUCCUCUGAUACCACUUCUGUCACACCCGGGUUUCGGGGCACCAAAGCCCGGGCGCGAACAUAAUCACUAGGUGUGCUGGGACCAAGUCUCACACAUAUGAUGAAUCAUGGCACAGGAUCGAAUGUCACAUCUUUACUAUAUAACAGGAGUUCUAUACAAAAUAGAUAAUUACAUUAUAAGGAGACAACGGUCCAGCAACCCAAAGUUGACUGGGAGACGAUGGCCUAGAUCUCUCACGAACACGUCACAUCAUCCUCCAUGCGCCUCAUCCUGUGGUACCUGUUCUUGACCUGUGUGUGGGGGGGGGUGUGAGACAGCAAGAGUGAGCUCACAUACGUUCAUAGCUCAACAAGUUGUGGGGAAUAAUGUGCAUGAACUCGCCAAAGGUGGGAGCUCACGUGAAGUGUAAGGCUUACCAAAGAGGAUGGUUGAAGCUGAGCAUUGCUUUUAAAGUUGGUCAAAAUUUUAUUAGCAAUUACUAAGUAUAAGUAAAUACCAACCCAAUUAAGUAGUAGAACAAAAGUAACAACAUCACCUGAUGCAAUGCAUAUGACAAUUUGAAUUUAGUUCCAUAAAUUAAUCAUGUGAGGGUCCGAGCUGCUCAUGACCGUGGGCACGACUAGUAUACCAGUUUUAUACUCUGCAGAGGUUGCGCAUCUUUACCCACAAGUCAUGUUACCCAUCUGCCAAGGGAUCGCGACUUCCCAUACACCUCUACCGAGGAGGCGAGGCAGGGUAACACUACGAGGCCUUUACAAAGUUCCACUAGCUUCAGAAAACCCGCUACAGUUUAUAGGAAGCUCCAAUGCAGGGUUCUUGCCUGACCGCCAUCGCAGCAAAAUCAACCAAGGACCUCCCUACACUGACCACUCCCCUACUGCCCUUGCCCCUUUCGGGUAAGGUAGUCUUCCACUAGCUUUCCUAAUUAAUCAGCCAAGGGCGUCCCAUUAAACCCUUGUGGUAGCACUGUUUUCCCGGGUGGUCGCUCCAUGUUCCAAUUAACAUAAUGAUCUUAUCAUGAACAGUAAUAAUAAAUAGAUAAUAAAAGUGUGAUCACGAAUAAUGUAUCUUCAUACCCAAAACCACAUAAAGCACUAGCAAGUACUACCCAAAAAGUUCAGUGGUAAACAAGGUAUAAAGAUAGACAAACUAGGGUAACCUAUUGGGUCCCAUCAAAAUUAACUUAUGCAGAUCAUUAUGAUUAAUCAGAACAUGGCUGGGUAAAAAGAAGUGAUCAAGGGCACAACUUGUCUGGGACUUGAGAUUCCAGGUACCAAGAUGAUCUUCAGGUGACACGUGACCUCACCGCUAUUCGUAGCAAUACAAACAAACAUGGUAUAUGCAACAUUAACAUCACACCAAACAUAAGCACAAACUAUGAAAUAAUAUUCCAUGCGUCGCUACGAGAUCGUAGGAACGAUAAUCACUAAAUUCGGAGCUACGGUUAUUAAGUUAGGAAUUUCUGAAGUUAUUUAAUACCUAGAAUAGAGUUAUUCAUGUUAUGAAUUAAUCAAUUUGGAGCUAAAUUCAUCAAGUUAUUCAUGUUAUUUAAUGCCACUGGAUUAAUCAAUUUGGAGCUAAAUUCAUCAAGUUAUGAAUUUUCUAAGUUUAUCAUAUUUAUUUUUAUCCUGAAAAUCAUUUUAGAUUUUAUUUCCUGAAAUUCCCAGACUCUGGACGGCGGCCAUUAUUUCUCGAAAACUCGGGGGCUAACACGUGAAAUCCCCCAGACACAGAGAACUCCGCACAGGAUGGCGAGUUGAUUCCCCAUAACCCAAGGGGCUCUUUUACAAUUUUUACGUUGUCGAAGGGGCACGAGACUGGUAGGACCGUAUGAUGAAGAUCUGGCUGCCAUGAUUAAAUCAAUUAUACGCCUGAACCGGUAUCUAGCAUCGACCGUCAGAUCUCGGACCGAUGGCUGCGAUCGAAUGCGCGAACGGGUAUUACCUGCGUUUGAUCACAACCGUCCGUACGGGGAUCAACGGUCCAGACCGGACUUGCCCUAUCUGCCACCCAGACCUGGAGGAGCAGCGGUCCGCGAUGGCGCCACCCAAUGCCGCGGCGGAGCCCCGCCGGGGCGCCCCCAAUCUUGGUGAUCACAAGAUUGAAAUCCCCAACUAAAGCGGUCUUAAACGAUAAGUACACCAAAGCGAAUUACUCGGGUAAAUCCUUACCGCAGAAUGAACAACGAAGACUCAUGCCCACGAAGAAGACGGUUCUACGGCGGUCCUUGAAGUCCGGCAAGGAUCAACGAGCCACCAGAAGUCCAUGCAUAGAAUUGGCGCAAGAAGAUUACCCAUGUGCUGGCGAACCACCGUAACCCCCACCAGGCCCUCAAACCCCGAUGCACGGGCAAGGGUGUAUCGAUGGCGAGGCACGACUCUGUAGUAUGGAGGGAACUCCAGUGAACGAUUGGCCAUGGUCGGGACUAGACCCGAACAACCACCGAGCACGGAGGGAUCCCCAGUCCACGAUGAAGCCCCCGAUAGCCCAAUCGAUGCUGGUCAAUCGGUGGUGGUGUGGAUACACGGAGGCGGCCUGAUCUACAUCUCGCACAUCUCGCAUCAAGUCGUUAGCGCCACAGGCGCCGCGAUGAUUGCCGCCGAGGAGGGACGGGGACACAUGGGUUGCAAGGGGGCCGAUUUUAUCCCCAAGAACGGAUGUAGUCCGAGUAGGCGUAGAUCGAGGAGCUGAACUCCACCAUACAAGAGAGUUUGUUGCACGCACAAAGCUUGGGAGGUAGGCAACAGGAGAAUCGGAGGAUCCCAACGAUCGUUCUAGAAGGAGUUUCUGCCACAUGGGACCCACACGUAAGUGAAAUACCUUGGCGCACUCAGUCAUGGGCCAGGCGGGUAACACACUGGGCCGAUGGCCAGGGGUUUGGCUGGGCCGAAAUUGAGGUAGCUGGCCCAACACAGGUAGUUUUCUAUUUUCUUUUUUUCCUUUUACAUUUUCUUAUUUCUAUUUUGUUAUUAAUUUCUUUCGUUUUUUAUUUUAAAUUCAAAUACAAUUUGAUCACCAAUAUUAAAUGCACAAUCUUAAAAAAAUACUCAACAUGAAAUACAUGGUUCAUUAUAUUUUAUAUAUCAAAUAUUUAUUUAGUCAAAUGAAAUGCACCACAAAAAAAAAUAUUAGCAUGAGAUGCAUACUUCUUAUUUAUUUAUUGGUCACUUGACUAAUCUGAUACUAUUGAUUGAAUAUGCACAAAGAAAGGAAAACCAAAUAAUCUCCAAAAGUUUUAUAAUUCUAAAACACCCACUUAUAAGCAUAUUUAUUUAUUUUUUUUCUUAUACAAAUUUUGGGCUUUAUAAAGAGUCCUGCUACUCCUGCUCCUGCUCCUGGCAUCGACGCUCCUGCUCCUCGUGCAGGCGACGAUGCAGUCUCUCCAGAUGACUGGACUGACCUGACACUGUGCGACGCAGUGGACGCUCCGCCAGGCGAGAAGGCAAAAAGGGGAUCACAGACUUACGUGCAGUGCACCUGAUACGGGCCAUUUACAAAAGACAUCGUAAGCACAAGAGUAAGAGUAGAACUAUAAGACCAGGAAGUGAACAGAGAGAAAAGUGAGACAAAACUUUUUGAGAUAAGUAGGUAACAUAGAGUUGGUCAAGAUGACCAACUUUUGAAAAGACUCUAAGGUCAAGGUAAGAGUAAGGGUCUAUAGUCCUUAGGUCGACCAUUCUAGUCUAGGUUAGCGGUCCUACAGUCAGCUUGGCUUUGAUACCACUUAUGUCACACCCGGUUUUGGAAGGCAAACCGAAUGCGAACCAUGUACGUGCCAGGAUCAGAACUCACGUACACAGCGAUUACAUAAUUGGACAUCAUCACACAAUGCUUGAAAUAAAUAGCGAAAGGUACUUUAUGAAAGUUCCUUUUGCUCGGGAACAGGAUCUGGAUGUUGCCUAGAGGGGGGGUGAAUAGGCGGAUAAAAAUUGUCACUUUGAAAACUGAAAUUCUUACUCUACUCGAAGGCUGGAUCGCAGUGGAAUGAAAUACCCUUCGAGUAGGUUGCAGCGGAAUAGAAGAUCAUGUCUCAAAAUGUCCUACACUUCAAAUAUAACUUGUACCAUAGAUAAGUAUUGAAGUGCAGAUAUAAAGAGUAGAUACGACAGAGAGACAGCACACAAUACAGAGUGACGCACACAGACACAGGGAUUUAUCCCAAGGUUUGGCCAAGCCUAAAAUGCUUGCCUAGUCCUCGUUGGAGUUAGCCACACCUGGGCUUGGAGUCUAUUUCAACUCCUUCCUCCAUUUGCUCAGAUCUGUUAGUAUGACAGAUAGAGCCUUCCACUAUGUUGAGUUGGGUUACAACAAAGCCGUAGCUGCUUACAAUCUUCUUGAUAGCACUCUGGCAGAGUAACGAUACACUCAAGACUAUGCUCUAGCUCUUAGCAGCACUCCUCCACUCUCUAAAGGCUUAUAGCUUUGCCUUCUAUACAAACUAGAGAGAUUCACACAAGAGGGAGAGUGAGAAUUGAUCCGAGUGAUGUAUGCUAUUGUUGGCUGCACUUCUAUACUUGUUGGAGGCGCCUAGGGGUCCCUUUUAUAGACCCAAGGGCCUAGGAGCCAUUGGAAUUCAUUUUGGAAGGCAAUAUUUGCUUUCUGUCGGGUGGCGCACAGGACAGUCCGGUGCACCACCGGACAGGUCCUGUAGCUUGUUCGGUGCGCGAUCUCCUUCCAAAUCAGGCUCAGCUGACCGUUGGAGCAACAGUCGUCUUGGCUCACCGGACACUGUCCGAUGCACACCGGACAGUCCGGUGCGCCAACUAUCCGUUGGUCCAAGCCACGCGUCGCCCGCUGAUCGCGCUGCCGACCGUUGGUGCAGUCGACCAUUGGCUCACCGGACAGUCCGGUGCUCCACCGGACAGUCCGGUGAAUUAUAGUAGUACACCGCCAAACUAUCCCGAGAGUGGCCUGUUCACCGGAGUUCAGCCCGGCGCACCGGACAUUGUCCGGUGCACCAUCGGACAGUCCGGUGUGCCAGACUGGGCUGAGUCUUGGCUGUACACAGCCAAGCCUUUUGCAUCUCUUUUCUUUUCUUCUUCUUUCUAUUUCUAACACUUAGACAAAUAUAUUAGUAUACAAAAACCAAUGUACUAAGUCUAGAAACAUACCUUCUCUUUGAUUCUCACUUUUUUAACAUUUGGCAUGAUUGAGAAUGAUGUUGGACUCAUAAACCAUCAAGUCAACCUGACUUGAUCUAGAUUGACAUUUCUGAGCUCCAACAUCCUGCAAAGGUCACAUAGAAUAUCUCCAAGCAUAGGAACAGCCCAAACUAAAGGUCAAGGUGCACUUAGCUCUUUUGGGCUGCUUCUAGUCCUGAUUUUGACAUUGGUUCUCCUUUCAGUGACCUUGUUCACUUUUUGAGCUUGGUCUUGAGCCUUAUGACUUACACCACACAAUUGUAGAUGUUACCUCAUUGGUUGUAAGUCAUGUACUUAUGUAGUGUUCCUCGAUGUACCAUAACUCUUCUUAACUCGAUCAACCUUGAUUCCGCAAGUCUUCUUCUUCACCCUUGGCUUUGGGUUCCUGGUCUCCUUGACUUUCUCCCGUGCACUCGGUACCUCAAAGCUCUUCUUGCUUCCAUCCUUGGUCUGAUCGGUUGUCUCCAAGUUAUGCACAUCAAGUCUCACUUUAGCAAUGUCCAUCUUUCUUGUGAUGUCCAUUAUCUAUAGAUAAUUCCGUCUUUGGACCAUCACACUUGUUUACUUGUGUUGAACCUUGUUAGCUUUGCAUUCAGCACCUGUUCAACACUUAACACACUUGUUAGUCCUUUAAUUGGGUUGUCAUCCAAACACCAAAACCCACAAGCACCAAAACCCACAAGAGAGCUUUCAAUCUCCCCCUUUUUGGUGAUUGAUGGCAACACAAUUAAAGCUUACAUAAGAAUAAGAUUUAAAGCACAAAUUUUGAAUACUAAGUUUAUAGAAUGCUCCCCCUAAAUAUGUGCUUACAUCAAAAUCUUAAUUUUUGCCUUAUAUGCCAAAUUGCACAUACUUAGGCUAACUCGAAGCAUUACUACACCUUAGCACCUGUGGGAUGCAUUGUGUCACUAAUUAAACCGUGAUGCAUAUGACACAUAGAUGCAUAAAAUCAGAGUUAAACACCAAUUGAAUAGAUAUUCCACAGAAAUAUCAACCUACCACUUUUCACCAUUAAGAUACCAAAUUAAAACAAUUUUAAAGCACCAGAACCACAUGGAUAUCUAUUACAGGAUAAACACAGAAGAUACUAAAUGACACCAGAACCACAUGAAUAUCUAUUACAGGAUAAACACAGAAGAUACUAAAUGAUUCAUAUCAACGGAAACACUGAUUUUGCAUUAUCACCAUAUAAUACAAUAAGAAGCAUAAGUAGUAUCAACAAAACUAACACAUUCAGUAUCAACAAAACUAACACAUUCUUCCCUAAGACUCAAGGAAACCCCUUUAGGAUAAGCUUUCCUCUCAGGUUGAGAUAAGCUUUAAUGCACAAUUUCUCCCCCUUUGACAUCAAACACCAAAACCAUAUUCAGGCAAGAACAUAGAAUGAUGUCAAGGGACAGCAGGGUAUUGAGCAGGUAAAUUUUAACACACUAACAUUACUCCCCCUUACACAUUGAACAUAUGCAACACAAGCAUUUGGAGGAAAGUUAAGAUACAUAUACGCAAAAGAUCAAUACUUCCUUUUGUACCUUUACCAUGUUGUGGUGUACUUUCCAUCUUGAAAGUUUAAUCUUUAGGGAGCUUCUCCACUUUUGUGCCUCACCCUUUAUCCUAACCUUUUCUUGUUGCUAAGACACCAAGCUUAGAGCAAGUUAUAUUAUUGUGGUACAAGAUGAAGCUUCUAUUCUAGUGAUUACUAAAAGAUAUCAAUUGAAGCAAACUACCACGACUACCAAUUGAAAAAUCAUUACUGUUAUAGUUGCAUGAUAUUUAAAGAUAAGCAUCUAGUAUCACCUAAAUAUUAUGGAGCAUGAGCAAUCUAUAAGGAUGUAAUUACUCACAACUUAAGAUACCAAAUACUUGUCUUAUGGAGAUACCCAAGUCCUGAUUGCUUCAUUUCCUGCUCAUCUUCCCUUUUCCACCUUGAGACUAUACAAGAUUACUCAAGAAACAAUUAGUCUCAAAAGACACAAGUUAUGUGUGCUCCCCCUAAAGUUGUGCAUCAAGUAUUUGAAUGACUUGCACUUUGCACAUUCUAGCUUCCUCAGAACUAGAGGGGAUCACAACAUAUCUUUGUCAAGGCAUACUCUAUCAAUUUCAUCACAAAGAGAUACCAAUUGAAUAGUUGACUUAAUACAACCAUGCAUGCCUCAAGGAGUAUAACAUUUUACAAGCAACCUAGGCAUGCUCCAUACAUGAUAAUCAUUGCACCACAUAUACCAAUUGAAAACUACAAGAUCAUGCAUAUAAAGCGCAAUGUCUAAGUACACCGAGAUUAAGAAGAAUUUUCUUAGGUACACUAAGGGAAACAACAUUUUAAGGCAUAAGGCACCUAUGCCAAGAUACUACCAGUUGAAAGGCAAGAACAUAGCUAUGAUCAUAAUCAACGGAACUUCAAAAUUUUCAAUGAAAUUGCACAGUUCCAUUCUCCAUACCUUUGCCUUUUCCUGAAUUGCCAUGAGAGCAUCAGUUGUCACCAAUUUGGUGCUCCUUUUGCUCAUGUACCUUAUAACUCAGGAAGGUGCAUUAGUGGCACAACAUGGAUUUGGUAUACACAUAUUAUCAUAAUAGGGUAAUUAUUUGAACAUGGACUAAACAAGAUGUCAUGCUUGCACACAUAGGUUACUCAUUAAACACCAUAUAGCAUGACUUAAAGAGAUACAGGUUUAUCCAUUAACACAAAAAGAGUUAAUCAUAGUGAAUAUAUCGAUUGAAAAGCUACCCAUUGAAUGAUUCAAAAGAUAUAACAUAUAGAACACACAAUCAUGAUUAAGCAAGCAUCAAUGUGAUCUUUGAAAUCAUGAAUCAAUGAUCAAAAAGUAUUCAACACAAGAAAUCUCAAAAGCAUAACUACUCCGAGGACAGAUACAACAAUCAAACUUCAGCGCAAUACUGAUUUGCAAUAAUGUACUUAAAAUGCACGGGUACCGUCCUUUGGAGAGCACGUUGCCGAUUCUCAUCAAGGUCCUUUGCUUGAUUCACCAAUAAUGAUAAGGACCUCUACAACUUAUUUCACUUGAGAUGAACAUGGGAUUAGUAUUGCACAAUAAUUCAACCUUGGGUCAAUGAAUAGACAAUAAAAAUUAAUAGCUUAAGCAUAGAGUUUGAAUUAACCGUCUUAAGCUCUCCCAUGGUCUCCAGUCCAUCUCGAGGCACCUGCAUGGUCUAGUUAGCACAGUUUGGUACCCAUCUCGAGAUGGGUCCAUAACAAUCAUCCAAAAAAGCCUUUGGUACCCAAAUAGCCUUUGUGCUAGUUCUAGGAGAUCUCAUUAUUGAUCUAGCACAAGUGUAUGAUUUGGGUCUCCUAAGUGAAUAAGAUUGAGACAGAUUUACUUGAUUAGGAACCUUACCCUUUUUACAUACCUUGGAUAAAUGACCCUGCUCACCACACUUGUAGCAGAAGCGUCGCUUAACCUGACAUGACGCUUGCUGUUUAUCUUCUUUCUUAGUGGGGGUCAUCCCGGAGAGUGCAUGUGCUUGAUUUAUCAUUAGCGGACAAGAAGUGAUCGUAUGGUUCUUCUCAUUGCAUCCGAAGCAUCUCCUUAUCCCUUCAUCCUUAUCGUUAUAUGGACACGACACAAUGAGGUGUCCUGACUUAUUGCACUUAAAGCACCUCCUUUUCCCUUUUCUCUUUUUGUUCUUGGAUGACAUAGAGAAAUGGUCAGUGCAAACAACAUGACUAAUUGAAUCUUUACCUUUUUCCAAAUUCAUGUUGAUUUCUUCAUUUUUUGCUUUAGGAACAUCCUUCUUAUGGAGCUUAACACUUGCUGCAGUUUUUCCCGUCUCAAGCUUCUUCACCACUCUCCCGUGGAUAUCUUGAGAAGGUUGAGCAAUGCGUCUUCUCCUUAGUUGCUUUGUUUUCUUGUUCCUUUCUUUGAUGAGCACUUUUUCUUUUGAUCCUGCAGCUUGAUGCUCAUCCAAGAGUUGGCUUUCUUUUGAGUAACCGGGGUUAGCACAUGAUGAUAUAUUAUCUAGAUGUGCACGUGUGCAAGAAUGAGGUUCACAUGAAUUUAGGUUUGCAAUUACAACCUUAUGAGCAACAUCAAGCAUGAUAUGUCUAUCCAAGAGAUUAUCAUGAUAACAAGACAAUAAAUCAUAUUUUUCAGUAAGAGCAAGUUUAUCAUGACUUAGCACUUAUACUUGCCUCUCAAGCAUGGCAUUUUCCAUUUUAAGUUGAGCAACGCAAGAUAAAAGAUCAUAAUUAUUUCUUUGCUCAAUUAAAACUAAAUCAUACCGUUGGACCAAAUCAUCAUGAGAGCACUUUAGCUCCUCAUGUUCUUUGGUCAUCUUCUCCAGGCUGUCGUUGGUUUUGAUGAGAGUCUCCUCUAGCCUGAGAAGCGUCUCGCCUUGUUCCUUGUUCCUUCUCAACAGCUUAACCAAGAGCGCUUUGUCUUCUUUGUUGAGAUGGGUGUAGAAACGGCGAAUCUCCUCUUCUUCUACAUCGUCGAUCUCAUUUUCCCUGUCGCUAAUAUCAGUGGAAGCAAUACAGGAAAAUGUACCUAGUGGUGAUGAAGAUUCAUCCUCGCUAUCAUCCUCAUACUCCUCCUCAUCACUGCUUUCGUCUCCACUAUCAUUGUUAGCAAUAAGACAUUUAUAACUAGUGGAAGACGAACCUUUUGAUGAGGUAGAUUCAUCGUUUGGUUGCCAUCGUUUUUGUUCUUCUCCCUUGGACAAGUUAGUAUCACAGGCAAUAGAGGGUGCAGAAGCAGUGCAUAUGGACUUAAAAAAUUUCAACUUAAUUUUAGUCCAUAGAUCAUGAGCAUUAACAAAUAAAUCACUAUCACUACUCAUGAUGGCAAAAUAGGCACCUCUAGAAAGAGACUCAACUAAGAUGUUGCAAGCAUGGUGAUUAAGAGAUAGACAUCUUAGUUCAUCAUUAGAAGGAUUUUGACUAAUAUUAGAGGGAAAAAUACUUCUACUAAAGAUCUGUCUCAAAUCAGGAUCAAUAUGCAUAAAAGCAUUAUAAAUAGAGACAGACCAAGAUUUAUAAUUAGAACCAUCGCCUAGAAGAAGUUCUAGAGUUACCUCUUGUGACAACAUCAUCAUCUCCGGACGGCUAAGCCCACACUGGAGAGGCCUAGCUCCGAUACCAAUUGAAAGUUCCCUUUGCUCGGGAACAGGAUCUGGAUGUCGCCUAGAGGGGGGGUGAAUAGGCGGAUAAAAAUUGUCACUUUGAAAACUGAAAUUCUUACUCUACUGGAAGGCUGGAUCACAGUGGAAUGAAAGACCCUUCGAGUAGGUUGCAGCGGAAUAGAAGAUCCUGUCUCAAAAUGUCCUGCACUUCAAAUAUAACUUGUACCACAGAUAAGUAUUGAAGUGCAGAUAUAAAGAGUAGAUACGACAGAGAGACAGCACACAAUACAGAGCGACGCACACAGACACAGGGAUUUAUCCCGAGGUUCGGCCAAGCCUGAAAUGCUUGCCUAGUCCUCGUUGGAGUUAGCUACACCUGGGCUUGGAGUCUAUUUCAACUCCUUCCUCCGUUUGCUUAGAUCUUUCAGUAUGAUAGAUAGAGCCUUCCACUAUGUUGAGUUGGGUUACAACAAAGCCGCGGCUGCUUACAAUCUUCUUGAUAGCACUCUGGCAGAGUAACGAUACGCUCAAGACUAUGCUCUAGCUCUUAGCAGCACUCCUCCGCUCUCUAAAGGCUUAUAGCUGUAAUACUCCAAGUUGUAUACCAAGAAUAAUAGAGAGUUAGCCUCAAUUCUAUGUGCCUCAUUUGCAUCAUAAGAAAAGAGCACACACACAAUUUAGAGAUUAAGUCAAACAAAUGAUAAAAAAAUGCAUCAUGCUGGAGUUUUUAUGUUUGUGCAUUAAAUAAAAUAAUAAUAAUAAUAAUAAUAAUAAUAAUAAGGAUAAUAAGAGAAUAAAUACUAGAAGUUAAAUCAAACCCUAAAUUAAAACUAGGGUUUUGAAAAUAAGGAGAGAAAUGAUAUAGAAAUAUAAACAAUAUAAUUAUAUUUCAAAGAAUUGGUGUUGGGGACCUUCGGCUUACGAAGGUCCUCAAAAACAGGAUUUAACACUAUUUCUGGAGUAUAAUGUGUGAACAGGUAUCUUCGGACUCGAGUCGGUAUCACAGUAGGAGAAGCCCAAAAUAAUACGAAGGUUGAUACAGCGCCGAAGAUGUGAGCGGGAAAGCUUCGGCGUGGUAGCAGAAAAUGAAACCGACUUAAAGAUGAAAAGGCUAUUCAGACCUCGGUGGAUUACUAUAGAAUUAUUAUCAAAUGUAAAGGGCAUGAAUGUAAUUUUGUAUGGGCUGUGUCCCGUGCCUAUAAAUAGGUGAACAGUACCUCCGUACUGUUCACGCUGAUUUGGCAUUUGCUUUUGUGUCACACCUGUACUUUCAUCCCCUUCCAAGCUGAAGGUACAUUUGUAAUUCAAUGUCAUUUCUGUUUCUUCAUAAUAAUAAUGCAAAAAUAAGUUGAUAAUAAUAUAUAAUUGUCUAUAUUAUCCUUCAUACUCCUUAUGAUUCAUUCUUUGUCAUUGUAUGCUGUGUUUAUGAAGGUACGCCCUUCAUAACCUUCGUCUGAAAAUCAUUAUAUCCUAAGGGAAAUAAUGUUUCGAAGGACGAAGGACUUUACCGAUUAACAUUUUCUGUGUUGCCUUGUUCUUAACUCAUAGCAUUUGAGAACAAGUCCCCAACUUUACCGAUUAACAUUUUCUUAACUCAUAGCUUUGCCAAAUAGGGCGCAUAAACCCAACAAUUGGUAUUCUUAACUUCACAAAAGUAAUAAAGAUUAAUGUAGCACAAGUUUUACUUCAAAAUUCAAAUUCAAAUUUAAACCUAAAAAAGGAAGAAAAGAGAAAGAAAAAGAUAAAAGAAAAAGAGAAAGCCCGCAGCUGGGCCAACUUCCCCUCAAUUCGGCCCACCUACACAUCCCUCCGCGUGGCCCAACUCUGAUGGUGCGCGGCGCGCCGACAGAAGGGCCCCACCGGGCAGUCUAACGCGCGCGCGCUCCUCACCGCUCUGCCACUUACGCGUGGGACCCCGCUGUCAGGCCCAUCUUCAACACCGGGAGCUUCGGAACAAACUCGUGCGCGGACUCCGUCCGUCCUCCUCGUCAACCAACCCCGUGCAUGGCGGGUCAAGAUCCAGGAUCAUCCCCACGCGCAACUAACCGCCCAUAAGAACCCUCGCGCUGCGCUUCCCGUGACCCGUCUCUGCCCCUUUUCGCUAACAGCAUCCAGUCGCACCUCGCGCGCCGCCUCUCCUCGCCGCCGCGGGGAUUCUCCCUCUGCACCACCGUCCAAGCCGGGAAAAGCGUUGUGGCAGCUCCGUUAACACGCGUGGGAGCUUUUGUGGGCAUCGUCAGGCAGGGGCUCCACCGGCGUCGACUGGAAUUGGUCGUCGACGUGUUCCUCCGCCGCGGCAUACGCUCCAUCGGCAAUUGGCGAUUCUCCCCAACAGCUACGAUAAUAGCUACCUCCUGCUGGCUCGCCUUGUUCUUUUCCUGUUGGCGCAUCAUCUGGGCAGGGUAGUUGGGCAUUGCCGCAGCGGGUAGUGCCCGCCGUGGUUCAAGCGCCGCCCUGGAUCCGCUCCACUCCAUGGCCAGGGCGGUAACAUCAGUCAAACAUUAAAUUGGGGGCUCUAUCGGGUUCGCCCUACCUUUGGCUUAGUGUGGCUUGGUUGGAUUGGAAACUCGGGCGGGUUUGUGGCCGAUUUGAUGGUUCUCCGGCGAGCGGGUCGCCGUGGGAGCGGGCGCCGUCGCGCUCGGCAACCAGAGGAGAAGAAGGUUUGUGCGCCGUUGAUCUCCCAGGGAACGGCUGCGAUUAGAAGUUAGCGUACCCCUUCGCCACUUUGGUCGGGUACCGUUGAUCUCGAAUCUAACGGUAGUGGUUAGAUCUGGUUUCAUAAACUCUGGGUCGUCGGAUCCCGAUCCGGCGGCUGGUAAUGCAUACCUGUUCGGGGAUAAGCGAUCUAAUCUGAGCCCUCGGAUUCUAAUCGUGCGGCCCACAUCUACCGAUACCCCUUCGCGGGUACUUUUGUUAAAGAGUCCCCGAGGAAAGCAGUAAUCAACCCGCCGUCCUGUGGAACUGUUCUCUGUGUCUUAGGUAAUUUGCGCAGAGACCCCUGGCUUCUCUGGAAAUCGAGGCCCAGUCCAGAGGUGUUUAAAAACAGAGAAAUAUUUAUAGAAAUUCAUUUUUAAUACAAAAACAAAUCUAGAAACUUGUAAAAUGCAUAGAAAAUUCGUUUUAACUCCAAAUUGAGCCAUUCCAAUUUCUAGAAUUUUGUAAUAAUAUUCUCUAUCAUUUAGUGUCUCUGUUUUGACAUGAAAACAGUAAGAAAAUUAAUUUCUCAUCUAAUCCUAUUUUAAUCACAUUAAACCUUAGGAAAUUCAUAACUUGAAAUCUAUAACUCCAAAUUUAGUGAUUCCAGUUCCUAUGAUUUCAUUUUAAUGUGUAGAUUUUUACUGUAUAUUUUAUUCAUCUGUUUGGUGUGAUGUUGAUUUUGGCUAUACUAUGUAUGUAUUGUGUUAAUGCAAAUAGACGAGCAAGCCACUGUGGAAACUGAGGUUCAACAAGUAGAGAUAGCUGAGCAGGAGCUCAUUGAAGGCAAGUUGUGCCCUUGAUCACUUACUUUUCCCAUCCAUGUUCUUAUUAAUUUUAAUGAUCUGCAUAGGUUAAUUUUGAUGGGAUCCUUUAUGUUACCCCAGUCUUGAUUACCUCUAUACCUUGUUCACCCCUGGGAUAUUCUUGGGUAGUACUUGCUAUUGCUUUAUGUGGAUUGGGUAUGGAGAUACACUACUCAUGAUUAUCCUGUUAUUAUCUUGUUAUUAUUACUGUUCAUGUUAAGAUCAUUAAAUUAAUGGGAACAUGGAGCGACCACCCGGGAAAACAGUGCUACCACAAGGGUUUAAUGGGACGCCCUUGGCUGAUUAACUAGGAAAGCUAGUGGAGGUCUUCCUUACCCGAAAGGGGCAAGGGCAGUAGGGGAGUGGUCAGUGUAGGGAGGUCCUUGGGUUGAUUUUGCUGCGAUGGCGGUCAGGCAAGAACCCUGCACUGGAGCUUCCUAUAAACUGUAGCGGGAUUUCUGAAGCUAGUGGAACUUUGUAAAGGCCUCGUAGUGUUACCCUGCCUCGCCUCCUCGGUAGAGGUGUAUGGGAUUGGCCGUCUCUUGGCAGAUGGGUAACAUGACUUGUGGGUAAAGAUGCGCAACCUCUGCAGAGUGUAAAACUAGUAUACUAGCCGUGCUCACGGUCAUGAGCGGCUCGGACCCUCACAUGAUUAAUUUAUGGAACUUAAAUUUAAUUUGACAUUUGCAUCGCAUUUGGGAUUAUUUUACUAUUACUGUUCUUUAUUAUUAUUAAGGUUUGGUAUUUACUUACACUUAGUAGUUGCUAAUAAAAUUUUGACCAACUUAUAAAAGCAAUGCUCAGCUUCAGCCUCUAUCUCAUUGAUCAGCCUUACACUUCAUGAACUCCCACCUUUGGUGAGUUCAUGCCACAUUAUUCCCCACGACUUGUUGAGCUAUGAACGUAUGUGAGCUCACCCUUGCUGUCUCACACCCCUCCACAGGAGAAGAACAGGUGGUCGAAGAGGAGCCGCCUAACACCGAGGCAUUCGAUCUGAUCUAGGUGGCGUUUCUCAGUCGACAUUGGCACCGACGAUCCUUAGUUCGUUUUAUAUUUAUCUUUAUUUUGUAAUAAGUCUUCCGCUAUGUAAUAAAUACUCUGAUGUUUUAUAACAUUUAUCUCUAUACACUCUGUUAUUAUAUAUGUUGUCUUCUUGGCGCAUGUAUGAGAUGCACCCGGCUUUGUCCUUUAAACCCGGGUGUUACAGAAGUGGUAUCAAAGGUAAUGUUGACUAUAGGACGAAACCUAGAUAGAACUGGACAAACCCUUAUCUACUUACCUUACUCUAAUUCAUUCUAUACUUAUCUUACCUUGAUCCUACCUCACCUUUUGUUGUCAUACUCUAAUUACACUUAUCUUUUCUACUCUAAGACACGAUGAAUUUCACACCUUGGAAUCCUACCUUUAUGAACUUUUUUUGAGAUAGGAAACCCAAGACAAAAUUAAAACUAUUUUCCCUAUUAAAAAAAGUUGGUUGAUUGUUCUGAUGAUAAAUGUUUGAUUUGCUUCUUUGGUUGAUUGCAACAUUAUAGUUGGGCAUCUUUGCAUGUACCACCAUAAGGUAAUGUAUUAGCUUAAGUGGAUAACACACUAAUCUACUUAGCUAAUAAAUCCCCCGCAGUAACAUCUCUCGUAAUUACUCGCCUUGUCUACAAUUCCUCGUUUCUUACCCUAUAUUUCUAACCCAGAUGGGCUACCACUAUAGUGUUAGAAGAGAGCACUAUAGACAUGAUCCUUGGUAUGUCAUGGUUAAGAAAGGCAAGGACAGUUUAUACACUGGGCUAAGGGAACCUUAGAACUCACCAGUGCCAAAGGAGAAAGAUUCGAAGUUGAGAUUUCAGUAACUACCACCAUCGGACUAGCGGCAUUCUUAGUCGAUGGGAAGUUUGUUGGUGACAACAUCCGUGUGGUUAAGGAUUUUCUAGAUGUCUUUCCAGAGGAGUUAUCAGGGAUGCCACCAGAUACGGAAGUUGAGUUUGUCAUAGAUCUCUUACCUGGAACUGCUCCUAUUUCUAAAUGGCCAUAUAGGAUGUGUGUACAAGAGUUAAACGAGCUUAAGAAGCAGUUAACUGAGUUACAAGAAGCGGGGUAUAUUCGUCCGAGUUCCUCACCUUGGGGAGCACCGGUGUUAUUUGUGCAGAAGAAGGAUGGAUCACAACGGAUGUGUGUGGACUAUAGAUCACUCAAUGAUGUCACGGUGAAGAACAAGUAUCCGUUGCCCCGUAUUGAGGAUUUAUUUGAUCAGUUGAGAGGUGCUAGAGUAUUCUCGAAGAUUGAUCUCCGAUCCGGGUACCAUCAGAUGAGGAUUAGACCAUCGGAUAUUCCUAAGACGGCUUUCUCAACCCGAUAUGGAUUAUAUGAGUUUACUGUUAUGUCAUUUGGAUUAACCAAUGCACCGGCUUAUUUCAUGAAUUUGAUGAAUAAGGUGUUUAUGGAGUAUUUGGACAGAUUCGUCGUGGUGUUUAUCGACGAUAUUCUUAUCUAUUCUAGGAAUGAAAGUGACCAUGAACAACAUCUAAGGUUGGUGCUACAGAAGCUGCGAGAUAAUCAACUCUACGCUAAGUUCAGCAAGUGCGAGUUUUGGAUUGACAAGGUGCCAUUCCUUGGUCAUAUAAUUUCAAAUGGAGGAAUAGCAGUGGAUCCUGCUAAAGUGAAGGAGAUAAUGGAGUGGAGAGUGCCCGCUACAGUUACUGAGAUUCAGAGUUUCUUGGGUCUCGCAGGAUAUUAUCGGAGAUUUAUUGAAGGGUUCUCUAAAAUUGCUAAGCCUAUGACAUCGCUUUUGGAAAAAGGCAGAGAAUUCAAGUGGGACGAGAAGUGCCAAGAAAGCUUUGAUCAAUUGAAGGAGAGAUUGAUGUCACCCCCAGUAUUAAUUAUGCCAGAUCUGCAGAAGGGAUUUGACAUUUAUUGUGAUGCAUGUGGCCAAGGACUUGGAUGUGUGCUCAUGCAAGAAGGACAUGUGAUUGCCUAUGCAUCUCGUUAGUUGCGGAAGCAUGAACUGAACUACCCCACUCAUGACUUGGAACUGGCUGCCGUUGUGCAUGCACUUAAGAUUUGGAGACACUACAUUAUGGGAACUAAGUGCCAAGUAUACACGGACCAUAAGAGCUUGAAGUACAUAUUUACUCAGAAGAACCUCAACCUUAGGCAACGCCGUUGGUUGGAGCUUAUUAAGGAUUAUGAUUUGGAGAUUCACUAUCACCCAGGCAAGGCAAAUUUGGUUGCAGAUGCCUUGAGUCGGAAGGAGCAUGUUCACUCCGCUUUCGUUGUCCAGCUACCUGAUGAAUUAGCAAAAGAUUUUGAGAGACUCAACCUGGGAAUUGUUACACAUACGGAAGGAGUCACUAUUGAAUUGGAACCCACCUUGGAGCAAGAAAUCCGCAAAGGACAGAUUGGUGAUGCCAAAAUCCAGGAGAUCAAGGAUUUGAUAACAGAGGGUAGAGGCCCGAAAUUCACAGAGGAUGAGCAAGGCACGAUAUGGUUCAAGAAUCGGAUCUGUGUUCCCGAUAUUCAUAGUCUUCGGGAAACCAUAUUGAAGGAGGCACAUGAUUCAGUUUAUUCUAUCCAUCCUGGAAGUACUAAGAUGUAUCAGGAUUUGAAGCAAAAGUAUUGGUGGUAUGGACUAAAGAGAGAUGUGGCUGCACAUGUGGCUAUGUGCGAUGUAUGCCAAAGAGUUAAGGCUGAACACCAGAGGCCAGCCGGACUACUGCACCCACUGAAGAUACCUGAGUGGAAAUGGGAAGAGAUUGGCAUGGACUUCAUUGUUGGAUUACCCCGCACGUCUGCUGGAUAUGAUUCUAUAUGGGUGAUUGUGGACAGGCUAACUAAAGUAGCCCACUUUAUUCCAGUGAAGACCACAUAUUCAGGAGCUAAGUUGGCAGAGUUGUACAUGACACGGAUUGUCUGCCUGCAUGGUGUGCCAAAGAAGAUUGUAUCAGACCGGGGAUCACAGUUUACCUCUCGGUAUUGGAAGAAGUUACACGAGUCAAUGGAUACGAGAUUGAAUUUUAGUUCGGCUUACCAUCCCCAGACCGAUGGGCAGACUGAGAGGACUAACCAAGUGCUUGAGGAUAUGUUAAGAGCUUGUGCCCUUAAGCAUGGUGGUAGUUGGGAUAAGAGUCUACCGUAUGCGGAGUUCUCAUAUAAUAAUAGCUACUAGGCCAGUUUGAAGAUGUCACCGUUUGAGGCUUUAUAUGGCAGAAAGUGCAGGACUCCACUGUAUUGGGAUCAAACUGGUGAAAGGCAGUUGUUUGGGCCUGAGAUUAUACAAGAAGCAGAAGAACAAGUCCAGCAAAUAAGGGAGAAUUUGAGAACCACGCAAUCCAGGCAGAAAAGCUAUGCUGACACCCGGAGAAGACUGCUUGAGUUUAAGGUGGGAGAUUAUGUCUAUUUGAAGGUGUCACCACUCCGGGGUAUGAGAAGGUUCAAAGUCAAAGGAAAGUUGUCCCCUCGCUUUAUUGGACCCUUCUUAAUCUUAAAGCGAGUGGGAGAGGUUGCAUACCAAUUGGAGUUACCGGAUCAUCUUGCGGAUGUUCAUGAUGUCUUUCAUGUAUCUCAGCUGAAGAAAUGUCUCAGGGUGCCUGAGGAGCAAUUACCAAUGGAGGACCUUAGUGUUCAGGAUGAUCUAACUUAUGCUGAGUACCCCAUCAAGAUUUUGGAUACUUUGACUCGAGUUACGAGGAAUAAGGUCAUAAAGAUGUGCAAAGUGCAAUGGAGCCACCACGGUGAAGAUGAAGCAACUUGGGAAAGAGAAGAAGAGCUUCGUAUAGAUUUUCCUCACCUUUUCCCUAGAUCUUCCUAAAUCUCGAGGACGAGAUUAUUUUUAAGGGGGGUAGGAUUUGUAAUACUCCAAGUUGUAUACCAAGAAUAAUAGAGAGUUAGCCUCAAUUCUAUGUGCCUCAUUUGCAUCAUAAGAAAAGAGCACACACACAAUUUAGAGAUUAAGUCAAACAAAUGAUAAAAAAAUGCAUCAUGCUGGAGUUUUUAUGUUUGUGCAUUAAAAAUAAUAAUAAUAAUAAUAAUAAGGAUAAUAAGAGAAUAAAUACUAGAAGUUAAAUCAAACCCUAAAUUAAAACUAGGGUUUUGAAAAUAAGGAGAGAAAUGAUAUAGAAAUAUAAACAAUAUAAUUAUAUUUCAAAGAAUUGGUAUUCUUAACUUCACAAAAGUAAUAAAGAUUAAUGUAGCACAAGUUUUACUUUAAAAUUCAAAUUCAAAUUUAAACCUAAAAAAGGAAGAAAAGAGAAAGAAAAAGAUAAAAGAAAAAGAGAAAACCCGCAGCUGGGCCAACUUCCCCUCAAUUCGGCCCACCUACACAUCCCUCCGCGUGGCCCAACUCUGAUGGUGCGCGGCGCGCCGACAGAAGGGCCCCACCGGGCAGUCUAACGCGCGCGCGCUCCUUACCGCUCUGCCACUUACGCGUGGGACCCCGCUGUCAGGCCCAUCUUCAACACCGGGAGCUUCGAAACGAACUCGUGCGCGGACUCCGUCCGUCCUCCCCGUCAACCAACCCUGUGCAUGGCGGGUCAAGAUCCAGGAUCGUCCCCACGCGCAACUAACCGCCCAUAAGAAUCCUCGCGCUGCGCUUCCCGUGACCCGUCUCUGCCCCUUUUCGCUAACAGCAUCCAGUCGCACCUCGCGCGCCGCCUCUCCUCGUCGCCGCGGGGAUUCUCCCUCUGCACCACCUUCCAAGCCGGGAAAAGCGUUGUGGCAGCUCCGUUAACACGCGUGGGAGCUUUUGUGGGCAUCGUCAGGCAGGGGCUCCACCGGCGUCGACUGGAAUUGGUCGUCGACGUGUUCCUCCGCCGCGGCAUACGCUCCAUCUGCAAUUGGCGAUUCUCCCCAACAGCUACGGUAAUAGCUACCUCCUGCUGGCUCGCCUUGUUCUUUUCCUGUUGGCGCAUCAUCUGGGCAUGGUAGUUGGGCAUUGCCGCAGCGGGUAGUGCCCGCCGUGGUUCAAGCGCCGCCGCGGAUCCGCUCCACUCCGUGGCCAGGGCGGUAACAUCAGUCAAACAUUAAAUUGGGGGCUCUAUCGGGUUCGCCCUACCUUUGGCUUAGUGUGGCUUGGUUGGAUUGGAAACUCGGGCGAGAUUGUGGCCGAUUUGAUGGUUCUCCGGCGAGCGGGUCGCCGUGGGAGCGGGCGCCGUCGCGCUCGGCAACCAGAGGAGAAGAAGGUUUGCGCGUCAUUGAUCUCCCAGGGAACGGCUACGAUUAGAAGUUAGCGUACCCCUUCGCCACUUUGGUCGGGUACCGUUGAUCUCGAAUCUAACGGUAGUGGUUAGAUCUGGUUUCAUAAACUCUGGGUCGUCGGAUCCCGAUCCGGCGGCUGGUAAUGCAUAUCGGUUCGGGGAUAAGCGAUCUAAUCUGAGCCCUCGGAUUCUAAUCGUGCGGCCCACAUCUACCGAUACCCCUUCGCGGGUACUUUUGUUAAAGAGUCCCCGAGGAAAGCAGUAAUCAACCCGCCGUCCUGUGGAACUGUUCUCUGUGUCUUAGGUAAUUUGCGUAGAGACCCCUGGCUUCUCUAGAAAUCGAGGCCCAGUCCAGAGGUGUUUAAAAACAGAGAAAUAUUUAUAGAAAUUCAUUUUUAAUACAAAAACAAAUCUAGAAACUUGUAAAAUGCAUAGAAAAUUCGUUUUAACUCCAAAUUGAGCCAUUCCAAUUUCUAGAAUUUUGUAAUAAUAUUCUCUAUCAUUUAGUGUCUCUGUUUUGACAUGAAAACAGUAAGAAAAUUAAUUUCUCAUCUAAUCCUAUUUUAAUCACAUUAAACCUUAGGAAAUUCAUAACUUGAAAUCUAUAACUCCAAAUUUAGUGAUUCCAGUUCCUAUGAUUUCAUUUUAGUGUGUAGAUUUUUACUGUAUAUUUUAUUCAUCUGUUUGGUGUGAUGUUGAUUUUGGCUAUACUAUGUAUGUAUUGUGUUAAUGCGAAUAGACGAGCAAGCCACUGUGGAAACUGAGGUUCAACAAGUAGAGAUAGCUGAGCAGGAGCUCAUUGAAGGCAAGUUGUGCCCUUGAUCACUUACUUUUCCCAGCCAUGUUCUUAUUAAUUUUAAUGAUCUGCAUAGGUUAAUUUUGAUGGGAUCCUUUAUGUUACCCCAGUCUUGAUUACCUCUAUACCUUGUUCACCCCUGGAAUAUUCUUGGGUAGUACUUGCUAUUGCUUUAUGUGGAUUGGGUAUGGAGAUACACUACUCAUGAUUAUCCUGUUAUUAUCUUGUUAUUAUUACUUGUCGGCGUUUCGAGACCGGGGGGUCCCUCGGGCCGACGAGUGAGUGUCGCCGCGUGCCCCAGCCCAGAUGGGUCGAGCGCGAGGGCGAGCGCGAAGGGGGGAGGAGCGAGGCGGCCGGAGACCGGCGUGAGAGAGGUGGGAAUCCCGCGGCCUUCGUGUUCGUCCCGCGCCCAGGUCGGGUGCGCUUGCAGUAGGGGGUUACAAGCGUCCACGCGGGGGAGGGAAGCGAGCGGCCCCAAGAGAGCGCCUGUCUCGUCCUCGUCCCCGCGCGGCCAACCCUCUCUAAGAGGGCCCUAGUCCUUCCUUUUAUAGGCGCAAGGAGAUGAUCCAGGCGUACAAUGGGAGUGUAGCAGAGUGCUACGUGUCUAGCGGGGGAGAGCUAGCGCCCUGAGUACAUGCCGUCGUGGCAGCCGGAGAGGUUUUGGCACCCAGCUGGUGUGAUGUCGUGGCCGUCGGAGGAGCGAUGGAGCCUGGCGGAGGGACAGCUGUCGGAGCGGUUGGGUCCUUGCUGACGUCCUCUUGCUUCCGUAAGGGGGCUGAGAGCUGCCGUCGUCACAGAGCAUGCGGGACGCCAUCAUUGCCUAUCCGGCGGAGCUAGCCAGAUGGGACGCCGGUCUUGUUUCCUGCGGCCCGAGUCAGCUCAGGGUAGGGAGAUGAUGGCGCCUCCCGUUGACGUGGCUGGUCUGUGCCCUAGGUUGGGCGAGGUGGAAGCUCCUCCGAAGCUGAGGUCGAGUCUGUCUUCCAUGGCCGAGGCCGAGUCCGAGCCCCUGGUCGGGCGAGGCGGAGGUCGUCGUCUGAGGCCAGGGCGGAGUCCGAGCCCGAGUCCGAGCCCUGGGUCGGGCGGAGCGGAGUUCGCUGUCUUUCGGGACUUAGCCCGAGUCCGAGCCCUGGGUCGGGCGGAGCGGAGUUCGCCGUCUUCCGGGACUUAGCCCGAGUCCGAGCCCUGGGUCGGGCGGAGCGGAGUUCGCCGUCUUCCGGGACUUAGCCCGAGUCCGAGCCCUGGGUCGGGCGGAGCGGAGUUCGCCGUCUUUCGGGACUUAGCCCGAGUCCGAGCCCUGGGUCGGGCGGAGCGGAGUUUGCCGUCUUCCGGGACUUAGCCCGAGUCCGAGCCCUGGGUCGGGCGGAGCGGAGUUCGCCGUCUUCCGGGACUUAGCCCGAGUCUGAGCCCUGGGUCGGGCGGAGCGGAGUUCGCCGUCUUCCGGGACUUAGCCCGAGUCCGAGCCCUGGGUCGGGCGGAGCGGAGUUCGCCGUCUUCCAGGACUUAGCCCGAGUUCGAGCCCUGGGUCGGGCGGAGCGGAGUUCGCCGUCUUCCGGGACUUAGCCCGAGUCCGAGCCCUAGGUCGGGCGGAGCGGAGUCCGCCGUCUUCCGGGACUUAGCCCGAGUCCGAGCCCUGGGUCGGGCGGAGCGGAGUUUCCUGUGGUGCCUUCUGCAGGACCUGACUGCCUGUCAGCCUCACUCUGUCAAGUGGCACUGCAGUCAGCGCGGCGCAGGCGGUGCUGCCCUUCUGUCAGACCGGUCAGUGGAGCGGCGAAGUGACGGCGGUCACUUCGGCUCUGCCGGGGGGCGCAUGCCAGGAUAAGGGUGUCAGGCCACCUUUGCAUUAAAUGCUCCUGCGAUUUGGUCGGUCGGUGCGGCGAUUUGGUCAGGGUUGCUUCUUAGCGAAGGCAGGGCCUCGGGCAAGCCGGAAAUAUGUUCGCCGUUGAAGGGGGGCCUUGAGCGAGACGGAAAUCCUCCGGGGUCGGCUGCCCUUGUCCGAGGCUAGGCUCGGGCGAGGCGUGAUCGAGUCGCUCAAACGGACUGAUCCCUGACUUAAUCGCACCCAUCAGGCCUUAGCAGCUUUAUGCUGAAGGGGGUUACCAGCUGAGAAUUAGGAGCCUUGAGGGUACCCCUAAUUAUGGUCCCCGACAGUAGCCCCCGAGCCUCGAAGGGAGUGUUAGCACUCGCUUGGAGGCUUUCGUCGCACUUUUUUGCAAGGGGACCAGCCUUUCUCGGUUGCAUUUUGUUCCGGUGGGUGCGCGCGAGCGCACCCGCCGGGUGUAGCCCCCGAGGCCUCGGAGGAGUGGUUUCACUCCUUCGAGGUCUUAAUGCCUCGCGUAAUGCUUCGGCUAGUCUGGUUGUUCCCUCAUGCGAGCUGGCCGUAGCCCGGGUGUACGGUCGGGUCCCAAGUUCUCGGGCUGGUAUGUUGACGCUGUCAACGGUUCGGCCGGAGCCAGGUUUGCGAGAGCAGCCCCCGAGCCUCUGCACAGGGCGAGAGGGCGAUCAGGGACAGACUCGGCUUUUUUACAUACGCCCCUGCGUCGCCUUUUCGCAAGGAGGAGGGGGGGAAGCGCCAUGUUGCCCUCGAUGGGCGCCGAACAUGGUGUCUCCGGUGAGCUGCAAGCGGGUAAUCCGAGUGGACGUCCGUGCCCCGUUCGUUAGGGGUCGGCUAGGGGCCCAGAGGCACGCCCAAAAGUACCUGCUGGUGAUCUGCCGGACCCGGUCCCCUAGCGACGGGGUCCGAGGGCUCGAUGCCUCCCUCCGAUGGGAUUCCGUUACAAGAUCGCUCCCGCCGGUCUCAGAAAUGUCCUAGGGUACCUCGGGAGCGCAGCCCGAGCCUCGGUUAUGUAUCGAACGUACCCCUGGUCAUCCCUCGCUCGGCGUCUGAGGCGGCUGUGAACCCUUCGGGGGCCAGCCUUCGAACCCCUGAUCAGUAAUGGGCGAGGAGCCCGAGUAUCCUGAGGCGGCCGUGGAACCCUCCGGGGGGCCGGCCUUCGAACCUCUGACCAGUAGUGGAUGUAGGGCCCACGCGAUCUGAGGCGGCUGUCAAACCCUUCGGGGGGGCAGCCUUCGAACCUCUGAUCAGUAGGGAGGCUCGGAGCCCGGUUCCUUCACGGGGAAGGAUCCUUUUCGGGGUAUCCCCCUUUCCCGGUCCCUGUUGCAAGAGAGAGAGAGAAAGAGGAAAAAAGGAAAAGGAUACGAAAUCGAACGACGCGGCAUACCUUUUUUGGCGUGGUUAUUACGGCGAAGGUGAAGCGUCGCCCGCUUCUCCUGCCAGAGGCGCCGCCUGUCCCGCCGUGGAGUUAAUGCGACGGGGCGAGUGGUUGGCGGGGCAGCCGUUGCGCGUGCGCGAGCCGUUCGAGGAAUGGCUGUUUCGCUUCGCGUUUUUGAAUCCCGCGUCCGGUCCGGCGGAACGUUGGAACCGGUCUUGCCUUGGUCUUUAUAUACCUGGGAGAGGGCCUGUUGACGGUUCUUUGCUCCGCUUCCUGCCUCCCUCUUAGGUUUUCGUAACCCGAGAGACUUAGCCAGAGAAGAGGAAACUGCCCUUCCUGCCCCUUACGCCGCCAUCCCUUCCGCUCGGUGAUGGCCGACUGGGUGACCAUCAUCCCGCCGCGCGAUCCAUGGCCUUCUUCCACGGUGACGGCGAGUGAUCUGGAGGAUCUGGUCGGUGAGGGUUUGCUUCUCCCUCUCAUCGAUGAGCAGCGACCAGAAUGGAUUCCUCCCGUGGGCGGAGCCGCUCCGUCCCCACCGCCGGGGUACAUCGUGAGCUUCGUCUCCUUCCACGAGCGGGGAUUCGGUGUGCCGGCGAGCCGCUUUAUGCGGGCGAUCCUGUACCACUAUGGGGUGGAGUUGCACAACCUCACCCCCAACUCCAUCUCGCAGGCCGCCAUCUUCGUAGCGGUGUGCGAGGGGUACUUGGGGAUCGCCCCCCAUUGGGAUUUGUGGACCCAUCUCUUUUUCGCGGAGCUUUUUGCCUCGCCGACGGGGGAGAGGAAAGUCCGCGCAGCGGUGCGGGCCGGCGGCUGCACCCUCCUGCUGAGGCAGUCGCGGGCGUCGUUGUAUAUUCCUGCCAUCCUCGCGUCCUCGAACAAGGGGUGGCAGCGCCGGUGGUUCUACCUCCGGAAUGACGGCGAGUUGCUCCCGCCGUUCUCCCAGCGAGUAGUCACCACUGCCGCCGACGCUUGGCGCCACGGGACCCCACACGAAAGGCAGAAGAACCUCGAACCCUUUCUCCAGGCCUUAAAGGAGUUGCGGGAGGGGGGACUCACCGCUGCGGGAGUGAUUGCUGCCAUCCACCGUCAGAGGGUGCUUCCCUUGGCGGAGCGACGACUGUCGCUUUGGGAGAUGACCCCGGAGGCCGACUGGGAGGGGUCGCGGAUGUCCGCUGAUCCUCUUCCCUUCGACGCCCUCCAAUGGCGGGUGUCCGUUGCGUUGGGGAAGCCGGACCCCCACGCCUUCUCCCAGCUUUCGAUGCGCCCCGACCGAGGGUGCGCGACUCAGGUGAGUGCCCGCUCCUUCCCUCUUCAUACAUCGGGUUGCUCCUGGUUCUCACGACCGGGGUUUUUCCCCCCUUUCUUCAGGAGGGGGGGUGGCACAAGCCUUCCCUGCCACGGGUCCCGCAGGACGCGGUGGACCGAGUAGCGCGGCGGGUCGCCGCGGAGGAGAAUAAGAAGAAGAAGGACGCGAAGAAGGCCCGGGCCCGCGAGCGGAGGCGGGCUCGAGACGCCUUGGAAAAGCUCCGUCGCCGGCAGGAGAGGGAGGGGCUCCCGAGGGAGCCGUCGCCGGAAACGCCCGACGACGACGACGAUGAUGAAGGUGACGACGAGGAGGACGACAUGGUCGCCCGCCUUGGCCUUAGCCCCGACUUGGGGUUCCGCCAGGAGUCGUCAAGCUAGCCCCCGAGCAGGCUGACGCCGUCAGUCCUCGGGGUCGGGGCGUCGGGGUCUCAGCCCGAGGAGCGGGGGCAACCCGAGAGAGCGCCUGACCCCUCGGCUGGAGGAGCUGAGGUGACCCCAGGGGGCCAGGCCAGGGCGUCUGCUCCCCGAGAACCGCCGCUCGCACCGGCAGAGCAGGGAGGCGACCCUCAGGCUAUCAUGACAGCGCCUGGGCAGUCUGCCCCCUGGGUGUCCAAAGCAAGGGUAGUGCCGAAGUUGCCGGCGAAGCGGACCUCGGCUGCGGUUCCGAGGGCCAAGAUCCAGGAGACUUCCCCCUAGGCACGGUGGAUCAUGGCCCGGAGCGGGUAAGUAUCUUGGAAAUGCCUUUGUCCUGGCUUUCCAUUCAUAUGUCCCGGCCGUGAUUUUCCCUUUUUUCUCAGCAAGCGAAGCCAUGGCCUGACUGACCUGGCCCCCCGGAAGGCCCUUAAGACGACACCGGCCUGUGCGGCCAGCGUUGCUUCGGGCCUUGCCGUUCAGCCGUCCCUCUGGCAAGGUGUUCCACCUCAGGGGGCUCGGGCGGCACCGGUCGCCGUGGAGCAGGUUCCUGAGGCUGGUUCUUCUACCGAGGCGACCAUUGUGACAGGGGAGGCGGCUGACGCUGGCGCAGUCCCGAGCCUACCAGUCGUGCCAGCCAUGCCGGCGCCUGCCGCUACCGAAAUUGACGCCGCUCCAGUCGGAGAGCGACCGGUUGCUACCGACGUCGAGACGGCUGAUGUGUCGGCGCUUGGUGCCUCGGAAGAGGGGGGCAUGGAGGUGCGAUCCGUCCCGCCGGGCGGCAGCCUCGUCGCUGUGCGGUAGAGCUCCGGGGGCCGGCGCCAGCUGCUCCGGUUCCGGACCCAUGGGGCCUCGGACCCCGUUUUCGUUCUUGACGAUGAACGGGAGGACCAGUCCUGGGAUGAGCUCCGCGAGUGUGCUGAAGCAUCGGUGGGGUCGCUCCGGUCGUCGCUGGAGGUUUUCUGCAGGGACGUCCCCAAAAUCCUCCAGGUAACGGUUUCAGGCAUACCUUUCCUCUUCUGUGACCGAGGCGUUCUUCGUGACGUUCCGCUUCCUUCCCUCAGGAUCUGAUGGAUCGGAGCGCUGCCAAGUCGUCGUUCAUCCGUCGCGAGGUCGACGUCUGGGGCUCGCUGCGAUCCCUGAGGACCUCGCUCGCCGGGGCCACUGCGCGCCUCUCUUAGCAGGGUGCUGAGGUAGCGGACCUCCAGUUGCUCUGUACCGACCUGAGAGCCGAGGUGGCAGCGGCGCGCGCGGAGGCGGCCGCGGCGCGCGUAGAAGCGCAACAGCAGCGGUCGGAGUUCGACCGGGUCGUUGAGGAGCGGGACCGAUCUCGGGGCCAAGCUGCCGAGGCCGAAAGCCGGGCCGAAACCCUUGCGGCCGACCUAGCCGUAGCCCAGGUCGCGGUCUCGGAGCAGCGUGCCCGAGCCGGAGGUACGCCUUGGCCAUCCUUGGUUCUUGUUCCUGUUUGUUUCCUCUGCUUGUGUUUGAGAUCUUUCUUCUGGCUGUUCGCAGUGCUCGAGUCUGCCCUUGAUGAGUCCGCCAAGGCGCUUGCCGAGGCGCUUGCCGGGGCGGCCGAGCAGAGGGAGGCCGACCACGCAGUCGUGUCCGAAGCCGUUUCGGACGUUUAUCGGAUCCUUGGCUCUGGCGACGUCCCCUCAGGAAGCUCCCCCCAAAGUCGCCUUCAAGCCUUGGGUGAUCACGUGCGCGGCAGACUCCGCGAGGCGCUACACCACGGCGUCAGGCAGGCCUUCGCCGUGCUCGCUUCCCACUAUGUUGUGGACCUGGAGCGGGUUAGUGAGGGGUAUUGUCUUCCUGACGAAGACGAAGCUGCCCUGGCAGAAGCCCAGCGGCUCGACGCGGUCGCCGCGGGUCCGAGCGCAGUGCUGGCGACCACCUUUGAGGCGGAGAUCCUUCUCCCUGCGCCGUCGCCGGAAGCCGAGAUGGGCCUUACCGAAGGCGGGGACGGAGCUGAAGGCGCGGGUCCUUCCCAAGGCGACGCCUAACUCUGUUGGAAUAGUUUCUGUUGGAUGCGCGUGUGUCUUUCUGCGGCCGCUGAGGCCUGAACACUUUGCUUUCGUUGCAUGAAGUUGUGCUCCUCUUCCUUUUAUUUUGCGUGUCCGGCUUUGCCUGUCAAUAACAGGGUGGCUUCCCGAGUAGGGGUCAUUUUUCGUGGCGGGUGAUGAGUGAGGUGUUCCUAACCCGGAGGCAUAGGAAAUCCUCGGCUCAGUCGACCUUGCCACUUUCAUGCACCCACGUUCGCUCCUUAGGGCCCUGCUUCCGACGCAGCCCGGGGAACGCAAAAGCCUUUUUGACCGAAAAUUUUGGAUGCGGAGAGGUGCGCCCAAUCUUGACGCAGAGGGGUUCCCCCCUUUUUAGCCCCCGAGGGAGGGUCGGGCUCUGCCGAGGCGAGGCUGACCCUUCCUUGACGACUAAGGCUUGUGUGGGAGCGAGGUACACGAACGGCUUGAAAACAUCUUGAGGGUAGAAGCGACAUAGCCGUCGGAUGUUCCAAGCGUUGCCGUAGACCUCGCCUUGACCGCCGGCCAGCCUGUGGAUCUCCUCGCCUAUCACUUCUGCGCUUCUCCUCGUCGAAUCGGCGCAGAGGCUGCUUGACGGGUCGGGCUCCGGCUCGAAUGUCCAGCGAGUGCUCGGCGACAUCCCUCGGUAUGCCGGGCAUGUCCGAGGGACUCCCCGCGAAGACGUCGGCGUUUGCCCGGAGAAAGUCGACGAGCACUGCUUCCUAUUUGGGGUCGAGCCUAGAGCCAACCCGGAUCUGCUUGGAGGUGUCGCCACUGGGGUCGAGGGGGACGGCCUUAACCGUCUCCGCUGGCUCGAAGUCGCCGGCGUGACGCUUCACGUCUAGCACCUCUUUGGAGAGGCUUUCGAGGUCGGCGAUGAGGGCCUCGGAUUCGGCGAGGGCCUCGGCGUACUCAACGCACUCCACGUCGCAUUCGAACGUGUGCUUGUACGUGGGGCAGACGGUGAUGACCCCGUUGGGGCCCGGCAUCUUGAGCUUCAGGUAGGCGUAGUUGGGGACGGCCAUGAACUUCGCGUAGCAUGGCCUUCCCAGUACCGCGUGGUAGGUUCCUCGAAACCCGACCACCUCGAACGUCAGAGUCUCCCUUCGGAAGUUGGAGGGCGUUCCGAAGCAGACGGGAAGGUCGAGUCGUCCGAGGGGCUGGACGCGCUUCCCGGGAAUAAUCCCAUGGAAGGGCGCAGCGCGUGCCCGGACGGAGGACAGAUCGACACGCAGGAGCCCGAGGGUCUCGGCGUAGAUGAUGUUGAGGCUGCUGCCUCCGUCCAUAAGGACCUUGGUGAGCCUGACGUCGCCGAUGAUGGGGUCGACGACGAGCGGGUAUUUCCCCGGGCUCGGCACGUGGUCGGGGUGGUCGGCUUAGUCGAAGGUGAUGGGCUUGUCGGACCAGUCUAGGUAGACUGGCGCCGCCACCUUCACCGAGCAGACCUCCCGGCGCUCUCGCUUGCGAUGCCGAGCCGAGGGAUUUGCCGCAUGCCCACCGUAGAUCAUGAAGCAGUCGCGGACCUCGGGGAACUCUCCCGCUUGGUGAUCUUCCUUCUUGUCGUCGUCGCGGGCCCUGCCACCCUCCGCGGGUGGCCCGGCCCUAUGGAAGUGGCGCUGAAGCAGGACGCACUCUUCAAGGGUGUGUUUGACGGGCCCCUGAUGAUAGGGGCAAGGCUCCUUGAGCAUCUUGUCGAAGAGGUUGGCACCUCCGGGGGGCUUCCGAGGGUUCUUGUACUCGGCGGCGGCGACAAGGUCCGCGUCGGUGGCAUCACGUUUCACUUACGACUUCUUCCUGCCUUUCUUCUUGGCGCCGCGCUGAGUAGACGCCUCGGGAGCAUCUUCCGAUGGGCGGCCCUGGGGCUGCUUGUCCUUUUGGAAGAUUGCCUCGACCGCCUCCUGGCCAGAGGCGAACUUGGUGGCGAUGUCCAUCAGCUCGCUCGCCUUGGUGGGGGUCUUGCGACCCAACUUGCUCACCAGGUCACGGCAGGUGGUGCCGGCGAGGAACGCGCCGAUGACAUCUGAGUCGGUGAUAUUGGGCAGCUCGGUGCGCCGCUUCGAGAAUCGCCGGAUGUAGUCCCGGAGGGACUCUCCCGGCUGCUGCCGGCAGCUUCGGAGGUCCUAGGAAUUCCCGGGGCGCACGUACGUGCCCUGGAAAUUGCCGGCGAAAGCUUGGACUAGGUCGUCCCAGUUGGAGAUCUGCCCCGGAGGCAGGUGCUCCAACCAGGCGCGAGCGGUGUCGGAGAGGAACAGGGGGAGGUUGCGGAUGAUGAGGUUGUCGUCGUCUGUUCCACCCAGUUGGCAGGCCAGACGGUAGUCCGCGAGCCACAGUUCCGGUCUCGUCUCCCCCGAGUACUUUGCGAUAGUAGUCGGGGGUCGGAACCGGGUCGGGAAUGGUGCCCGUCGGAUGGCCCGGCUGAAGGCCUGCGGACCGGGUGGCUCGGGCGAGGGACUCCGAUCCUCCCUGUUGUCGUAGCGUCCCCCACGCCUGGGGUGGUAGCCUCGGCGCACCCUCUCGUCGAGGUGGGCCCGACGGUCGCGAUGAUGGUGCUCGUUGCCGAGGCGGCCCGGGGCCACAGGCGCGGUGUUGCGCGUGCGCCCGGUGUAGACCGAGGCUUCCCGCAUGAAUCGGGAAGUCGCGGCAUGGGUUUCCGAGGGGUAUCCCUGCCUUCGGGAGGUAGAGCUCUCGGCCCGUCGGACCGCGGCGCCUUCCAGGAGAUUCUUGAGCUCCCCCUGGAUUCGCCGACCCGCGGUGGUGGAUGGCUCCGGCAUCGCGCGGAGGAGCAUCGCUGCUGCAGCCAGGUUCUGGUCGACCCCACUUGACGCGGGUGGUGGCCUGACCCUGACGUCGUCGGCGACGCGGUGUUGGAGACCCUGAGGCAGAUGACGUAUUUCUCCGGCCGGGCUUGGUUCGGCCAUGCCUGCCCAACGUCCCGGCGGAUCGGCUCAAGCGCUCUUGCUCCCUCGUCGAGCCUGGCCUGCACCCCGCGAAUUUGCUCGAGCUGUGGGCCGUGACCCCCCCGCCGGAACGGGGACCACAGUUAGCUCCCGUGGGAUGUCAACGCGGGGCACCGGCCUAGGGGGAUCACCGUCCUCCGGCAUGCCGAGAAGAUUGCCUUCGGAGGGACCCCUAGAUCGACGUGGAAGCAUUCGCGGCUUGGGCCGCAGUCCUCGUCGUCGAGGCUGCGGCUACCGUCGGAACAGCCGGAGAGGCUGUAGUCACAUGCGGUCAUAAAGUCCCGCAUGGCACUGGGGUUGCCAAGUCUAGAGAAAUCCCAACAGAUGCUGGGCUCGUCGUCUUCCUCGGACCUAGAGGGCCCGUAGGUCGAGACGUCCGUCAGCCGGUCCCAAGGAGACCGCAUGCGAAACCCCAGAGGGUUUGGACUCGCCCCUACGAGAGCGUCCGCCAAAGCGAGAUCGCUAGGCGGGUUGAGGCUGAAUCCAAAUGACAUAGGAUGGGAAUCGGUCGGUACCUUUUGGUCGACGAGCGGCGAUGAAGUCACGUCGGGGACUGACUGCGCCGUCGUCUCAGGUACGAGGGUGACGUCCAGCAAGCUCUCCACGAGCGCGCUGGCGUUGUCCGCUUGCUCGGGAUUGGCGUGUCGCGGGGAGACGGUGCUCGUCUUCGUCUCAAACGCGAGGUCGAUGUCUGGUGCGCCCCUCGUUGGGGUGCCGGCGCUGUCGACUCGCUCGACAGCCGACGAGGCGCUGCCUCCUGCUUGGCCUUGGUUGCCCCGCCUCCUCCUCCGUCGACGGGGGAGAGGACGGGGUGAGCUCGAAUGUCGUUCUCCCACCACGCGGGGAAGACGUCGUCGAUUCCGCCGCCGGCGGGCGGGCUGUCUGCCGCCAUUGUCGUUGUCGCAUGGCGGUGGAAGGAGUAUCAUGUCUUAGCUGCCGUCGAAGGACAUGAACUCCAGACUCCCGAAACGGAGCACCGUCCCGGGCUGGAGAGGUUGCUGGAGACUGCCCAUCUGGAGCUUGACGGGAAGCUGUUCGUCAACACGCAGCAGGCCCCUACCUGGCGCGCCAACUGUCGGCGUUUCGAGACCGGGGGGUCCCUCGGGCCGACGAGUGAGUGUCGUCGCGUGCCCCAGCCCAGAUGGGUCGAGCGCGAGGGCGAGCGCAAAGGGGGGAGGAGCGAGGCGGCCGGAGACCGGCGUGAGAGAGGUGGGAAUCCCGCGGCCUUCGUGUUCGUUCCGCGCCUAGGUCGGGUGCGCUUGCAGUAGGGGGUUACAAGCAUCCACGCGGGAGAGGGAAGCGAGCGGCCCCAAGAGAGCGCCUAUCUCGUCCUCGUCCCCGCGCGGCCAACCCUCUCUAAGAGGGCCCUGGUCCUUCCUUUUAUAGGCGCAAGGAGAGGAUCCAGGCGUACAAUGGGAGUGUAGCAGAGUGCUACGUGUCUAGCGGGGGAGAGCUAGCGCCCUGAGUACAUGCCGUCGUGGCAGCUGGAGAGGUUUUGGCACCUAGCUGGUGUGAUGUCGUGGCUGUCGGAGGAGCGAUGGAGCCUGGCGGAGGGACAGCUGUCGGAGCGGUUGGGUCCUUGCUGACGUCCUCUUGCUUCCGUAAGGGGGCUGAGAGCUGCCGUCGUCACAGAGCAUGCGGGACGCCAUCAUUGCCUAUUCGGCGGAGCUAGCCAGAUGGGACGCCGGUCUUGUUUCCUGCGGCCCGAGUCAGCUCGGGGUAGGGUGAUGAUGGCGCCUCCCGUUGACGUGGCUGGUCUGCGCCCUAGGUUGGGCGAGGUGGAAGCUCCUCCGAAGCUGAGGUCGAGUCUGUCUUCCGUGGCCGAGGCCGAGUCCGAGCCCCUGGCCGGGCGAGGCGGAGGUCGUCGUCUGAGGCCAGGGCGGAGUCCGAGCCCUGGGGUCGGGCGGAGCGGAGUUCGCCGUCUUCCGGGACUUAGCCCGAGUCCGAGCCCUGGGUCGGGCGGAGCGGAGUUCGCCGUCUUCCGGGACUUAGCCUGAGUCCGAGCCCUGGGUCGGGCGGAGCGGAGUUCGCCGUCUUCCGGGACUUAGCCCGAGUCCGAGCCCUGGGUCGGGCGGAGUGGAGUUCGCCGUCUUCCGGGACUUAGCCCGAGUCCGAGCCCUGGGUCGGGCGGAGCAGAGUUCGCCGUCUUCCGGGACUUAGCCCGAGUCCGAGCCCAGGGUCGGGCGGAGCGGAGUUCGCCGUCUUCCGGGACUUAGCCCGAGUCCGAGCCCUGGGUCGGGCGGAGCGGAGUCCGCCGUCUUCCGGGACUUAGCCCGAGUCCGAGCCCUGGGUCGGGCGGAGCGGAGUUUCCUGUGGUGCCUUCUGCAGGACCUGACUGCCUGUCAGCCUCACUCUGUCAAGUGGCACUGCAGUCGGCGCGGCGCAGGCGGUGCUGCCCUUCUGUCAGACCGGUCAGUGGAGCGGCGAAGUGAUGGCGGUCACUUCGGCUCUGCCGGGGGGCGCAUCCCAGGAUAAGGGUGUCAGGCCACCUUUGCAUUAAAUGCCCCUGCGAUUUGGUCGGUCGGUGCGGCGAUUUGGUCAGGGUUGCUUCUUAGCGAAGGCAGGGCCUUGGGCAAGCCGGAAAUAUGUUCGCCGUCGGAGGGGGGCCUUGAGCGAGACGGAAAUCCUCCGGGGUCGGCUGCCCUUGUCCGAGGCUAGGCUCGGGCGAGGCGUGAUCGAGUCGCUCGAACGGACUGAUCCCUGACUUAAUCGCACCCAUCAGGCCUUAGCAGCUUUAUGCUGAUGGGGGUUACCAGCUGAGAAUUAGGAGCCUUGAGGGUACCCCUAAUUAUGGUCCCCGACAUUACUGUUCAUGUUAAGAUCAUUAAAUUAAUGGGAACAUGGAGCGACCACCCGAGAAAACAGUGCUACCACAAGGGUUUAAUGGGACGCCCUUGGCUGAUUAACUAGGAAAGCUAGUGGAGGUCUUCCUUACCCGAAAGGGGCAAGGGCAGUAGGGGAGUGGUCAGUGUAGGGAGGUCCUUGGGUUGAUUUUGCUGCGAUGGCGGUCAGGCAAGAACCCUGCACUGGAGCUUCCUAUAAACUGUAGCGGGAUUUCUGAAGCUAGUGGAACUUUGUAAAGGCCUCGUAGUGUUACCCUGCCUCGCCUCCUCGGUAGAGGUGUAUGGGAUUGGCCGUCUCUUGGCAGAUGGGUAACAUGACUUGUGGGUAAAGAUGCGCAACCUCUGCAGAGUGUAAAACUAGUAUACUAGCCGUGCUCACGGUCAUGAGCGGCUCGGACCCUCACAUGAUUAAUUUAUGGAACUUAAAUUUAAUUUGACAUUUGCAUCGCAUUUGGGAUUAUUUUACUAUUACUGUUCUUUAUUAUUAUUAAGGUUUGGUAUUUACUUACACUUAGUAGUUGCUAAUAAAAUUUUGACCAACUUAUAAAAGCAAUGCUCAGCUUCAGCCUCUAUCUCAUUGAUCAGCCUUACACUUCAUGAACUCCCACCUUUGGUGAGUUCAUGCCACAUUAUUCCCCACGACUUGUUGAGCUAUGAACGUAUGUGAGCUCACCCUUGCUGUCUCACACCCCCCCCACAGGAGAAGAACAGGUGGUCGAAGAGGAGCCGCCUAACACCGAGGCAUUCGAUCUGAUCUAGGUGGCGUUUCUCAGUCGACAUUGGCGCCGACGAUCCUUAGUUCGUUUUAUAUUUAUCUUUAUUUUGUAAUAAGUCUUCCGCUAUGUAUUAAAUACUCUGAUGUUUUAUGACAUUUAUCUCUAUACACUCUGUUAUUAUAUAUGUUGUCUUCUUGGCGCAUGUAUGAGAUGCACCCGACUUUGUCCUUUAAACCCGGGUGUUACAAUAGCUUUGCCUUCUACACAAACUAGAGAGAUUCACACAAGAGCGAGAGUGAGAAUUGAUCCGAGUGAUGUAUGCUAUUGUUGGCUGCACUUUUAUACUUGUUGGAGGCGCCUAGGGGUCCCUUUUAUAGACCCAAGGGCCUAGGAGUCGUUGGAAUUCAUUUUGGAAGGCAAUAUUUGCUUUCUGUCAGGUGGCGCACCGGACAGUCCGGUGCACCACCGGACAGAUCCUGUAGCUUGUCCGGUGCGCGAUCUCCUUCCAAAUCAGGCUCAGCUGACCAUUGGAGCAACAGUCGUCUUGGCUCACCGGACACUGUCCGGUGCACACCGGACAGUCCGGUGCGCCAACUAUCCGUUGGUCCAAGCCACGCGUUGCCUGCUGAUCGCGCUGUCGACCGUUGGCGCAGUCGACCGUUAGCUCACCGGACAGUCCGGUGCACCACCGGACAGUCCGGUGAAUUAUAGCCGUACACCGCCAAACUAUCCCGAGAGUGGCCUGUUCACCGGAGUUCAGCCUGGCGCACCGGACACUGUCCGGUGUGCUAGACUGGGCUGAGUCUUGGCUGUACACAGCCAAGCCUUUUGCAUCUCUUUUCUUCUUCUUUCUGUUUCUAACACUUAGACAAAUAUAUUAGUACACAAAAACCAAUGUACUAAGUCUAGAAACAUACCUUCUCUUUGAUUCUCACUUUUUUAACAUUUGGCAUGAUUGAGAAUGAUGUUGGACUCAUAAACCAUCAAGUCAACCUGACUUGAUCUAGAUUGACAUUUCUGAGCUCCAACAUCCUGCAAAGGUCACAUAGAAUAUCUCCAAGCAUAGGAACAGCCCAAACUAAAGGUCAAGGUGCACUUAGCUCUUUUGGGCUGCUUCUAUUCCUGAUUUUGACAUUGGUUCUCCUUUCAGUGACCUUGUUCACUUUUUGAGCUUGGUCUUGAGCCUUAUGACUUACACCACACAAUUGUAGAUGUUACUUCAUUGGUUGUAAGUCAUGUCCUUAUGUAGUGUUCCUCGAUGUACCAUAACUCUUCUUAACUCGAUCAACCUUGAUUCCGCAAGUCUUCUUCUUCACCCCUGGCUUUGGGUUCUUGGUCUCCUUGACUUUCUCCCAUGCACUCGGCACCUCGAAGCUCUUCUUGCUUCCAUCCUUGGUCUGAUCGGUUGUCUCCAAGUUAUGCACAUCAAGUCUCACUUUAGUAAUGUCCAUCUUUCUUGUGAUGUCCAUUAUCUAUAGAUAAUUCCGUCUUUGGACCAUCACACUUGUUUACUUGUGUUGAACCCUGUUAGCUUUGCAUUCAGCACCUGUUCAACACUUAACACACUUGUUAGUCCUUUAAUUGGGUUGUCAUCCAAACACCAAAACCCGCAAGCACCAAAACCCACAAGAGAGCUUUCACUUUAUUACAUCGAGAUGUCCAAGACAUCCAUAGAGUCUAAUACAUAACUAUAGAGUUCAACAAAAUUAUCUAAGUGUGAAAUUACGAAACGUAGAUGCUAAGCCUACACAGGCAGCUAACUGGGGGUUUGCCACUAAAGUAAACUAGAACUCGUCGUAUUCCUGGAACUCCUCAAAGUCAUCCAUGUUGCCAGCUUCACCUCCUGAGCACUAAGAACAGUGGGGACAACCUAGGGUGGGGUGGUUUGUAAAGCAAGGGUGAGUACACAUCAACGUACUCAGCAAAUGUCCCGUUUGGCUAAAGUGAACUAGCUGUAUAUGGAGUUUAAGGUUAAGCAGUUGCUUUUAGUAGGUCAAGUUUUAUUAUUAUAAGUAGAGCCAAAUUUUAGUAAUAACCCAGUUAUUACCCAGAGGCACUCCUUCCAAGAGGAAAUACCAGAGAUCAGGAUUAUAAUCACCAUUGUUAAUCAUCAUCAUAAAAGUAACAAUUGUUCUUCUAAUCGAAGAGGAUCCCAAGGCUGCUCAUAACCGUAAGAACGGCUGAUAUACCAGUUUCUAACACUCUGCAGAGGUCGUACACUUUACCCACAAGUCGUGAUUCCCAUUCUGCUCGGGGUUCUAGCCUCCCCAUUGAUCACUACCAAGGUGACCUAGUAGGGUCUCACUAUGUAGCCUUUACAAAGAUUUCCCAGAGGUCAUAGCCGCCCGUUAGGUUUCUCUAGUUUGAUAAACACAGUACAUCUCCCCAAAGGAAGGGUGACUAACAAAACCAAAUCAAAGAACCUCUACAACCAACCUCGGUAGAGCAAGUACUGUGCCUGGACCCCAUUGACGGUCCUACGACGAAGCCAACUACUCCUCUGGUUCCUCUAAUUAAUCAGCUAAGGGCGUCCCAUUCCACCCUCAUGGUUGCACUGUUAUCCUAGGUUGUCACUCCCCAAACAGAUCCUUAUGGAGAGGUACUCAGGAAAUAGCCUGAGCCCCCUAAAGAAUCAUAAGAACCCCAAGAUCACAUCAUGUUCAUUGAUUAAGUUAAAGCAAUAGCAUAAGCUAACCAUGAUUAACCCAAAAAGGUAAACAAGGGUAAGGUAAGUACAGACUAGUCAAUCUUUAGGUUUCAAUAAAGUAAUGCGGGACAGUGAAUUAUAAAGUAAAGUAGGAUAUGAUAGGUCUGAGGACACUUGCCUUCACCAGGUUGUUGCUCAAGGAGGUCUCCAACAACACACUCAGGAACCUCGGACUGCUCGUUGUCUAAAUAAAGCGAGCAUGCAUUCAAUACAUUUGGAAAGUACAAAUGAACAUCACACCAAACAUGUACAAACAUUGGAACACAUCUUAAAAAGACACAAUACUACAUAAGGGAUAAUGAGUCCAAUGUAUGACAUGAACUAUAACAUAAAUUAACUUCAUUUGAAAAUAGAUUAUUAUUUCCCUAAAUGUUAUUUAUAAGUACAUAAUCAUAGAUCAAUUUAUUUUAUUGUGACCUAUAAUUUAGAACAGAGAUGAACUCAUGCAAUACCUAUCAUUAAUUUCACAAGUUUAAACAUGAUUAAAUCUCUAAGGUUCUCCUUUUAUUUAUUUUAUUACAUAAAUAAAACUACAUCUAUAUUAGUUCAUAUUCAAUCAUAAAAAUUAGAAUGUGCAAACAGUAAGUGAAACCAUUUUAUUUAAACAGAGAAUAAUUCUAUGAACAUUUUGCAAUUUGAAUCACUAAAUUUGGAGUUCAUAUGCAAAAGUUAUGAAAUAAACAAGUUUGGGAAUUCAAAAUAUGAAAUUAGGGCUAAUUCUGUGAAUAUUUAAAAAUCCAGGGCUAAAUCUGCAAGAAUACAGGGGCCUGCGCGCGAAAACCAGGGACGGCGAGUUUAUUUCUAACAAACGGAGGGUUUCUUACGCAAAACAACCAUGCGAAGGGGUAUCAGGUGAAUCUAACCAUCGGAUCUAAAAUCAACGGUUGAGAUUAGAUCUGCGGCCGAGGGCGAGCGCUGACAGGCGAGCCAGGGAGAGUCAGCGACCGAGGGGGAGAGCGCACUGACCGAGCGGGCCCAACGCCAGGGGGUUUGGGCGCUGACAGGUGGGCCAGGGCAUUAGGGCGCGUGGGCGCGAAGCGGUAUCCUGGGGUCCGGGCUGUUCAAUCAAGAUCGGACGGAGGGGGUCUAAGGGGGGUCCGAGGGGGGUCCAAGCCGUUCGAUCAAGAUCGAACGAAGCAAAACAGACCGGGAAGGAUGAGCGGCUGCGGGUGGCGCUGACAGGCGGGCCAGGGCGUUAGGCGCACGUGCGUGAAGCGGUAUCCCGCGGUUCGGGCCGUGCGAUCAAGAUUGGACGGGGGAAAUCAGACCGGGAAAACAGAAGUGCGCGAGGCGGCGCCGCUCCUCUCCGCGGCAGUGAGGUCACCAGAGUUGAGGCAGACGCGAGCUAGGGUGGCUCCGGGGUCACCGAAGUUGGGCAGAGAGGGAGAGGGCGCCACGGCGAACUCAAUGGCGGGGAAGGGGCCAUGAAUCCACUGGCAGAGAGGGUAGAACGACAGUGAGAAGGCCUCGGACGGGCCGGAGUAACGCAGGUGAGCCAUUCCAGCCACGGGGAGGGGACUUAAGGCACGCUAAGGCCUUGGCUAACUUCAGCAGAGGCAGGGGUGACACAGGGACCUACUCCGGGGAACUAGACCAGGCUAAAUCGGCCGGCCACCGCGCGAGCAUGGCGGACCGCCGCGGCCGAGCACCGGUAAAGGUGAAAUUGGCCGAGCACAGAGCGCAAUAAGGAAAAUUGGGCAUGGGGACGGGUGUCUCACCUCGGGGCGAAGCUCGAGGAGGCUUGGAGCAUUCUCCGGGGAGCUGGAUGGCCGGGAACACGGGUGCGGGUCUCCAGCGGCGGCUGGUGGCGUGGGCAGAGCGCGAGAGAGGGUGAAGCUCCACAAAAUCAGGUGAGGGGUGUGCGCGGGGCACUGGCGAGGCUCUAUGAAGGGAGCUGGGCGCAUGGGUGGGCGUCGUGGCCGAGAAAUUCGUUGACGUGCGCGAGUGCGCACGCGCCGGUCCACGGCGAGCGCGGAGGGGGCGGAACUAAUAGGUAGGGUCCACGCGCAGAGAGAAGAGAAAGGGGCGUGCGGGGCAAUGACUCGGCGACUGGCAAUCCGGGCCCACGAGACAAAGAGAGAGAGAGAAAGAGAGAGAGCGGGCGAAGGAAACUGGCGCCGACAGAUUGGCCCCACAGGGUAGCGAGCGAGGGAGGGAGGGCGCACGCGAGGGAGAACUGCCGCUGACAGGCGAAGUCCGCUUGUCAGGCGGCGCGGGCGCGCGGUCGACUGAGCUGGUUUGGGCUGCUUUCUCCUUUUCCUUUUCUUUGAAUUUUCUAAUUCCUUUUCCAUUUCUUUUUCUAUAGGGUUUUUCAAAUCCAAAUUCAAACUAGGUUUCAAAUUCAAAUAAAUUCAAACUUGUGCAACACUUCAAAGAAUAUUUUAAGCUCAGCAUGAUGCAACAUGUCAUGACUCAUAAGGUUUUGGCAAAAAUAAAUAAUUAACCUCCACUAGUUUAAGCUAUUUCUAACCAAAAGGAAAAAGAGAGAAAGAAUCUAGAGAGAGAAAGCCUAGAGUGAGAAAAGGAAGAGUAACACAUGAUUUUGGGUGAUAAUUAGAAAGAAAUUUUAUACCCCCAAAGUCAGGGUGUUACAGAAAUAAUUCAAAACUUGUUUCUGGUGAGCAAGGCUAUCUCUACAACAUUGUAUCACUCAAUAAGAUCUGGUUUGAGCAUACUCAUGCUCUGUUAUGGCUAUAGUCUUUUGGAUCACUUGGAGCACAUAUACAAUUGCUAAGAUGUAUUUGUCGACACUUGUAGCUUUUUUCAAAUAAUAUAAUUCUCCACUUGACAUGAAGUCAUUUUCUUAUCCACCCUUAUGAUUCCUCGUGAAAUCCCAAAAUGAGAAUCAAAGGUUUCUGAUACCCUAGCCUCAUCAGUGUGCAUUGUGCUAGGUUAUGAAUGUCAUACAUUCAUAGGAUAAUCCAUAUCCUCUAGGUAUCCACCAACACUAGGUUGGUUACCAACGAAUAGUUGGUCUGCAUUUACUAUCUCAGAAGGUCUAGCCUUCAGCUGCUUGCAAGCAUCUUAAUCCUAAUCUUUAACCAUACUUCUCCCCCUAUUAUUUACAACCGCGUUGCAAUAGGGAGUUACAUGGUUUUCCAUGUAACCACUCUUUCUGGCACAUUCCACAUAGGAUUAAUUUGAGUGACACCUCAUAGUAAAUGCACAUGGCAGUCGAUUUGCGCCUUGUUGCAAAUCAUUUGAACCUAAAGGUCCAGUUUUAGUACAUGAUCAUGAGCCUGAAUGCUUACUGCAUUCCUUCUAAUUUCCUAACACUCUUUCUGGUACUUGAAAUCUCUCCCUAAUGCAUAGAAAAGCUCAUGAUUCAAGUUAGCAUACGGGUCGUAAAUAUAUUCUCAUAGAGAGAUUCUAAAUACUAAUGAUUGACGGAGAAUGAAUUCUCAUAUAGAUCUUCGGCUUUCUAUGUGCCCAGCCAUACAUAGAAGCUAUGGUGAUAAGAUAGGGAAAACAUCCCAAUGUACGCAUGAGAAUCUCUCAUGGAUUUUCACGUACUAAACCAUAGGGGAACUUGUAUGUGCAGUAAAUGCAGUCAAUCACAAGUCAUGAGCGUGCAAGACUACCUGAUUCCAACCAUAACUAGUUGAAAAUGACAAUUCAUUACUGAUAGUCAUGAACAGUCUGAAAUGUCUGAAUCAUAUAUUUGUCAUAUCCAUUGUGGAUAUCAUUCUGAAUAACAAGGCAAACAAUCGUCAUUGUAAGCAAAUUUGGUAAAUUCAGUAGCGUGGAGGCUAAUGUGCUCAAGCUUGAGACAUUAUUAUUUAAUGGUCUUGUGUUGUCCGAAGGACACACUUCAGGUUAUCAUAUAGAUGCACCAUAGAACCAUGUAAUGCCUUUGAUGUCCAUAAUAUCUCUAUAAUGGACCACACUCGUACUUUUGAAAAUAAUUCAAAGAACGUAACCAAUUUAGAUUAGAUUUUAAGAUAAGAGGGAAUUAAAAUCUUAUUCUCGAUGAUACUCAUAGAGUAUCCAUCCCAUGGGAAACUAUCGGUGUUAAGUACCAGCAUCAUGCUAUGGGGGUGGCCACGUAGUGCUUUUUUGAGGAAGGAAAAACGAUUGCAACUCGAUGGUACAUGCCAUGCAUGUCGGAGACACAAGUGAUUGCUCAGGAUCGGGCCGCACUGUGGCGUAAUACCCUACUUCUUGUGGUUUCUUUCUAUGUGUAGUUGAGUUCUCUCUAGAAUACAGGGGAUGUCUCAUUAAGGAAGCUGAUUUCUAUGGGUGUGUCUAUCUUGUUUUCGUAGGGUCCACAUUUUAACCUUACUGUCGACUGAAUUGGGGUUACAGAGAAACUACCAUGAGUCCACGAUCUCGACGUUCUGCUUGUUCUGCCUCUCGUCGUGCUAGGCUACGGUCAAACGAGUCAUUCGCUAAUUAAUACAUUCUUGAUACUUCCAUUACCAUAGGAGGUAUGAUAUCAACAUAUCAUGAUAUCGCAUGAAGCGAUUGUCAAAAUAUUAUUUCCUCUUUCUAAAGUAAUAUGAAAUAUUUUGUUUCCCUACUUAUAGAGUUUGUGGUUCAAUUCUCCACAUUGCAUGUUUCUUUCUCAAUUGGAAGAAUCCUCGUACAAGUUUGGACAACUCAAAUUAAUGAGUCUUCAACUCCAAUCAAUGAGUUUGUUCAACUCUAAUCGAUGAGCUUGUCAACUCAAAUUGUAUGGUGUGUGUUCAACUUAAAUCGAUGAGUUUGUUCAACUCAAACCACAUGAGUGGUCAUCUCCAAUCGAUGAGUUUGUUUAACUCAAAUUCAUAAGAGUUUGUGCAACUCAAAUCCAUGAAUUUGUACAACUGAAAUCACAUAUCUUCCUUGCAAUAUAUCAAAUAAUUACAAGCAUACCUUUGGCUUUACACGAGUGAUAGCAUGAAGGUAUCUUUAAAGGCUGAGUUAGAUGAAGCUCUGAACUCUCGAGAGAUCAAUUUAUGUAUGGCAAUGUUCCUCUAUUUAUAGGGGAGAGAUACAACUUCGUAUAAAAUUACAAAUAUGCCCCUAAAUUUUACACGUGUGUUUCACAUGUAGAGUAGGGGCAACAUCAUCUUUUCUCCUUUCUUGUUGCACAAGUCUUCUAAGUCUCCUUCUUCUCUGCUUCAGGCACAAAGCUCUAUGGCGCCGAAGCUGCCUGCUUCGGUGCUAUGCUUAUUCACAUACGAAGAUCCACAUCUUUUCCUUUUCGAUUUGCUAGCUACUUCUAGACGAAGGAUGGCUUCGUCUAUUCUUUAUAUUGUACUUGAAACACAUUUUCUCAAUAAAAAAUGAAGAGUUUUAAGAAUCUUAGGCAAUAUAGGGCCUCAACACCGGUUGUUGUUUUACUCCUAUAGUAGGAGCAUCUCCAACAGCGAAAAUGCCCUAUAAUUUAAAAAUAAGUAUAUUGUUUAGGAUUUAGGACACCAAUAAAAUAUUCUGCUCUAACAGUAAAUCCUCAAAUCUGGAUUAUGGGGCAGCCUACUAUGGUGUAGUAUAUUUGAGGCACUUGAGAGAUCGCUCUAUAAUUUUUGACCAAAUUUUAUAAAAUAAGAUAUUGUUGGAGUAGUUUUUUCUUUGCAGAGCUCUAUAAAAUAAGGUAUUGUUGGAGUAGUCGGGAGCAAAAAUGUAUUUAGGUUUACCUAUCCUCGGUCGCCCUAUAAAUACCGCGACCUGUAACUGAUGGGACACACUUAACGAGAUGUUACAGUUCUCUACCUAACAUUUUAUUGAGCACCUCAUUUAUCACCUGCUCCCGAGUGUUAGGAUCCACUUAUUUGACCCAAUUUAGAUAGAAAAUAGUGUUUUGCAUGACUAUAUACACGAUCGACUGUUGAUAUGCUAGCCACAGUUUUAAAUUAGUCAAAUAGAAUGGGCAUGUUUGAAGGGAGGAAGUAGUAUUUAAUAUAGAGGGCGGGAACGAAGAAAGUUGUAUUUAGUAUAGAGGGCGGGAACGAAGAACGUUACGAGAAUCUACUAAAGAGCCAUUUGAAUCUCUUUAUUUUAAAGAAAUGAGAAUAUAUCUAAUAUAAUAGACUAUUUUAUUUGGAAUUUAAUAUUUCACCACUUUCUAAAGUUUAAAUAUAAGUCUAUAUCAAAGUCAUAGAAUGGGAUGAUGGAAAUUGAUUUUAUAUAUCACUAGUCUAUAUUUUUACUCUGUAGCUUAUAACACGUUCUUCGUCUCGUUCCCCUAUGGUAAAAAUGUAGCAAAUAAAUAUCUCCAUCAUAUGACUAUAUGUAGUAUACAAAUAUAUUUUAUAUAAAACUGUAUUAGUUUAACUGAUUUAUGUAUAAAUUAAGAUUAUUAGAAUAAAAUUCAAUUCAAGCAUCCAAACGGGCAUAAUAGCAUUUACACUUCUAAUUUUUUUGUAUCCGUUGUCACGGUCGAUUUAAACUCUUUGAGAAUGACGGUAGCAAACUAGCAUGAAGUAAGGAUAUAAAUGGUAUAGAUAUCAUCCGUCUAUAUUUAAACUUGAUCCGUUUAAGUGGGCUAAAAUUUAAUCUAUAUCCAAGUUCAAGUAUUCAAUAUUUAAUUAGUAUAUGUAUACUCAAAUUUGGAUAUUUAAGAUGUCGAUAUCUAUUUAAAUUAUUGUCGGGGACCAUAAUUAGGGGUACCCUCAAGGCUCCUAAUUCUCAGCUGGUAACCCCCAUCAGCAUAAACCUGCAAAGGCCUGAUGGGUGCGAUUAAGUCAGGGAUCAGUCCAUUCGAGGGACUCGAUCACGCCUCGCCCGAGCCUAGCCUCGGACAAGGGCAGCCGACCCCGGAGGAUUUCCGUCUCGCCCGAGGCCCCCCUCCAGCGGCGAACAUAUUUCUGGCUUGCCCGAGGCCCUGUCUUCGCCAAGAAGCAACCCUGACCAAAUCGCCGCACCGACCGACCAAACCGCAGGAGCAUUUAAUGCAAAGGUGGCCUGACACCUUUAUCCUGACGCGCGCCCCCCAGCCGGCAGAGCCGAAGUGACCGCCGUCACUUCGCCGCUCCACUGACCGGCCUGACAGAAGGACAGCGCCGCCCGCGCCACUCCGGCUGCGGUGCCACUUGACAGAGUGAGACUGACAGGCAGUCAGGCCCGGCCGAAGGCUCCAUAGGAAACUCCGCUCCGCCCGACCCAGGGCUCGGACACGGGCUAAGUCCCGGAAGACGGCGAACUCCACUCCGCCCGACCCAGGGCUCGGACACGGGCUAAGACCCGGAAGACGGCGAACUCCGCUCCGCCCGACCCAGGGCUCGGACACGGGCUAAGACCCGGAAGACAGCGAACUCCGCUCUGCCCGACCCAGGGCUCGGACACGGGCUAAGACCCAGAAGACGGCGAACUCCGCUCCGCCCGACCCAGGGCUCGGACACGGGCUAAGUCCCGGAAGACGGCGAACUCUGCUCCGCCCGACCCAGGGCUCGGACACGGGCUAAGACCCGGAAGACGGCGAACUCCGCUCCGCCCAACCCAGGGCUCGGACACGGGCUAAGUCCCGGAAGACGGCGAACUCCGCUCCGCCCGACCUAGGGCUCGGACACGGGCUAAGACCCGGAAGACGGCGAACUCCGCUCCGCCCGACCCAGGGCUCGGACACGGGCUGAGUCCCGGAAGACGACGAACCCCACUUCGCCCGACCCCAGGGCUCGGACUACGCCCUGGCCUCAACCGACGGUCUCCGCCUCGCCCGACCCGGGGGCUCGGACUCGACCUCGGCCACGGAAGAUAGACUCGACCUCGGCUUCGGAGGAGCUUCCACAUCGCCCAACCUAGGGCGCAGACCAGCCACGUCAAUAGGAGGCGCCAUCAUCACCCUACCCCGAGCUGACUCGGGCCGCAGGGAACAAGACCGGCGUCCCAUCUGGCUUGCUCCGCCAGAUAGGCAAUGAUGGUGCCCCGCAUACUCUGUGACGACGGUGGCUCUCAGCCCCCUUACGGAAGCAAGAGGACGUCAGCAAGGACUCAACCGCUCCGACAGCUGUCCCUCCGCCAGGCUCCAUCGCUCCUUCGACGGCCACGACAUCACACCAGCUGGGUGCCAAGAUCUCUCCGGCUGCCACAACGGCAUGUACUUAGGGCACUGGCUCUCCUCCGCUGGACACGUAGCACUCUGCUAUACCCCCCAUUGUACACCUGGAUCCUCUCCUUACGCCUAUAAAAGGAAGGACCAGGGCCCUCUUAGAGAGGGUUGGCCGCGCGGGGACGAGGACGAGAUACGCGCUCGCUUGAAGCCGCUCGCUCCCUCUCCCACGUGGACGCUUGUAACCCCCUACUGCAAGCGCACCCGACCUGGGCGCGGGACAAACACGAAGGCCGCGGGAUUCCCACCUCUCUCACGCCGGUCUCUGGCCGCCUCGCUCUCCCCCCUUCGCGCUCAGCCUCGCGCUCGACCCAUCUGGGCUGGGGCACGCGGCGACAUUCACUCGUCGGCCUAGGGACCCCCCGGUCUCGAAACGCCGACAGUUGGCGCGCCAGGUAGGGGCCUGCUGCGUGUUGACGAACAGCUUCCCGUCAAGCUCCAGAUGGGCAGUCUCCAGCAACCUCUCCAACCCGGGACGGUGCUCCGUUUCGGGAGCCUUGAGUUCAUGUCCCUCGACGGCAGCUACGACAUGAUACUCCUUCCACCGCCGUGCGACAACGACAAUGGCGGCCGACAGCCCGCCCGCCGGCGGCGGAAUCGACGACGUCUUCCCCGCGUGGUGGAAGAACAACCUUCCUGCCCUCUUCCCCGCCGACGGAGGGGAAGACGGGGCAACCAAGGCCAAGCAGGAGGCAGCGCCUCGUCGGCUGUCGAGCGAGUCGAUCGCGCCGGCACCCCAACGGGGGCGCAUCGGGUAUCGACUUCGCGCUUGAGACGAAGACGAGCGCCGUCUCCCCGUGACACGCCAAACCCGAGCAAGCGGAUGACGCCAGCACGCUCGCGAAAAGCUUGCUGGACGUCACCCUCGUACCUGAGACGAUGGUGCAGUCAGUCCCCGACGUGACCUCACCGCCGCCCGUCGACCAGAAGGUACCGACCGAUUCCCAUCCCGCGUCUUUCGGAUUCAGCCUCGACCUGCCUAGCGGCUUCGCUUUGGCGGGUGCUCUCGUAGAGGCGAGUCCAAACCCUCUGGGGUUUCGUAUGCGGUCACCUUGGGACCGGCUGACGGACGUCUCGACCUACGGGCCCUUUGGGUCCGAGGAAGACGACGAGCCCAGCAUCUGUUGGGAUUUCUCUGGACUUGGCAACCCCAGUGCCAUGCGGAACUUCAUGACCGCAUGUGACUACUGCCUUUCCGACUGUUCCGACGGUAGCCGUAGCCUCGGCGACGAGGACUGCGGCCCAAGUCGCGAAUGCUUCCACGUCGAUCUGGGGGGUCCCUCCGAAGGCAACCAUCUCGGCAUGCCGGAGGACGGUGAUCUCCCUAGGCCGGUGCCUCGCAUUGACAUCCCACGGGAGCUAGCUGUGGUCCCCGUUCAGGCGGGGGACCAUGACCCACAGCUCGAGCAAAUCCGCGGGGUGCAGGCCAGGCUCGACGGGGGAGCAGGAGCGCUUGAGCCGAUCCGCCGGGACGUCGGGCAGGCAUGGGCGGGCCAACCCCCGGCCGGAGAAAAACGUCAUCUACCCCAGGGCUUCCAGCACCGCGUCGCCGACGACGUCAGGGUCAGGCCACCACCCGCAUCUAGUGGGGUCGGCCAGAACCUGGCUGCAGCAGCGAUACUUCUCCGCGCGAUGCCGAAGCCACCAACCACCGAGGGGCGGCGAAUCCAGGGGGAGCUCAAGAAUCUCCUAGAAGGCGCCGCAGUCCGACGGGCCGAGAGCUCUGCCUCCCGAAGGCAGGGGUACCCCUCGGAACCUCAUGCCGCGACUUCCCGAUUCAUGCGGGAAGCCUCGGUCUACACCGGACGCACGCGCAACACCGCGCCUGCGGCCCCGGGUCGCCUCGGCAACGAGCAUCAUCACCGCGACCGUCGGGCCCACCUCGAUGAGAGGGUGCGCCGAGGCUACCACCCCAGGCGUGGGGGACGCUACGACAGCGGGGAGGAUCGGAGUCCCUCGCCCGAGCCACCCGGUCUGCAUGCCUUCAGCCGAGCCAUACGACGGGCGCCGUUCCCGACCCGGUUCCGACCCCCGACUACUAUCACGAAGUACUCGGGGGAGACGAGACCGAAACUGUGGCUCGUGGACUACCGUCUGGCCUGUCAACUGGGUGGAACGGACGAUGACAACCUCAUCAUCCGCAACCUCCCCCUGUUCCUCUCCGACACCGCUCGCGCCUGGUUAGAGCACCUGCCUCCGGGGCAGAUCUCCAACUGGGACGACCUGGUCCAAGCUUUCGCUGGCAAUUUCCAGGGCACGUACGUGCGCCCCGGGAAUUCCUGGGACCUUCGAAGCCGUCGACAGCAGCCGGGAGAGUCUCUCCGGGACUACAUCCGGCGAUUCUCGAAGCAGCGCACCGAGCUGCCCAACAUCACCGACUCAGAUGUCAUCGGCGCGUUCCUCGCUGGCACCACCUGCCGCGACCUGGUGAGCAAGCUGGGUCGCAAAACCCCCACCAGGGCGAGCGAGCUGAUGGACAUCGCCACCAAGUUCGCCUCCGGCCAAGAGGCGGUCGAUGCUAUCUUCCGGAAGGACAAGCAGCCCCAGGACCGCCCUUCGGGAGAUGCCCCCGAGGCGUCAACUCAGCGCGGCGCCAAGAAGAAGGGCAAGAAGAAGUCGCAAGCGAAACGCGACGCCGCCGACGCGGACCUUGUCGCCGCCGCCGAGUACAAGAACCCUCGGAAGCCCCCCGGAGGUACCAACCUCUUCGACAAGAUGCUUAAGGAGCCGUGCCCCUAUCACCAGGGGCCCGUCAAGCACACCCUUGAGGAGUGCGUCAUGCUUCGGCGCCACUUCCACAGGGCCGGGCCACCCGCGGAGGGUGGCAAGGCCCGCGACGACGACAAGAAGGAAGAUCACCAGGCAGGAGAGUUCCCCGAGGUCCGCGACUGCUUCAUGAUCUAUGGUGGGCAAGCGGCGAACGCCUCGGCUCGGCACCGCAAGCAAGAGCGCCGGGAGGUCUGUUCGGUGAAGGUGGCGGCGCCAGUCUACCUAGACUGGUCCGACAAGCCCGUCACCUUCGACCAAGCCAACCACCCCGACCAUGUGCCGAGCCCGGGGAAAUACCCGCUCGUCGUCGACCCCAUCAUCGGCGACGUCAUGCUCACCAAGGUCCUCGUGGACGGAGGCAGCAGCCUCAACAUCAUCUACGCCGAGACCCUCGGGCUCCUGCGUGUCGAUCUGUCCUCUGUCCGGGCAGGCGCUGCGCCCUUCCAUGGGAUCAUUCCUGGGAAGCGCGUCCAGCCCCUCGGACAGCUCGACCUUCCCAUCUGCUUCGGAACACCCUCCAACUUCCGAAGGGAGACCCUGACGUUUGAGGUGGUCGGGUUUCGAGGAACCUACCACGCGGUACUGGGAAGGCCAUGCUACGCGAAGUUCAUGGUCGUCCCCAACUACACCUACCUGAAGCUCAAGAUGCCGGGCCCCAACGGGGUCAUCACCGUCGGCCCCACGUACAAACACGCGUUCGAAUGCGACGUGGAGUGCGUGGAGUACGCCGAGGCCCUCGUCGAGUCCGAGGCCCUCAUCGCCGACCUGGAAAGCCUCUCUAAGGAGGUGCUAGACGUGAAGCGUCACGCCGGCAACUUUGAGCCAGUGGAGACGAUUAAGUCCGUCCCCCUCGACCCUAGCGACGACGCCUCCAAGCAGAUCCGGAUCGGCUCCGGGCUCGAUCCCAAAUAGGAAGCAGUGCUCGUCGACUUUCUCCACGCGAACGCCGACGUCUUCGCGUGGAGUCCCUCAGACAUGCCCGGCAUACCGAGGGAUGUCGCCGAGCACUCGCUGGACAUCCGAGCCGGAGCCCGAUCCGUCAAGCAGCCUCUGCGCUGAUUCGACGAGGAGAAGCGCAGAGCCAUAGGCGAGGAGAUCCACAAGCUAAUGGCGGCAGGGUUCAUCAAAGAGGUAUUCCAUCCCGAAUGGCUUGCCAACCCUGUGCUUGUGAGAAAGAAAGGGGGGAAAUGGCAGACGUGUGUAGACUACACUGGUCUCAACAAAGCAUGUCCGAAGGUUCCCUACCCUCUGCCUCGCAUCGAUCAAAUCGUGGAUUCCACUGCUGGGUGCGAAACCCUGUCUUUCCUCGAUGCCUACUCAGGGUAUCAUCAAAUCAGGAUGAAAGAGUCCGACCAGCUCGCGACUUCUUUCAUCACACCCUUCGGCAUGUACUGCUAUGUCACCAUGUCGUUCGGCUUGAGGAAUGCGGGCGCGACGUACCAGCGGUGCAUGAACCAUGUGUUCGGCGAACACAUUGGCCGCACGGUCGAGGCCUACGUCGAUGACAUCGUAGUCAAGACGAGGAAAGCUUCCGACCUCCUUUCCGACCUUGAAGUGACAUUCCGAUGUCUCGAGGCGAAAGGCGUCAAGCCAAAUCCCGAGGAGUGUGUCUUCGGGGUGCCCCGAGGCAUGCUCUUGGGGUUCAUCGUCUCCGAGCGGGGCGUCGAAGCCAACCUGGAGAAGAUCGCGACUGUCGCGCAGCACCCCGAUCCCUUGUUGGGGACACCCGGGGGCUACACGCACCCCUGGGAAGGGCCGCUCGUCAUCGCCAAAGUUCUGAAGCCCGGAACGUACAAGCUGACCAACAGUCAAGGCGAGGUCUACGGCAACGCUUGGAACAUCCGACAGCUAUGUCGCUUCUACCCUUAAGAUGUUUUCAAGUUGUUCGUAUACCUCGCUCCCACACAAGUCUUAGUCGUCAAGGAAGGGUCAGCCUCGCCUCGGCAGAGCCCGACCCUCCCUCGGGGGCUAAAAAGGGGGGAACCCCUCUGCGUCAAGAUUGGGGAACCCCUCUGCGUCCAAAAUUUUCAAUCAAAAAGGCUUUUGCGUGCCCCCGGCUAUGUCGGAAGCAGGACCCCAAGGAGCGAACACGGGCGCAUGUAAGUGGCAGGGCCGACUGAGCCGAGGGACUCCUAUGCCUCCGAGUUGUGGACGCCCCACUCGUCACCCGCCACGAAAAAGUGACCCCUACUUGGGGAAGCCGCCCUGUUACUAACAGGUGAAGCCGGACACGCAAAAUAAAAGGGAAAGGAGUACAACUUCAUGCAACGGUAACAAAGUGUUCAGGCCUCAGCGGCCACAGAAAGACACGUGCAUCCAACAAAGUUAGGCGUCACCUCGAGAAGGAGCCACGCCUUCGGCUUCAUCCCCAUCUUCGGAAAAUUCCAUCCCGGCUUCCGACGACGGCGCAGGUGGAAGGAUCUCUGCCUCAAAGGUGGUCGCCAGCACUGCGCUCGGACCCGCUGUGGCCGCGUCGAGCCUCUGGACUUCUGCCAGGGCGGCUUCAUCUUCGUCGGGAAGGCAAUACCCCUCGCUGACCCGCUCCAGGUCCACAACGUAGUGGGAAGCGAGCACGGCGAAGGCCCGCCUGACGCCGUGGUGUAGCGCCUCGCGGAGUCUGCCGCGCACAUGAUCGCCCAAGACUUGAAGGCGACUUUGAGGGGAGCUUCCGGAGGGGACGUCGCCGGAGCCAAGGACUCGGCAAAAGUCCGAGACGGCCUCGGACAUGGCCGCGUGGUCGGCCUCCCUCUGCUCGGCCGCCCCGGCAAGCGCCUCGGCAAGCGCCUUGGCGGACUCAUCGAGGGCGGACUCGAGCUCUGCGCACAGCCAGAAGAAAGAUCUCAAACACAAGCAGAGGAAACAAGCAGCAACGAAAACCGAAGAUGGCCAAGGCGUACCUCCGGCUCGGGCACGCUGCUCCGAGGCUGCGACCUGGGCUACGGCUAGGUCGGCCGCAAAGGUUUCAGCCCGGCUUUCGGCCUCAGCAGCCCGGCCCCGAGAUUGGUCCCGCUCCUUGACGACCCGGUCGAACUCCGACCGCUGUUGUUGCACUUCUACGCGCGCCGCGGCUGCCUCCGCGCGCGCCGCUGCCGCCUCGGCUCUCAGAUCGGUGCAGAGCAACCGAAGGUCCGCCACCUCGGCACCCUGCUGAGAGAGGCGCAGUAGCCCCGGCAAGCGAGGUCCUCAGGGAUCGCAGCGAGCCCUAGACGUCGACCUCGCGGCGGAUGAACGACGACUUGGCGGCGCUCCGAUCCGUCAGAUCCUGAGGGAAGGAAGCGGGGCAUCACGAAAGACGCCUUGGUCACAAAAGAGAAAAGGUAUGCCUGAAACCGUUACCUGGAGGAUUUUGGCGACGUCCCUGCAGAAAACCUCCAGCGACGACCGGAGCGACCCCACCGUUGCUUCGGCACACUCGCGGAGCUCGUCCCAGGACUGGUCCUCCCGUUCAUCGUCGAGAACGAAGCCGGGAUCCGAGGCCUCACGGGUCCGGAACCGGAGCAACUGGCGCCGGCCCUCGGAGCUCCGCCGCACAGUGACAAGGCUGCCACCCGGCGGGACGGAUCGCGCCUCCACGCCCCCCUCUUCCGAGGCACCGAGCACAGACGCCUCAGCCGUCUCAACGUCGGCAGCAACCGGUCGCUCCCCGACUGGGACGGCGGCGACAGGCGCCGGCAUCGCCGGCACGACCGGUGGGCCCGGGGCCACAUCCGCGUCAGCUGCUUCCCCUAUCACGAUGGCCGCCCCAGCAGAAGCGCCAGCCUCGGGAACCCGCUCCACGGCGACUGGUGCCGCCUGAGCCCCCUGCUGUGGAGCGCCUUGCGAGAAGGUCAGCUGAACGGCAAGGCCCGGAGCGGUGCUGGCCGCGCAAGCCGGUGUCGUCUUAAGGGCCUUCCGGGGCGCCAGGUCAGUCAGGCCAUGGCUUCGCUUGCUGAGGAAAAAAGAAAAAUCACGGCCGGGACAUACGAAUGAAAAGCUAGGACGAAGACAUUCCAAGAUACUCACCCGCUCCGGGCCAUGAUCAACCGUGCCUGGGGGGAGGUCUCUCGGAUCUCGACCCCUGGAGCCGCCGCCGAGGUCCGCUUCGCCGGCAGCUUCGGCACCACCCUUGCUUUGGGCGCCCUGGACGCCCGGGAGGCGGACUGCUCAGGCACUGCCACGGCGACCUGGGGGUCGCUCCCCUACGCUGCCGGCGUGGGCGGCGGCUCUCGGGGAGCAGACGCCCCGGCCUGGCUCCCCGGGGUCGCCUCAGCUCCUCCAGCCGAGGGGUCAAGUACCCUCUCGGAUUGCCCCCGCCCCUCGAGCCGGGACCCCGGCGUCCCGACUCCAAGGACUGACGGCAUCAACCCGCUCGGGGGCCGGUUUGACGGCUCCUGGCGUAACCCCAAGCCGGGGCUGAGGCCAAGGCGGGCAGCCAUGUCGUCUUCCUCAUCACCAUCUUCAUCAUCGUCAUCGUCAUCGGGCGUUUCCGGCGACGGCUUCCUCGGGAGCCCCUCCCUCUCCUGCCGGCGACGAAGCUUUUCCAAGGCGUCCCGAGCCCACCUCCGCUCGCGGGCCUGGGCCUUCUCCGCGUCCUUCUUUUUCUUCUUCUCCUCCGCGGCAACCCGCCGCGCUGCUCGGUCCACCGCAUCUUGCGGGACCCGUGGCAGGGAAGACUUGUGCCACCCUACCUCCUGAAGACGGAUGGAAAUCCCGACCUUAAAAACCAGGGGCAAUCUGACGCAAGAAGAAAGAAGGAGUGGACACUCACCAGAGUCACGCACCCUUGGUCAGGGCGCAUCAAAGGCUGGGAGAAGGCGCUGGGGUCCGGCUUCCCCAACGCAACGGACACCCGCCCGUGGAGGACGUCGAAGGGAAGAGGAUCAGAGGACAUCCGCGAGCCCUCCAAGUCAGCCUCCGGUGUCAUUUCCCAAAGCGGCAGCCGUCGCUCCGCCAAGGGAAGCACCCUCCGGUGGUGGAUGGCGGCAAUCACCCCCGCAGCGGUGAGUCCCCCCUUUCGCAACGCCUCUAAGGCCUUGAGGAGGGGUUCGAGGUUCUUCUGUCUUUCGUGAGGGGUCCCGUGGCGCCAAGCAUCGGCGGCGGUGGUGACUACUCGCUGAGAAAACGGCGGGAGCAACUCGCCGUCAUUCCGGAGGUAGAACCACCGGCGCUGCCACCCCUUGUUCGAGGAUGCGAGGAUGGCAGGAAUAUACAGCGACGCCCGCGACUGCCUCAGCAGGAGGGUGCAGCCGCCAGCCCGCACUGCUGCGCGGACUUUCCUCUCCCCCGUCAGCGAAGCAAAGAGCUCCGCGAAAAAGAGAUGGGUCCACAAAUCCCAAUGGGGGCGAUCCCCAAGUACCCCUCGCACACCGCUACGAAGAUGGCGGCCUGCGAGAUGGAGUUGGGGCUGAGGUUGUGCAACUCCACCCCAUAGUGGUGCAGGAUCGCCCGCAUGAAGCGGCUCGCCGGCACACCAAAUCCCCGCUCGUGGAAGGAGACGAAGCUCACGAUGUACCCCGGCGGUGGGGACGGAGCGGCUCCGCCCACGGGGGGAAUCCAUUCCGGCCGCUGCUCAUCGAUGAGAGGGCGAAGUAAACCCUCGCCAACAAGAUCCUCCAGAUCACUCGCUGUCACCGUGGAAAGAGGCCAUGGGUCGCGCGGCGAGAUGAUGGUCACCCGGUCAGCCAUCGCCGAGCGGAAGGGGUGGCGGCGCAAGGGACAGGGAGGGCGGUUUCCUCUUCUCUGGCUAAGUCUCUCGGGUUGCGAAAAACCUAAGAGGGAGGCAGGAAGCGAAGCAAAGAACCAUCGCCAGACCCUCUCCCGAGUAUAUGAAGACCAAGGCGCGACCGGUUCAAACGUUCCGCCCGGACCGGACGUGGGAUUCAAAAACGCGAAGUGAAACAGCCGUUCCUCGAACGGCUCGCGCACGCGCAACGGCCGCCCCGCAAACCACUCGCCCCGUCGCAUUAACUCCGUGGCGGGACAGGCGGCGCCUCUGGCAGGAGAAGCGGGCGACGCUUCGCCUUCGCCAUAAUGACCACGUCAAAAAAGGUACGCCGCGCCCUUCGAUUUCGUAUCCUUUUCCUUUUUCCUCUUUCUCUCUCUUGCAACAGGGACCGGGAAAGGGGGAUACCCCGAAAAGGAUCCUUCCCCGUGAAGGAACCAGGCCCCGAGCCUCCCUACUGAUCAGAGGUUCGAAGGCUGGCCCCUCGGAAGGGUUCCACAGCCGCCUCAGAUCACGUGGGCCCUACACCCACUACUGGUCAGAGGUUCGAAGGCCGGCCCCUCGGAAGGGUUCAACGACCGCCUCAGGCCACUCGGGCUCCGCGCCCACUACUGAUCAGGGGUUCGAAGGCUGGCCCCCGAAGGGUUCACAGCCGCCUCAGACGCCGAGCGAGGGAUGACCAUGGGUACGUUCGAUACAUAACCAAGGCUCGGGCUGCGCUCCCGAGGUACCCUAGGACAUUUCCGAGACCGGCGGGAACGAUCUUGUAACGGAAUCCCAUCAGAGGGAGGCAUCGAGCCCUCGGACCCCGUCGCCAGGGGACCGGGUCCGGCAGAUCACCCGCAGGUACUUUUGGGCGUGCCUCUGGGCCCCUAGUCGACCCCUAACGAACGGGGCACGGACGUCCACUCGGAUCACCCGCUUGCAGCUCACCGGAGACACCAUGUUCGGCGCCCAUCGAGGGCAACAUGGCGCUUUCCCCCCCUCCUCCUUGCGGAAAGGCGACGCAGGGGCGUAUGUAAAAAAGCCGAGUCUGUCCCUGAUCGCCCUCUCGCCCUGUGCAGAGGCUCAGGGGCUGCUCUCGCAAACCCGGCUCCGGCCGAACCGUUGACAGCGUCAACAUACCAGCCCGAGAACUUGGGACCCGACCAUACACCCGGGCUACGGCCAGCUCGCAUGAGGGAAUGACCAGACCAGCCGAAGCGUUACGCAAGGCAUUAAGACCUCGAAUGAGUGAAACCACUCCUCCGAGGCCUUGGGGGCUACACCCGGCGGGUGCGCUCGCGCGCACCCACCGGAACAAAACGCAACCGAGAAAGGCUGGUCCCCUUGCAAAAAAGUGCAACGAAAGCCUCCAAGCGAGUGCUAACACUCCCUUCGAGGCUCGGGGGCUACUGUCGGGGACCAUAAUUAGGGGUACCCUCAAGGUCCUAAUUCUCAGCUGGUAACCCCCAUCAGCAUAAAGCUGCAAAGGCCUGAUGGGUGCGAUUAAGUCAGGGAUCAGUCCAUUCGAGGGACUCGAUCACGCCUCGCCCGAGCCUAGCCUCGGACAAGGGCAGCCGACCCCGGAGGAUUUCCGUCUCGCCCGAGGCCCCCCUCCAGCGGCGAACAUAUUUCCGGCUUGCCUGAGGCCCUGUCUUCGCCAAGAAGCAACCCUGACCAAAUCGCCGCACCGACCGACCAAACCGCAGGAGCAUUUAAUGCAAAGGUGGCCUAACACCUUUAUCCAGACGCGCGCCCCCCAGCUUCGCCCGACCCCAGGGCUCGGACUACGCCCCUAGCCUCAGCCGACGGUCUCCGCCUCGCUCGACCCGGGGGCUCGGACUCGACCUCGGCCACGGAAGACAGACUCGACCUCGGCUUCGGAGGAGCUUCCACAUCGCCCAACCUAGGGCACAGACCAGCCAUGUCAACAGGAGGCGCCAUCAUCACCCUACCCCGAGCUGACUCGGGCCGCAGGGAAAAAAGACCGGCGUCCCAUCUGGCUUGCUCCGCCAGAUAGGCAAUGAUGGCGCCCCGCAUACUCUGUGACGACGGCGGCUCUCAGCCCCCUUACGGAAGCAAGAGGACGUCAGCAAGGACUCAACCGCUCCGACAGCUGUCCCUCCGCCAGGCUCCAUCGCUCCUCCGACGGCCACGACAUCACACCAGCUGGGUGCCAAGAUAUCUCCGGCUGCCACAAUGGCAUGUACUUAGGGCGCUGGCUCUCCUCCGCUGGACACGUAGCACUCUGCUAUACCCCCCAUUGUACACCUGGAUCCUCUCCUUACACCUAUAAAAGGAAGGACCAGGGCCCUCUUAGAGAGGGUUGGCCGCGCGGGGACGAGGACGAGAUACGCGCUCGCUUGAAGCCGCUCGCUCCCUCUCCCGCGUGGACGCUUGUAACCCCCUACUGCAAGCGCACCCGACCUGGGCGCGGGACGAACACGAAGGCCGCGGGAUUCCCACCUCUCUCACGCCGGUCUCCGGCCGCCUCGCUCUCCCCCCUUCGCGCUCGGCCUCGCGCUCGACCCAUCUGGGCUGGGGCACGCGGCGACAUUCACUCGUCGGCCUAGGGACCCCCAGGUCUCGAAACGCCGACAAUUAUAUUAGACACAACUCAAUAAUAUAUGUUGUUGGAGCUUGUGCUCCCGUGCAAGCUGAUUCCAACAGGGGAGUGAGAGAGAAGUGAACACGGUUUAACUCGAGGCGGCAAUUGCUCUGUUAACCUAGCCUUUCAAGGGCACUGUACGGGGGUAUUUAUAGGUGUAUGAGUGCCCAACGUCUCAAUGUAAGGACGCAUGUACUCUAAGGCACCUGGUCUAUCCCCGGAAUAUUCCUGUAAAGGAGGGUUACAGACUGUCAUUACAGAAAAGCUAUUACAAAUCGGGCCCGUAACACACUUAUCCGUGCGGGGCCCGUUACAAUGGGCCGAAUCCCACGCGGGCCUUCAGGUGGAGAGAGGACGUGGGACGGGGCGACGUCGUCGUAGGCCUUCGUCUUGUAAUGUAGAAGACGAAGGGUGGACCUCGCCGGUCGUUCUGCUUCCUGUUGGCGCAGCGAGAUAGACGAAGGCUGGAGCGGAGGGUAGCGUCUUCGCCUUCGCCCCAACAUUUGCUCUCCGAGGGACCAGUUCAACCAAGUCAUCUGGUGCCGAAGACGUCGCUAGAUGGUGGAGACGCUGCCCUCGCUCGAAAUGGUUCCGCGGGGGUUUUUGAUGUGACCGUUGACGGACGCGGCACUGUUGGACUGCGGGUUUCCCGAAGCGUCGCGUUGUCACACCCGGUUUUGGAAGGUAAACCGAAUGCGAACCAUGUACAUGCCAGGAUCAGAACUCACGUACACAGCGAUUACAUAAAUGAACAUCAUCGCACAAUGCUCGAAUAAUAACAUAAAAGAGUACUUAACUUAUUACAUCACAGAGUCAUAGACAUCAACAUAGUCAUCGUCUUAACAGGUAAAUCAAAGUACUAGCGAAACGCAGUAAAGAAAAGGCCUCCACAGGCAGCUGACUGGGGGUUGCCGCCAACCCACACCUAGAAUUCGUCGUAGUCUUGGAACUCCUGGAAGUCUCCUUCCACGACUUCGCCUUCUCCUGAGCAGUGGUUGCAAUGUGGACAACCUGGUGUUUUGUGGUAAAGCAAGGAUGAGUACACAUCAACGUACUCAGCAAAUGUCCCGUUUGGCUGAGGUGGACUAGCUUUAUGUGGGGUUAGGCUCAAGCAGUUGCUUUUAGUUGGUCAGGUAUUUAUCAUUAGUAGAAGCCAGAUUUUAGCAUUAACCAACCCGUAAACCAUUUCCUCAUCGAGGAACAUCAUCAUCAUCGUCGAACCAAAACCAUAACAUAAUACUUGCAUCUCGAACCAUCUGUAUCUCUAAUCAAAGAGGAUCCCAAGGCUGCUCUUAACCGUGAGCACGGCUGAUAUAUCAGUUUCACUACCCUCUGCAGAGGUUGCACACUUUACCCAUGAGUCAUGAUUCCCUUUCUACCCGGGGAGAGCUAAUCCCCAUUGACCACUACCUAGGUGGUCCGGCAGGGCAUCACUACGUAGCUUUUACAAAGAUUCCCUAGAGAUCAUAGCUGCCCGUUAGGUUUCUCCAGUUUGAUAAACACAGUACCCCUCCCCGCAGGAGAGUGACUAACAAAGAGCAAAACGAAAGAACCUCGGCACUCAGCCUCGGCAGAGCAAGCACUGUGCCUGGACCCCAUUGACGGCACGACGGCUAAGCAACUACACCUCUAGUUCAUCUAAUUAAUCAGCUAAGGGCAUCCCAUUUCACCCUCAUGGUUGCACUGUUAUCCCGGGUGGUCUCUCAACGAACCAGUCCUUACGGAGAGGUACUCAGGAAACAGCCUGAGCCCCCUAGAGUAUCACAAGAUCAUCAACAUCAUCAGGAUAACAGUAUCAUAAAUAGUCACAUCAUGUUCAUUGAUUAAGUUAAGGCAAUAGCAGAGUGCUAACCAUAACAACCCAAUAGGUCAUCAAGGACAAAGUAAAGUGUAAAGCUAGUCAAUCCUUAGGUUUCAAGUAAGUAAUGCGGGAUAGUAAGUUAUAAAUGAGUAGGACAUAAUGGGACAGAGGACACUUGCCUUCACCAAACUGCUGAUCAGGGACUUCCUCUGCAACCUCCUCGGGAAACACAGACUGCUCGUUGUCUACGUAAAGUAAUCAUUCACACUAUGCACUUGGGAAAAUAUCAAACAAAAAGCAACAUGCCAAACAUAUGCAGCAGAGAGAUCACAAGUUCAUAGUUUGAAAAGGGGUAGGCACUCUGGUGUUCCCUAGGUCUGGGGUAGAGGACUAUACAAAAUGAGUCAUUAUCCACUACUCAGGUUUAAGUCAGUGGUGGGAUUAAAUUAUUACAUGGUUUUGAGUUACUAAACUUAAGUGUUUAAGUCCAUAAACUUAAGUACUCUAACUUUUAUUAAAGUCUACCAAUUUCUAAUUAUCUCAAAUAGGGUUCCAAUAACCUUAAUCCUAUCCUAAUGAUUAACCAUUAAUUGGGACAUGGAAACAGCAGGGAAGCAUUGCAUAAACAGAUAGAUAAUAAUAUUAUGGACAUUUUGCAAUUUGAAGCACCUAAUUUGGAGUUCAUAUGACAAAGUUAUGAAUUUUACAAGUUUAGGGGUUAAAAUUAUACCCUAAGGACCUAUUUUGAAUUAAAUAAAAGGUCCGAGGACCUAACUGCGAGAAACCAGGGACGGCGGGCGCAAUUUCCAGAAAACAGGGGGGGUUCUUUAAGAAAAUGCGCGGGCGAAGGGGUAUCGGGCGCUUACAGCCGUUGGAUCUCAAACGGACGACCAGGAUUAGAUCCUGCGGGCGGGCGCGCGGGCGCGCGGCGGCGUGAGCGGCUGACAGGCGGGGCCGGGCGGGCAGCGCGGGCGCGGGGCUGACAGGCGGGGCCCAGUUGGCAGCGCGAGCGCGGGCGACUGGCAGGCGGGGCCCAGUUGGCAGGGAGGCGGGGCGCGGGGGAAACGGCUCUGGGCCGUUGGAUCUCAGGCGAACGGCUGAGGCUGGGUUCGGGCUAUUUGAAACAGGGCCGUCCGAUCUAAGAUGGACGGCGAAGAUGGGGCGGCUGGCUCCUGUCUCCUUCCCCAGCCAGCUGAGGCGGCGGCGCCCGUCCCGCGGCGGAGAACUCGCCGGAGACGAGGGGCGCGGGGGCCCUGCGGGUCCCCGGGGCGACCUGAGUGGCCGGGAAGGUUGGGGAGGGCGCGGGGAACCUUUUGGUGGGGACUAGGUCGGGGCAGGGGCACCGGAGGGGGGCGGUUCGCGGUGGAGCGGCUCGACGGCGGCGCUAAACUACUCCGGCGAGGAAUUAAACGCGAUAGAGAGCAAGACAAAGGCCAAUAGGGGCGGGAGAGGUCACUUACCUCAAAGCGGCCUCCGGGGACUCCUCGGUGGCGACGGAGACGCGACGGCGGCCCGGGGCGACGGUGGCGGCUGCACGGAGGACGGCGGGUGAGCGCGGGCAGAGCGAAAUAGGGAGGGGAAGGGGAAAUUGGUGUGCGUUCCGGGUUGCGGACGUCGGGGCGAAGCUCACCGUGGCAAUGGACACGGCGGAGCUCCAACGGCGGCCGGGAACCGAGCUCGGAACGGCGGGGUUUACGGCGGCGGCGCUCUGGCGUGCACACAGCGAGGGAGAGGUGGAAGAGGGGGGGCCGGUUGGUGCGCAAAUGAGGGAGGGGGAGAUGGCGAGCAAGGCUCGGGGCUCAAGUGGCCGAGGGCGAGGUGGGGCGAGCCCCACGCGCGACGUGGGCGCGGAGACCGCGGCACGCACGGCGGCGGUUACGCGAAGACGGAGAAGCUGACAAGCCGGGCCCGCGGCGCAGAGAGAGAGAAGAAAGCGGGUGCGGGCGCGAGGAAAGCGGGGCUGACGGGACGGGCCCACGGGCAGAGAGAGCGAGGGAGCGGGCGCACGCGCGGGGAAGCGGCAGCGCCGACAGGUGGGGCCGGGCGAGCAGAGAGAGCGGGAGGCGGGCGCGCGCAAGGCGGGCCGACUGGGCCGAAAGGCCGAGGGGGCGGGGAAAGCGGGCUUCUUUUCCUUUUUCUUUUAUUUUGGUAUUUGUUUUCUCUUUUCUUUUUAUUUUCUCUAUUUGAUUCAAAUUCAAAUGAGCCACAAAUUCAAAUUAGACCUUUUGAGAAUUAUGCACCAAACAAAAGUGAAAUCUAGGGUUCAACAUGAUGCAACAAUUCAUACUCCCUUGGAGUUUGAGCUAAUAGACUAUAAUUAUAAAUAAGAUAACCACUUUUAUCCUAUAGAAAUGAGAGAGAGGAGAUUGGGGAAGGAUGAGAAAAGGGAAGUAACACCUGAAUUUGUGAAUAUGAGCAAAGAAAUUUUAUACCCCCAAAUUCAGGGUGUUACAAACCUAUCCCCCUUAAAAGAAUCUCGCCCCCGAGAUUCAGGGUUGGUCAGCAAAGAGUUCGGGGUAUUUGGCUUUCAGAUCAUCUUCUCGUUCCCAGGUUGCUUCUUCCUCAGAGUGGUGACCCCACCUGACUUUGCACAUUCUGAUGGUGUUUCUCCGGGUGACCCUGUCUGCAAACUCCAAAAUCUGCGUUGGCUUCUCUAUGUAGGUCAGAUCUUCCUGAACUUCCAAACCCUCCACUGGCAACUGCUCUUCUGGUACUCGCAGACAUUUCUUCAAUUGCGACACGUGGAACACAUUGUGCACUGCUGACAAGCUCUCUGGUAGGUUGAGCUGGUAGGCCACUUCUCCACGCUUUGCUUGAAUCUGAUAUGGUCCAACGUACCGGGGUGCUAACUUGCCUUUGACUCCGAACCUUCUGACUCCCCUGAUAGGUGACACCUUCAGAUAGACGUAGUCUCCCACUUCAAAACUCAGUUCUCUUCUCCUGCGGUCCGCAUAGCUUCGUUGUCUUGACUGUGCUAUCUUCAGGUUCUCCCGAACCAUUUUGAUAUUCUCUUCGGCUUCAAGCAAAAUGUCGGGGCCAAACACCUGUCUCUCUCCAGGCUGGUCCCAAUGCAGCGGAGUCCUACAACUCCGUCCAUAGAGUGCCUGAAACGGUGACAUCUUCAAGCUGGCCUGGUAACUAUUGUUGUAGGAGAAUUCUGCAUAAGGUAAUCUUUUGUCCCAUCCUGACUUGUCUUGCAACGCACAGGCUCUCAACAUAUCUUCUAGGAUCUGAUUAGUUCUUUCAGUCUGACUGUCUGUCUGCGGGUGAUAAGCUGAGCUGAAGUUCAAAUGGGUGCCCAAAGCUUCUUGUAGCUGCUGCCAAAAAUGAGAUGUGAACUGCGUUCCUCGAUCUGACACUAUCUUCUUCGGCACACCAUGAAGGCAGACUAUCCGUGACAUGUAUAACUCAGCUAACGUUGCUCCGGUGUAUGUUGUCUUCACAGGUAUGAAAUGGGCCACCUUUGUUAAGCGGUCCACAACCACCCAGAUGGAAUCAUAACCGGCCCGGGUACGAGGUAGGCCAACUAUAAAAUCCAUCCCGAUCUCAUCCCACUUCCACUGAGGAAUCCGCAAUGGCUGCAACAAUCCGGCAGGCCUCUGAUGCUCUGCUUUGGUUCUCUGACAACUAUCACAGAUGGCGACAUAUUCUGCGAUCUCUCUUUUCAUGCCAUACCACCAAAACCUCCUUUUUAAAUCCUGGUACAUCUUUUCGCUUCCCGGGUGUAUGGAGUAGGCUGUCUCAUGAGCUUCCUUUAGGAUCAGCUCCCGAAUAGGUUUGAGGUCGGGAACACACAAUCGGUCCUUGAACCAUAUUACUCCCUCUUCAUCCUCUCGAAAGUCUUUGCCUCUUCCUUCUAAGAUCAGCUGCCGAAUCUUGUUGAUGUUUUCAUCAUCCUUCUGCCCUUCUUUGAUCUCCCACUCUAGGGUGGGCUCUAACUCCACCGUUACUCCUUGCAUACUGUUUAGGAAACCAAGGCUCAGUCUGUCGAACUCUUUGGCUAACUCAUACGGCAUCGGGUACGAUGCCAACAUAUUAACUUGACUCUUCCUGCUCAGAGCAUCUGCAACAACAUUGGCUUUGCCUGGAUGGUAAUGUAUCUCCAACUCAUAGUCUUUGAUCAAUUCCAACCAUCUUCGCUGCCUCAUGUUUAACUCUGACUAGGUGAAUAUGUACUUCAGACUUUUAUGAUCCGUGUAGAUGUCGCAUUUCUGUCCAUACAGGUAAUGUCUCCAGGUCUUUAAGGCAUGAACCACUGCUGCCAACUCCAGGUCAUGUGUGGGAUAAUUUUUCUCAUGGAUCUUCAACUGUCGAGAUGAGUAUGCUACAACUCUUCCUUCUUGCAUUAGCACACAUCCCAAUCCGGUGUAAGAAGCAUCGCAAUACACUGAAAAUGGCUUGUGAACAUCAGGCAGGACUAACACAGGAGCUGUAGUCAAUCUACUCUUCAGUUCUUCAAAUGCUUCCUGACACUUUUGGGUCCACUUAAACUCAACUUUCUUCGCCAGUAACGCUGUCAUUGGUCUAGCAAUCUUUGAAAAGCCUUCGAUGAAACGCCUGUAAUAUCCAGCCAUUCCAAUGAAGCUCUUGAUCCCGCGAACAUCCUUCGGUGCUUUCCAGUUCAGGAUAUCUGCUACUUUCUUUGGAUCCACUGCUAACCCAUCUUGAUUUAUGAUGUGACCCAGAAACAAGACUUCAUGAAUCCAGAACUCGCAUUUGCCCAACUUGGCAUACAAUUGAUGCUCUCGAAGCCUUUGCAGUACCAUCUUCAAAUGCUCUGCAUGAUCUUCCUCACUUUGAGAGUAUAUGAGAAUGUCAUCGAUGAACACUACCACAAACUUGUCUAGAUAAUCCAUGAACACACUGUUCAUCAGAUACAUAAAGAAGGCUGGUGCAUUUGUCAAACCAAAGGACAUAACUGUGAACUCAUAUAACCCGUACUUGGUGAUGAAUGCUGUCUUCGGUAUGUCCGAGGGUCGGAUUCUGAGUUGAUGGUAACCUGAUCUCAGAUCUAUCUUCGAGAAUACGCUGGCACCUCUGAGUUGGUCAAACAGAUCUUCUAUUCUUGGCAAAGGGUACUUGUUCUUAAUAGUGACUUCGUUCAGGGCUCUGUAAUCUAUGCACAUCCUUUUGGUACCAUCUUUCUUCUCUACAAACAACACUGGAGCGGCCCAAGGCGAGGUGCUUGGCCUGAUGUAACCCUUCUCUAACAUCUCAUCUAUCUGCUUCUUGAGUUCUACCAGUUCUGGUCCAGACACUCGAUAGGCCCUUUUUGAAAUGGGGGCGGUACCAGGGAUAAGCUCUAUGGCAAAUUCAACCUUUCUCUCGGGUGGCAUGCCCGUUAGCUCCUCGGGAAACACAUCCGGAAAGUCUGACACAACCUUGAUAGCCUCGAGCGGGUUAGGCUCCUUACUACCAACUGAAAUCUGGUGACAGACUCCCUCUUCUGAUUUAGGCAUCCAUAGCUCGGCCACUACCUCUUCUCCUGACGGAGACUUCAAUGUUACGGUCCUCUUGUCACAACUAACAUUCGCCUCAUACUUCAUUAACCAAUUCAUCCCUAAAAUAAUGUCUAUCCUAGGGGUGUCUAUUACUAUUAAGUCACUGGGGAAUCCUAUCCCCCUUAUUUCCACCAUUAUAUUUGAGCAUAUUUUAUCUGUUUGCACCUUGCCACCGACCGAAUUAAUCCUCAUGGGCGGCAUCAUUGCCUCUACUGAGAUGUUAUGCAAUUCUACCCAUGUUGCAGUGACAAAUGAAUGAGUUGCACCAGUAUCAAAUAACACUUUCACGGGAUGAGAUUCGACUGAAAACAUACCUACUGCCACAUCUGGUGCAUCCUGGAUUGCUUCGGCCUCCAAGUGGUUCACCUUUCCACGGUUGUACGCUUGGUUACGAUUGCCUGCUGCCGGCUGCAGUACACCUUGCCUUGUUGGAGCAUUGGGGUUGGUCUGCUGCUGCGCCAACUUCUUUGGGCACUGCAUCGCCCAGUGGCCUUGUUCUCCACAGUGGAAACAUCCUCUGCCUCCUCCUUGUGCUGGGGCUGCUUGGUUGCUCUGAUUCGCUGCUGGGGCAGGAAGGCGAGGUGCCUGGUUGUUCUGCUUCUGAUACUGAUUACUUCCCUGCUGGCUGUGCUGACGAUACUGCUGCUGCUGCUGAUACUGCCUCUGAAACUGCUGCUGAUGCGGACGCUGAUUCUGAUUCUGGUAUCCCUGUGGGUGACCAGGCCUGCCUUGCUGAGACGAACUGCCCGAGAAACGUGGACGGCUGAUGCCUCCGGACUGGUGUCCACUCAUCUUGCGCUUCCGAUCUUCCAUGUCCUUACGCUUCUUCUCGGUCAUAACUGCCCUGUCGAUCAGGUGCUGGAAGGUGGGGAAGGUGUGAUUCAUCAGCUGGUAAUGCAGGGGAUCCACCAAACCUCUCAUGAACCUGUACUGCCUUUUAGCAUCAGUGUUGACGUCUUCAGGUGCAUAACGAGACAGCUGCAGAAACUUGUCUCUGUACUCACUAACAGACAGGGGUCCCUGCUUCAGAGCCAGAAACUCCUCCUUCUUCACGAUCAUCAGUCCCUCUGGCACAUGGUACCGACGGAAACUCUCGCUGAAUUCCUCCCACGUGAUGGCUUCAGGGUCAGCAUGGGUGGCGAGGUAGGACUCCCACCAGGACUGGGCUGCUCCCCUUAGCUGGCGGGGACCAUACAGAACCUUCUCCCUGUCGUCACAUUGGGCGGUGCGCAGUUCCCUUUCCACUGCGCGCAUCCAGUCUUCUGCAUCCAUGGGGUCAGCAGAAUGGGCGAAGGUAGGAGGGUGCCCUCUCAUGAACUCACCACGCUUAUCCCGUGGCAUCUGGGGCAUCUGCACUUGCAAUUGGGGUUGGGGUUGCUGUUGAGCCUGCUGCAUGGCUGCCAGAGUCUGCCCAAUGGCCUGCACUGCUUGAGUCUGCAUCAAAAACAUCUGCUCCACUGACAUCGGGGGUGGUGGGGGAGGUUGCCUCUGUUGUUCCUCCUGCUGGUCAUGCUGCUCUUGCUGAGCAUGCCUGUUGCAUCGGCGCCUGUUGUCAGACAUCUGUGGAAGACAUUCAUACAUCAGCAUUGAUCCUACAACCCUUCAGCAUAAGAAAAGAGAAUACAGAAUUCUUCAUGACACUGAGUGAACAAAGGGCUUCACUGAUCCUCAUUAUGAUUCAACACCGCUUCUUAGAUAAGAAGGAAAGUGGAGGCAAAUGGUUUCCCAACUAAGCAACUGACUUCAUUAACAUUACUAGCUAGGCCAAACUGCAGAGGAAACCCACAGGUUGGCAACAGUCAUUACAAAGAUUCAAAUCCAGCACAAGUUCACCAUAACAAGCAAUAAAGCAACUGAUAAGCAAACUAAACUAAAUGGAAGCAACUGAUAAGCAAACUAAACUGGCUACCUAAGACUGGGACAUCUGACUUAAGAAUUAUUACAAACUCCGACGCUAACGAUCUAAGGAUCCAGAUCUAUCCUGGUCUUACAGACAGGGGAACCAUAAGUGUGGUGACCACGUGGCGGCGAGCGGUAUGGGUGCUGAGUCCCAACAGGUGCGGGAGAACCACUCUCCUGGUGAUGGCGCUCUGCCAGCUCAGCACGCAACCCCGCAAUCUCCGUUCGAGCCCUGCUUAGCUCGUCCAGAGAGUGGUCCAGCUCAGUGUUAAGCACUGCGACUAGGUUGACUGUGCUGCUCAACCUAGGGUUAGCCUCACCAACGGGUGAGACAACCACACUCUUUGUGCUGCCAGUAGGGCGGCGGGGGUAGUACCGAAGGUUAAGACCAUCGGCCACGCCACCGAACAGAGAACAGUACUGGGAGAGUGCACGCCGUGCUGCAUCCUGCAUAGCCGCCUCCGCAGUGUCCCUCUCGGAGAUAGAGUAGUGCUCCGAAACGGCCUCCGCACCCCGGAGGUCAUCCUCCGGACGGCGAACUAGGCAGGUAGCCUCCCAGCGGUCCGGGUACCUCCCGCGACUGUGCUGGUAGACUACACAACGAUACUCGAUCGACCAGGUGUGCCGGUCGAAAGCCUGGCGCAGCAAGGUGUCGAGUGCGUCGUGGAAGUGACAACCGCGAGCGGCGUCACGGGUGAUGGGUCGGGCGACCCAUCCUUCCGCCUCCUGCGGCUCAGAGGACUCCAUACUGUGGUCUGAGUCGUCGUCGUCGGGAUCUCCUCCAGUAGCUCCUCCAACAGCCGGGACGUCCCGCGGUGGUGCAGGGGGCGCCUCCAGCUGGGCAACAGAGGAACGGGGCCUCACGGACUCCACCUCUCGCUGGGGUGGGGAGGAAGAGCCCUGCUGCUCUCCGUGCUGGCGCCGGCGUUCCUGCUCCUCACGCAGACGGUGGUGCAGCCUCUCCAGGUGACUCGACUGUCCGGACACGGUGCGGUGCAGAGGACGCUCCGCAAGUCGAGACGGCAGGAAAGGAAUCACCGACUUACGUGCAGUGUGUCUAAGACGAGCCAUCUACAAAAGACACCGUAAGCACAAGAGUAAGAGCAGAACUAAUAUGACAAGUGAAUAAACCAAAGAUAGAAUAAGAUAAAAAUUUUAACAAGGUAUAGUAUAGAUAGAUAGUAAAACAUAGGGUUGGUCGAGGUGACCGACUUUUGAAGUAACAACAGAGGUCAAGGUGAGAGGGAAGGUCAAUAGUCCUUAGUACGACCAGUGCUACUCUAGGUCAGCGGUCCUACAGUCAGCCUGGCUUUGAUACCACUUAUGUCACACCCGGUUUUGGAAGGUAAACCGAAUGCGAACCAUGUACGUGCCAGGAUCAGAACUCACGUACACAGCGAUUACAUAAAUGAACAUCAUCGCACAAUGCUCGAAUAAUAACAUAAAAGAGUACUUAACUUAUUACAUCACAGAGUCAUAGACAUCAACAUAGUCAUCGUCUUAACAGGUAAAUCAAAGUACUAGCGAAACGCAGUAAAGAAAAGGCCUCCACAGGCAGCUGACUGGGGGUUGCCGCCAACCCACACCUAGAAUUCGUCGUAGUCUUGGAACUCCUGGAAGUCUCCUUCCACGACUUCGCCUUCUCCUGAGCAGUGGUUGCAAUGUGGACAACCUGGUGUUUUGUGGUAAAGCAAGGAUGAGUACACAUCAACGUACUCAGCAAAUGUCCCGUUUGGCUGAGGUGGACUAGCUUUAUGUGGGGUUAGGCUCAAGCAGUUGCUUUUAGUUGGUCAGGUAUUUAUCAUUAGUAGAAGCCAGAUUUUAGCAUUAACCAACCCGUAAACCAUUUCCUCAUCGAGGAACAUCAUCAUCAUCGUCGAACCAAAACCAUAACAUAAUCCUUGCAUCUCGAACCAUCUGUAUCUCUAAUCAAAGAGGAUCCCAAGGCUGCUCUUAACCGUGAGCACGGCUGAUAUAUCAGUUUCACUACCCUCUGCAGAGGUUGCACACUUUACCCAUGAGUCAUGAUUCCCUUUCUACCCGGGGAGAGCUAAUCCCCAUUGACCACUACCUAGGUGGUCCGGCAGGGCAUCACUACGUAGCUUUUACAAAGAUUCCCUAGAGAUCAUAGCUGCCCGUUAGGUUUCUCCAGUUUGAUAAACACAGUACCCCUCCCCGCAGGAGAGUGACUAACAAAGAGCAAAACGAAAGAACCUCGGCACUCAGCCUCGGCAGAGCAAGCACUGUGCCUGGACCCCAUUGACGGCACGACGGCUAAGCAACUACACCUCUAGUUCAUCUAAUUAAUCAGCUAAGGGCAUCCCAUUUCACCCUCAUGGUUGCACUGUUAUCCCGGGUGGUCUCUCAACGAACCAGUCCUUACGGAGAGGUACUCAGGAAACAGCCUGAGCCCCCUAGAGUAUCACAAGAUCAUCAACAUCAUCAGGAUAACAGUAUCAUAAAUAGUCACAUCAUGUUCAUUGAUUAAGUUAAGGCAAUAGCAGAGUGCUAACCAUAACAACCCAAUAGGUCAUCAAGGACAAAGUAAAGUGUAAAGCUAGUCAAUCCUUAGGUUUCAAGUAAGUAAUGCGGGAUAGUAAGUUAUAAAUGAGUAGGACAUAAUGGGACAGAGGACACUUGCCUUCACCAAACUGCUGAUCAGGGACUUCCUCUGCAACCUCCUCGGGAAACACAGACUGCUCAUUGUCUACGUAAAGUAAUCAUUCACACUAUGCACUUGGGAAAAUAUCAAACAAAAAGCAACAUGCCAAACAUAUGCAGCAGAGAGAUCACAAGUUCAUAGUUUGAAAAGGGGUAGGCACUCUGGUGUUCCCUAGGUCUGGGGUAGAGGACUAUACAAAAUGAGUCAUUAUCCACUACUCAGGUUUAAGUCAGUGGUGGGAUUAAAUUAUUACAUGGUUUUGAGUUACUAAACUUAAGUGUUUAAGUCCAUAAACUUAAGUACUCUAACUUUUAUUAAAGUCUACCAAUUUCUAAUUAUCUCAAAUAGGGUUCCAAUAACCUUAAUCCUAUCCUAAUGAUUAACCAUUAAUUGGGACAUGGAAACAGCAGGGAAGCAUUGCAUAAACAGAUAGAUAAUAAUAUUAUGGACAUUUUGCAAUUUGAAGCACCUAAUUUGGAGUUCAUAUGACAAAGUUAUGAAUUUUACAAGUUUAGGGGUUAAAAUUAUACCCUAAGGACCUAUUUUGAAUUAAAUAAAAGGUCCGAGGACCUAACUGCGAGAAACCAGGGACGGCGGGCACAAUUUCCAGAAAACAGGGGGGGUUCUUUAAGAAAAUGCGCGGGCGAAGGGUUAUCGGGCGCUUACAGCCGUUGGAUCUCAAACGGACGACCAGGAUUAGAUCCUGCGGGCGGGCGCGCGGGCGCGCGGCGGCGUGAGCGGCUGACAGGCGGGGCCGGGCGGGCAGCGCGGGCGCGGGGCUGACAGGCGGGGCCCAGUUGGCAGCGCGAGCGCGGGCGACUGGCAGGCGGGGCCCAGUUGGCAGGGAGGCGGGGCGCGGGGGAAACGGCUCUGGGCCGUUGGAUCUCAGGCGAACGGCUGAGGCUGGGUUCGUGCUAUUUGAAACAGGGCCGUCCGAUCUAAGAUGGACGGCGGAGAUGGGGCGGCUGGCUCCUGUCUCCUUCCCCAGGCAGCUGAGGCGGCGGCGCCCGUCCCGCGGCGGAGAACUCGCCGGAGACGAGGGGCGCGGGGGCCCUGCGGGUCCCCGGGGCGACCUGAGUGGCCGGGAAGGUUGGGGAGGGCGCGGGGAACCUUUUGGUGGGGACUAGGUCGGGGCAGGGGCACCGGAGGGGGGCGGUUCGCGGUGGAGCGGCUCGACGGCGGCGCUAAACUACUCCGGCGAGGAAUUAAACGCGAUAGAGAGCAAGACAAAGGCCAAUAGGGGCGGGAGAGGUCCCUUACCUCAAAGCGGCCUCCGGGGACUCCUCGGUGGCGACGGAGACGCGACGGCGGCCCGGGGCGACGGUGGCGGCUGCACGGAGGACGGCGGGUGAGCGCGGGCAGAGCGAAAUAGGGAGGGGAAGGGGAAAUUGGUGCGCGUUCCGGGUUGCGGACGUCGGGGCGAAGCUCACCGUGGCAAUGGACACGACGGAGCUCCAACGGCGGCCGGGAACCGAGCUCGGAACGGCGGGGUUUACGGCGGCGGCGCUCUGGCGUGCGCACAGCGAGGGAGAGGUGGAAGAGGGGGGGGGGCCGGUUGGUGCGCAAAUGAGGGAGGGGGAGAUGGCGAGCAAGGCUCGGGGCUCAAGUGGACGAGGGCGAGGUGGGGCGAGCCCCACGCGCGACGUGGGCGCGGAGACCGCGGCACGCACGGCGGCGGUUACGCGAAGACGGAGAAGCUGACAAGCCGGGCCCGCGGCGCAGAGAGAGAGAAGAAAGCGGGUGCGGGCGCGAGGAAAGCGGGGCUGACGGGCCGGGCCCACGGGCAGAGAGAGCGAGGGAGCGGGUGUCGGUGUUUUGGGUCCGACCGCACACCCGGGGUUGCCCCUCAAGGUGUUUUUAGGAGUAGGACGGUGCCGACGACUGUAGCAAAAUGGUUCGUGCCGAUCGCACGAGGGACAAUGGACAAGAUUUGCAGGUUCGGGCCGCUUAGAAGUGCGUAACACCCUACGUCCUGGUGAGUAUAUGAGCGUGGUUACAAGAGGAUUCUCUGGAUAGAGGGCGCAGAGAGUUUUUGUGGGUGGCUAAGUAGAACAGGGUCGAUCGAUCUGAAGGGGUGCCCCCUAGGCCUUAUAUACUCGACCGUGGGGCAGUACACGUGGGUGAGAUAACAACAAGCAGCUGAAAAAUAGUGAACCUCUUGAGUUUAUCCUUAUGUAACCUCCGCCGACUUAUCCUCGCAUGGCUCCGUUGCAUGGGGGCUUCAGCGCGGGAAAGUCGGGUCUCUGUUUGUGAUUCAUUCGUUCGACGUUGUGGGCCGCCUGUGUUUGCACUAAUCAGUCCCACGUCUUCUUUAUUGGUUGUCUUUCCCUAGGCCCACGAAAGAAUGACCUUACGAAUUAUUGGGCCCUUGGGCUUUUCGUGGGGCCUUUUACUUCUUUAGUGGACCCAGGGGAUAUCUAUCCCCCACAAGCCCCCGAUCUUUGAGUUGAUUUAGAGGUAAUUAACUCAAAGAUCCAAGGUCCAGAAAAUGACUUCCUGCUGUCUUCUCUGGCUCUGAUCACUCGUUCGACCAAAGUUUGGUUUUGUGCUUGUGCCUUAGAGGUCGGCAUUUUGGAUUGUAAGACUCUGGACUUCAUUGGGUGCACCGGAGGUGCACCCAAUGGGUGUAGCCCCCGACCUUUGAGUAGAUUUUAGAAGAUAAUCUACUCGAAGGUCUUCUUCCAAAGGUUAUCUCCAUUCGCGCUCCUGCAUCUCGGUUGAAGAUUGGUCUUUUCAAUUUUGCUCUUAUGCCUUAGAAGUCGGCGCCAUGUCGGUUUAGAAUAAUACUCCAUGGGGUGCACCGGAGGUGCACCCAAUGGGUGUAGCCCCCGACCUUCAAGUGGAUUUUUGAGGAUAAUCCACUCGAAGGUCUUCCUUCUGUGUCCUUUUUGCUGAAAAUUAUCCUUUCUGCUUGUAAAAAAUUGGCAUGAUGUCAUCCGCGCUAUGUCAUCAGUAUUAUGCUUCAGAGGUCAGCAUGUAUUUUGUCUUUUGCAGCCGAGUUCGCAAUCCAUCCAUAUCUCGCUAGGUAGUGUAAUUUAUUUGCUCUGUGACUGAUUGGACAGUUGAUGGACGUUCUCUUUCUAGCCUUCAAGUCAUUUCUGUCGACCAUAUUUUGCACUCCACUGGCUAUAUUUGGCUUCCCUCUAACUCUUGUUGAUAUCUCAUUUUUGUCUCGAGGUAUUCACUGCAUGCCCUGCACGGAUGUGACCGUUUGAAAAAUAUACUGAUAAUUCCUGGGCGUCCCCCCCAAUGGGUGUGGGCAAGGGACGGCUUGGUACGCUGAGUGUUUUAGCCGGUUGCCUCUGAGUAGUAAUGCGAUGGGACGGCUAGUGUAAUCAUAUCCUUUGCGCUGUUGACUGGAGUCCCAAUGGGUGUAGUGUUGCAUGAAACGGCGUCCACCGUCUGACGUGUCUUCGGGUGGGUGGAAGUGCUUAUUGAAUGCCUUGCGACUGUUCAGUGACCGCGGUUAGAAGCGAGCGGUUGCCUUUCCCUUCUAUAAAUAACUCCUUUGCUUCUCUGGUUUCUUCAUAUCUCUUCGCUGCUCCUUACUGCCUCUUCCCUUUCUUCUCUCCCAAAGCUUCAACCAUGGGCAAGAACAACAAGCGCAAGCGUGAACCGACUCCUCCAUCGGAGGAGUUUGGUGACUCGGAAUACUCGGAGGAGGAAUUCUCCUCCGAGCCCGAGGGGUCUCCGGCUCCCGUCUCUCCCCCGGCGUCGUCUGAUGACUCGGACGACUCCCAGGGGAUAGCCGCGGAGGUCUGGACGUAUAUCCGAGCCGUCGAGCGCGCCGGGCUCGAUGGCUCGGAUGAGUCGGAGUACUCCUCGGAUGAGGAGGACUCGGACGGCGGCGACAAGGGUGAAGACGACGACGACGACGAUGAUGACGACGACGACGGCGACGACAGUGGCAGGGGCGGCGGCGACGGCAGCAGGGACAGCACCAAGGGCGGUAGCAGCAGGGGCAGCACCAAGGGCAGCAGCAGGGGCAGCACCAAGGGCGGCGGCGGCGGCAGGGGCAGGGCCAGUGGCUAGACGCCACUGGUCUUCUUAGAUAUUAGUAUAGUUUAGUAUAGCUAGAAUAAUGUAGUAGUAAUUAGUGUAAUUUAGUAGUAGUGGUAAUGUAGAGUAGUAUAUUGUAGUUUAGUAGUAGUAGUAAUGUAGAGUAGAAUUAGGGAAGUACCAACUCAUAAAGAGUUGGUUUGUAAUCUCGUCAACUUCCCUUUAAUGAAGUAUAUCGUUUAUCCCCUCUUUUUGAUGACUUGUCACUGCUUUCGCUGAACAUUGAACCGAUUCUUUUGAUAUAGUAGAAACAGCGCCGAGCGAUGUGAAGAUUGACGUCAGCGUUUUAGAAGUAACACUGAGCAAUCGAGCACAAGACCAGCGUUUUAGAGGCAGCGCCGAGUGAUUGAAGGUCGGCGUCGGCAUUUUAGAAGUAAUGCCGAGCGAUUGAACACGUGGUCGGCGUUUUAGAGGCAGCGCCGAGUGAUUGAAGGUCGGCGUCGGCAUUUUAGAAGUAAUGCCGAGCGAUUGAACACGUGGUCGGCGUUUUAGAGGCAGCGCCGAGUGAUAGCCAGCUUCUCAAGUUACUUUGAGGAAAAUGGCCGAGUGAUGAAGUGGCACAUCGGCUUUAUUGGAAUAACCGUUAGAUAUCCACGUGGCAUGCUGGGAUUUCGGAGAUAACCGCCGGGUGAUGACUGGGCACUUUUGAAGAGGUAUCUGGCUCAAGAAUAUCCCUUAAGAGUCGCGCUUUCAGCCGCCUUUGCUUUCCGUGCCCUAGUUCUUGCAUUUCCGCAUCUGAAUCUUCUCUGCCACUCGCCUCCUGCUCUGUUUCGCCAGCGAGAAACAAGAUGGCGCCCAAGAGGAAGACCGCGAACUCGUCUGCUGCAGUGAUCCCUGCCAUCGACCCCAACAGCCAGUUACCCUUCGCAGGUAACCAUAUGUCUGUGAUUUCUGAAGUUGAGCUUCUCUGCCUUGUUUCCAUCGGGGUUCUCCCUCCACGGGAACUCUGUUCUUGGCGUUCUUGCCACGGGACUACUGUCCCCACCGAAGAUACCCACGAGUCAGUGGUUUACACUCCUUUCCUUCUUCGCGGCCUCGGCCUUCCCAUAUCUCCUUUUUUCCGUGGCAUCCUUGAUUUUUAUCACAUCAACCUGACUCACUUGAACCCUAACUCCAUUCUCCAAAUCUCUAUUUUCGUUCACCUUUGCGAAGCUUAUCUUGGCGUGCUGCCGCAUUUUGGCUUAUGGAAGUAUCUGUAUCACUGCCGUCCUGGAAUGGCCGGGGGGCAACAUCAAUUGGUCGGAGGUGCCAGCUUAGAGAUGCGUCGGGGGCGGAAGACCGAGUAUCUCGAGAUACCCCUUAAAGACAGCAUUAAAGGUUGGCGUCUGGAGUGGUUUAUAAUAGAUAAUUAUGGAAAUUCUCUCCCUUCCCGCUCGGGAAGACAGGCAGACGUUCGUACUCCGAGUUGGACUGAAUCUCCCACGGACCAAGAAGUAGCCGAAGCGGGCGUGUUGCUUACUGAAGUUGGAUUACUGAAAGAGAGAGGUCUGACUGCCGAAGCCGUGGUCACAGAUUUUGUUUUCAAGAACAUUCAGCCGCUGAAGGACAGGGCCUAUCCGGCAUAUCUUUACCGAGGGCUGGCCGACUCAACCCGAGUUACCAAUAGGAGAAUUCCUUCUGUUGAUUUGGUGAGCCGACUCGAGAUGAUCCUCAGGGGUAAAGUUUCAAACGUUGGAGCUCCAGUGGCAUACUCGGCUUGGAACCUGCCUUCUCCCAAAGAUUUCACUCUUUUUGUGUCCAAUCCGCCCGUGACAGAUAGCAACUUGGGUCUUAGAGUGCGACCUUCUGCUGAGGAGGUCCGUUCCUUAGUUGCUUCGCUCGGGGAGAUACCUGAUGAUGAACGGCAAAUUUAUUUUGAAGUGCCCCUGAACCCUAGUGACGCAGACAUAAAUGACAUGCUCGAUCUGCUAGCUGAGGAUUCAUCUGAUACUGUUCCUGAUGGUACAUUGGCAAUGGUGCCCCUUCCAGGGGUUGAUGCGGCCUUGGACGUCUCGAAACCUGUCAGUACUCGCCCGAGGCGCCCUAGCCGAACCAGUCAGCCCGAGCCUUCUGCUGAUGAGCAGAAGAAGAAAAGGAGACGCCUCCGGCGAGUGUCCAGCUUUGACGAGGAUACCAGCACCUUAGCUCCUGCUAUCGAAGAAAUGUCUGCAACUGGCCUAGCUGACAUUGAUCCCAAUGGGUGUGCUCCGCCUGCUGCUGACCCCAAUGAGGGUGCUGUUUGUGCUGUUGCUGUGGAAGAUGAGGAGGAAGAGAAUGAAACUCCAUUGACUCGGAAAAACAGUCGGCAGUUCGUCGUUAGCGGCGGUAGUAGUGGGGUUCCUUCUCCUGCCUUGUCUGCUCUUAUUGGUCUGCAAGAACUAUCCAUGGCCAACUUUGAUCAAGCUCUAGAGGAUAUGGUCCCUGAGAACUUGUUGUUGGAACCUGCAGACGCUGAUGCAACAGAAACUUAUGCGGCCGUGCCAGAUGCUGGGUUGAGGUCAUCCCGUGCCUCUUCGACCUUAGAGCACGAUCUCGAGGGCCGGAAUGAUGACUUGGAUCGUCCUGAUCCUGCGGAGGUAGCUGAAGGCCCGUCGACCUUAGAGGUGGUCACGGCAGAGAGCUUGGAUCCUUUGAACGGUGCUGACAUGUGCCCAGUCCCCGAGGGUGUUGCCGGGGGUGACUCAGCUCAGGUGAGGAGCGUAGGACACUACCCAGCCCCCGAGGGUGUUGCCGGGGGUGACCCGGCUCAAGUGGGUAGUGCCAACCUUGACCCAGCCCCCGAGGGUGUCCGAGCGAGGUCUCCCUCCUGCACUUCCAUGGAUGUUCAUGUGGGUUCUCCUCCACACUCUGCCGGCAUGAUGGUGGCUCAAACUCCGGAUCAGGGGGUCGCUUUGGAGGGCAGCAUCCCCACUGGUCUGGCGUUAGGCUCUGCUGAAUGUACUGAGCUCGUUCCUGCUGGUCUACUGCAAACUGCUUCGGGUGGUGGUCUGACGCCUGAUUAUCAGCUGAUUUCUCCUGACUUGGGGAUCCCUUCGUUCUUUUCCAACCUCCAGGUGCUGUGCUUUAGUUUGAUCUUUUAUAUUGCAUGAACUGCUGUCAUUAUGCUUAUCUGUUCUUCUCGUUUAGGCUUUGGUGAAUGGAUUGGCCAGUCAGCUGAAAUCGCAGGGUGCUUCCAUCCCGGAGGUGGCUUCAUCUCUUGAGUGUUGGAAUCCGGUGUUGCUUCGGGGUCGCGUUUCUGAGUUGGAGGCCACCAAUGCUGGUCAGUGUCCUUUCCUCUUCUUCUUUGUUCUUGCCCGUGGGUUGUUUUACCUCCUGACCUCAUUUUGUUUGAGUACUUCUUGAUAGGGAUGACUCGGCAGAUCACAGUUCUUGAGGAAAAACAUUUUCAAGAUCAAGCUGAAAUGGCUCGACGAUGCGCUGACUUCGAGGAGAAGUAUUCUCAAAGUCAGAUCGAGUUGAGUCAGGUCUCUGCGGCUUUGGAUGAUGCUAACGCUCUGAGUUCUUCUCUUCAUGUCCAGCUUGACUCUGAGAAGGUAGCUUACAAACAUGCGCUUCGCCUUAUGAUGCUCUUGGAUUCUGAAUGAGUUGAUUUUUGCUUGUAGGAAGAAAAACGCAUCCUUGCUGCUUCUCGCGAUAACUUGGACAGAUUGUACCGAGAUUCCAGCAACUCGCUGACCAUCUUGGAGAGGAGCCACCGUUUUACGAUGGAGGAGCUUGACAAUCAGCGCCGUCGACUGCAAGAAUCCUCGGACGAAGUGGCCCGCCUUACACAGUUGCUAUCAGCAAAGGAUGCCACCAUCAAGGAACUCCGAGCUUCCAAGAAAACCACUGCUCGGGAGUUAGAAACUGCUCAGCUGGCCGCUAAAACCGCUGAAGAGACUGCUGCUACUUUCAAAACUCAGCGCGAUAAAGCCAUGGACAAGGUUAUUCGAGCGGGGCGAAUCUUGAUGAGAAGACCCGGCGUGGCUGUCCCUGAAGAUAUAAGAGCCGACGUGAAUGCUGCCCCUGAUUCUUCGAAUCGCCCUUCUUCGUCAGUCGUUCCUGAGAAAGACAUUAGAAAAUAAAGAAACAGUUCGCGUGCUCUGAGCGCGCAGUUAGCAUGAUCAAGUAUUCGUUUAGAGGUUUAUCGGCUUAUUCAUUCGAAUGACGUGAUUACUCCCUUAUUGUAUCAGAAUUUAUUAGUUUGCAAGUUUGCGGUAACGCUGCAUGAUGAUUAUGAAGUUUGCUUGUGGGAUAUGGAGAUCAUCCCUUGAACUGUACAAGCGCGAGUUUGCUAUUCUGGUUUGAGCCGUCAAUGACUUUUAGCCGGUAACUUCAGUUAGUAGGGUAUAGUGGUCACCCUAGGUAAAGUAAGCGUGAGCAUGUUGCACCGCCUUAAGUCGUUGCUGACUUAAGUCGAUUGCUCCGUUUGUAGGGCAUAGUGGUCACCCCGAGUUAAGUAAGCGUGAGCAUGUUGCACCGCCUUAAGUCGUUGCCGACUUAAGUCGAUUGCUCCGUUUGUAGGGCAUAGUGGUCACCCCGAGUUAAGUAAGCGUGAGCAUGUUGCACCGCCUUAAGUCGUUGCCGACUUAAGUCGAUUGCUCCGUUUGUAGGGCAUAGUGGUCACCCCGAGUUAAGUAAGCGUGAGCAUGUUGCACCGCCUUAAGUCGUUGCCGACUUAAGUCGAUUGCUCCGUUUGUAGGGCAUAGUGGUCACCCCGAGUUAAGUAAGCGUGAGCAUGUUGCACCGCCUUAAGUCGUUGCCGACUUAAGUCGAUUGCUCCGUUUGUAGGGCAUAGUGGUCACCCCGAGUUAAGUAAGCGUGAGCAUGUUGCACCGCCUUAAGUCGUUGCCGACUUAAGUCGAUUGCUCCGUUUGUAGGGCAUAGUGGUCACCCCGAGUUAAGUAAGCGUGAGCAUGUUGCACCGCCUUAAGUCGUUGCCGACUUAAGUCGAUUGCUCCGUUUGUAGGGCAUAGUGGUCACCCCGAGUUAAGUAAGCGUGAGCAUGUUGCACCGCCUUAGGUCGUUGCCGACUUAAGUCGAUUGCUCCGUUUGUAGGGCAUAGUGGUCACCCCGAGUUAAGUAAGAAUGCAAGUCAAUCAUAAACGAAACGAGUAUCCUUGAAAUCUAUCUUUAUUGAUGACAUAUUUCCACUUUUACAGAGUACCUGGUCGCCCCGGCUGUUUUGAAAUACAGCUAGGGGUAAAACUUUCUGAGGUGCUCUAUGUUCCAAGAGUUCCCGACUUCUGUACCAUCCGUCUGGGUGAGGCGAUACGAUCCGGGCCGAGUGACCUCUGCUAUUAUGAAGGGUCCUUCCCAUAAGGGUGAUAGCUUGUGCCGUCCCUCCCCCGUUAGAAUUCGGCGGAGGACGAGGUCUCCUACUGAAAAGGACCUUUGUCGCACAGCCUUGUCGUGAUAGCGCCUUAGAGUCUGCUGGUACCGUGCUGAUUGAAUCACCGCAUUCAGUCGUUCUUCCUCGAGUACGUCAAUAUCCUCCAGCCUAGUGGCUUCGGCUUCUGCUAUGCUUUCGAAGAUCAAUCUUGGCGCCCCAAACUUGAGAUCAGCGGGUAGCACUGCCUCCGACCCAUAAACCAUAAAGAAAGGAGUGUUUCCAUGCAGGGCCCGGCUAGGUUGAGUUCUCAAGCUCCAAACAACAUAAGGCAAUUCUCUUAUCCAUUUUCCUGCGAAUUUUUCAUUUUUAUCAAAGACUCUUUUUCUAAGUGCCUCCAAUAUCAUUCCGUUGGCUCGCUCAACCUGCCCGUUGGCUCUCGGAUGGGCUACAGAUGCAUACUUGAUCUGAAUGCUUUUUUGAUCGCAGAAGUCAAAGAAUUCUGAGCUGGUGAAGUUGGAUCCUAAGUCAGUGAUGAUGCUGUUUGGUAUCCCAAAUCUGAAUAUUAUAUCCUGUAUGAAUUCCACGGCCUUAGCAGAGGUUAAAGAAGCAAUGGGCUUGAACUCUAUCCAUUUAGUGAAUUUGUCAAUUGCCACCAAUAUGUGGGUAUAACCUCCUUGAGCUUUCUUGAAAGGUCCAAUCAUAUCCAAUCCCCAGCAUGCGAAAGGCCAAGUUAUUGGUAUGGUCUGUAGCUGCUGUGCUGGUAUGUGCUGUUGCUUCGACAGGUAUUGACAAGCUUCGCAUCUCUGAACUAACUCGGCUGCGUCGUUUUUUGCUGUCGGUCAAUAGAACCCUGAUCUGAAGACCUUCCCGACUAGUGUUCUGGAGGCUGCAUGUAUUCCACAUUGCCCUGCAUGGACUUCCUCCAGAAGUUGCUUCCCAGUGGAUGGGAGAAUACACUUCAUGAGAACCCCUGAUGCGCCCCUUCUGUAUAAUAUCUCCCCAAUGAGUGUGUAGUGAGCCGACUGUCUGGCAAUGCGCUCUGCUGAGUUCUUGUCGUCUGGCUCUUCUUCGUUCUUUAUGUACUUAAUGAUCGGCCUCCUCCAGUCAUCAGAGUCUGACUCGGGUUGAUCUACGAUGUUGCACUCUUCUGUUUGGUCUAUUGAGAUACUCGGCCGUGUAAUUUCCUGCACGAAAACUCCGGGUGGGACCUGAGUUCGACCGGAUCCGAGCUUGGAUAGUGUAUCAGCUGCUGUGUUACGAUCCCUUUCCACAUGAUGAAAUUCCAGACCCUCGAACUUAUCUUCCAGCUUCCGAACGGCAGCGCAAUAUUUUCCCAUUGAAUCACUUGAACAAUCCCAUUCUUUGUUUAUCUGGCUAAUGACUACUAGAGAGUCUCCAUAUACCAUCAAUCUCUUGACGCCUAGUGAUAUGGCGAUGUUUAAUCCGUGUAUCAAGGCUUCAUACUCAGCUGCGUUGUUAGAGGCCGGGAAUAGCAGCUGGAGAGCAUACUUGAGGUGCUCGCCUCCAGGUGCAGUGAAGAGAAUUCCUGCUCCUGCUCCUUGCAGUUUCAGCGAGCCAUCAAAAUACAUUCGCCAUACUUCUGCGGUUUCUGGAUUAUCCGGUACUUGCUGCUCUGUCCACUCUGAUACGAAAUCGACCAGUGCUUGAGUUUUGAUGGCAGUGCGAGGUCGGAACUCGAUAUCAUGGGAUCCCAACUCGCAAGCCCAUUUGGCUAUUCGGCCAAUGGCUUCCUUGUUGUGAAGAAUGUCCCCUAUUGGAAAACCAGUGACUACUAUGACUUUGUGGUCGUCAAAGUAGUGACGCAGCUUGCGGGCAGUUAGAAGUACUGCAUAUAAUAGCUUCUCAACUUGAGGAUAUUUUUUCUUCGAUGGGCCUAGAACUUCACUGAUGAAGUAGACAGGAUGUUGUACUGGGUGGGCAUGCCCUUCUUCUACUCGCUCGACUACCAACGCAGUGCUUACCACGUGAGUCGUGCAAGAGAUAUAUAGCAGCAAAUCUUCAGCUGGCUGAGUCGGCGUGGCUCGCCGGGGCGGUUUCAAUACUGGCGGUGUUGUCAGGAAUUUCUUCAGUGCGUCUAGAGCUGCUUGUGCCUCUGAAGUCCAUUGAAACUUAUCCACCUUUUUCAACAGCUUAUAAAAUGGCAGACCUUUUUCUCCCAGUCUGGAUAUGAAUCUGCUCAGGGCUGCCAUACAUCCGGUGAGUCGCUGAACCUUCUUUUGCGAUCGAGGAGCUUCCAUCUUCAUGAUAGCUUCAAUCUUAUCUGGAUUAGCUUCAAUUCCCCGGUGGCUGACAAUAAAUCCGAGUAACUUUCCUGCUGGUACCCCAAAGACGCAUUUCUCAGGAUUGAGCUUCCAUCUAUAUCUUCUCAGGCUGUUGAAAACCAGCUGUAAGUCUUCAAUGAAGUUUUCCGGAUUCUCUGUCUUAAUCACCACAUCGUCUACGUAAGCCUCCACACGCUUGCCCCAGUGAUCGGCUAAGCAUGUUUGAAUAGCUCUCUGAUAAGUUGCUCCAGCGUUUUUGAGGCCGAACGGCAUGGAGGUAUAACAGAAAGCACCAAACGGGGUGAUGAAUGCCGUUUUUUCCUCGUCUUCUUUUGCCAAACUAAUCUGAUGAUACCCGGAAUAGCAAUCUAAGAAAGACAACAUCGAACAUCCAGCGGUGGAAUCCACCACCUGAUCUAUCCUUGGGAGCCCGAAGGGAUCCUUCGGACAGUGUUUGUUGAGAUCAGUAUAGUCGACGCACAUGCGCCAAUCCACUUUAUUCUUUUUGAGUACAAGAACAGGGUUGGCUAACCACUCGGGGUGUAAUACUUCUCUAAUAAAUCCAGCCGUGACCAAGCGAGCUAACUCGGCACGAAUGGCCUCUCUCUUGUCGGGCGUGAAACGACGCAACUUUUGCUGGAUCGGCCUCGCCUGAGGAUAGACUUUCAAUUUGUGCUCGGCCAAUUCCCUCGGGACUCCCGGCAUAUCCGCAGGUUGCCAUGCGAAUACGUCUCGGUUAUCUUGUAGGAACUGGACGAGCGUGCUUUCCUAUUUGUCACUCAAACUGGAGCUGAUGAUGGCCGUCUUGCGCUCAUCAGCGAACCCCAGGUUGAUCCGCUUGGUGUCCUCAGUCGGCCGCAUAGAGGUCGCGGCCUGAGCUUCGUUUGCCGGCACGGCGAGGUCUUCUUCAGGCUUAGAGUUCGCCGGUGUAGAAGGAACCGUUGACGGCUUGGUGGUGAGGGCUGCUUGGAUGGCCACUCGGAAACAUUCUGCGGCGCCUUGGAAGUCGGCGCGCACGGUUAUGAUUCCUCGUGGUCCUGGCAUCUUCAGUAUCAUGUACGUAUAGUGUGGGAUGGCCAUGAACUUGGCCAGCCCUGGCCUCCCGAUGAUGGCGUUGUACCCGCAGUCGAAGUUCGCCACCUCGAACCUCAGGAACUCGGUUCUGUAAUUAUCCGGAGUCCCGAAGGUGACUGGCAUGUAGAUGUGGCCCAGCGGGUAUUCCCCUUCCGUCGGCACGAUGCCAAAGAAAGGAGUGUCUGACUCGUGGAGUUCUUUGAGGUGAACUCCCAAGCCUUGGAGCGUACGGGGGAAGGUGACGUUGAUGCUGCUCCCCCCGUCCACUAGCACCUUCUUUACCCGGCUCUCUCGGAUCACCGGAUCGACGAGGAGCGGAUAUUUGCCCGGGUGGUCGAAGUUGAGCCAUUGAUCCUCCCGAGUGAACGUGAUUGGGUGCUCCGACCACCGGUACGGGGCGGGAGGGCCGGUAGUCGCCACCAGUAUCUGGCGAUCGUUGAGCUUUUGUUGUCUCUUGUUCUCCUGCGACCCAUGUCCACCGAAGAUGACGUUGACCUCCCUGUCAACGCGCGGGAAUGCUCCUCCUCCCCCUCCUCCGGCUGAUGGGGCUGUCGUGGUUCAUCUGGUCCUCCCCUCGGCGGAGGAGGUGGUAGAGGUUGGAAGGGUCGGCCAUGCCCGACGGAGUGCUUGAAAUCCCGGCAGUUGCGGAGAGUGUGGCGCAUGUCCUUGUGGUACGGGCACUGGGCGUCGAGGAUGUCGUCCAGCGUGCGUUCGCCUCCACGAGGUCCUCCUCGGGCGCGAGAGGCGGGUGGUCCAGCGGCGUGUACUUCUUCGCGAGGCCUCUUCUCCCAGCGCUUGUCGGGCGGCUGGUUCGCGUCGCGUCGUGGUGCUGCUGGCGCGGGCUUUGCUCCUCCGAUGAGGUCCUGGGCUCGCUCGUCAGCGGUGAUGUAGAGGUCGGCUUCCCGGAACAACUCCUCGGAGGUAGUCGGCGCCUUUUGCAGUAUGGCUCGGACGAAAGCCGAGUCGUUAGAUCCUCUGUAGAAGUCCUCGAUUACGGCCGCCUCCGUGACCUCGGGGAUGCGGUUUCUCAUGGUCUGGAACCUCUUAAGGUACGACCUGAGAGUCUCAUCCCCCCGGCGCUUGAUGGAUUUGAGGUCCCAUGGUUGCGCUGGCUUGUCGGAGAGAGACUGGAAGUUGGCGGUGAAACGUCGACUGAAGUCUCCCCAGUCGUCGAUGCAGUGUCGGGGUAGAUGUCGUAGCCACUGCAGCGCGUCUUGCCCGAGGACGAUGGGCAGAUACGCAGUCAUGACGUCCUCGGAUGCCCCGGCAGCCCGAGCAGCGGUGGUGUAGACGGCCAACCAGCCCCCUGGAUCCUGCUUAGGUUCAUAUUUGUCGACAUUGGAUACCUUGAAGUUGGGAGGCCAUUGGAUGGCCCUAAGGCGCGGAGUGAGGGCAGAUACUCCGCACGUGUCCUCCUGUCGUCGAGGAUGUCGUCUGUCCCGGGGAGGGGAGUGGCGGUGGUGGUUCCUCGACCGUCCCCGGGUGGUUCCACCAGUUGAAGCUGUUGCCGACUCAGUUCGGGUGGCCUGGCUUUGAGUCGGGAAGUCAUGAUCUCGAUCAUACUCCUCCCGACGGCGAAUUUCGUUCUCGUGCCGCCGUUCGCGCGAAGCAUUGAUAGAGCUUCGCGCGUCUCGGCGACUGUUGAUGGCGUGUCGCAGAUCGUUCGGCGGGUGAGCGAGCGGUAGAAGAUGGUUGGCUGCCUGAGUGAACAGGCGCCGGUAUCCCUCAGCGUCGGGGGUCCGAGGAAGUCCGUCAGCUAUCCGGGCUAGAACGCCUCCGACCUCGCUCGGCGUGUUCAUCGCUCGGGCGAAGUCAGGGUUCAAGUUGCGCCCGAAGAGCGGAUUCUCGCGUCGUUGCCUUGCGUCUUGCUCGGCUUGCUCCUGAGUCCGACGGCGAUCACGUCGUCGGGAGUUCCUUCGUUCCCUGAAGACGCGUUCUUCCGGAGUUUCUCCUAUCUCUGAGACCUCGUCUCGCGAGACAGGUUGCUCCGGAUCCCGUUCUCCAGCUGCGUGAUGUCGUCGAACGUUCCUGCGUCGGUUCCUUCGUCGGCGGGAUUCUCGCUGGGGUGGUUCUUCUCCGGGCGCGGUCGGUUCAUCGUCGGAGACGGCGGGCGACUCUGCUCUCCCGAUGAAGAGGACGUCAGGGUAGAACGGUAUUGCUGCCGCGGCGACUUUCUCUUCGUUCUCCUUUGAGGUCGGAGGAACGGAAAGAACGACCGGCCUCUCCCUGAUCUCCUUCCUUCUCAUGACCUGUGUCCAUCCUUUCAUCGGGGAAGUAGACAGCGGAGUCUUCCGGGUCAGCGAGCUUCUAGCUCCAGCCUCCCCGGAGACGAUCUUGUUCCGAAGAACUGGAGGUAGCUUCUUUCCAGCAUUUUUGGAGUUUGUUGGAGGAGACUUUUGUUCCGGCAGAUCCGCGAGGCGAUGUAGAAUUCCUUCUUCGUCCGCCACGGAUGAGAUUGUCCCGAAGCAGAAUGUGGAUCCGGGACGCAUGGUGAUCUUGCUGUGGAAGGUGACGGCCAUUGAGCUAGCUUGGAUCGUCGACACACCCCCUACCUGGCGCGCUAGCUGUCGGUGUUUUGGGUCCGACCGCACACCCGGGGUUGCCCCUCAAGGUGUUUUUAGGAGUAGGACGGUGCCGACGACUGUAGCAAAAUGGUUCGUGCCGAUCGCACGAGGGACAAUGGACAAGAUUUGCAGGUUCGGGCCGCUUAGAAGUGCGUAACACCCUACGUCCUGGUGAGUAUAUGAGCGUGGUUACAAGAGGAUUCUCUGGAUAGGGGGCGCAGAGAGUUUUUGUGGGUGGCUAAGUAGAACAGGGUCGAUCGAUCUGAAGGGGUGCCCCCUAGGCCUUAUAUACUCGACCGUGGGGCAGUACACGUGGGUGAGAUAACAACAAGCAGCUGAAAAAUAGUGAACCUCUUGAGUUUAUCCUUACGUAACCUCCGCCGACUUAUCCUCGCAUGGCUCCGUUGCAUGGGGGCUUCAGCGCGGGAAAGUCGGGUCUCUGUUUGUGAUUCAUUCGUUUGACGUUGUGGGCCGCCUGUGUUUGCACUAAUCAGUCCCACGUCUUCUUUAUUGGUUGUCUUUCCCUAGGCCCACGAAAGAAUGACCUUACGAAUUAUUGGGCCCUUGGGCUUUUCGUGGGGCCUUUUACUUCUUUAGUGGACCCAGGGGAUAUCUAUCCCCCACAGCGGGCGCACGCGCGGGGAAGCGGCAGCGCCGACAGGUGGGGCCGGGCGAGCAGAGAGAGCGGGAGGCGGGCGCGCGCAAGGCGGGCCGACUGGGCCGAAAGGCCGAGGGGGCGGGGAAAGCGGGCUUCUUUUCCUUUUUCUUUUAUUUUGGUAUUUGUUUUCUCUUUUCUUUUUAUUUUCUCUAUUUGAUUCAAAUUCAAAUGAGCCACAAAUUCAAAUUAGACCUUUUGAGAAUUAUGCACCAAACAAAAGUGAAAUCUAGGGUUCAACAUGAUGCAACAAUUCAUACUCCCUUGGAGUUUGAGCUAAUAGACUAUAAUUAUAAAUAAGAUAACCACUUUUCUCCUAUAGAAAUGAGAGAGAGGAGAUUGGGGAAGGAUGAGAAAAGGGAAGUAACACCUGAAUUUGUGAAUAUGAGCAAAGAAAUUUUAUACCCCCAAAUUCAGGGUGUUACACGCGUCCUAUGUAUAAAAAGGGGGGCGGGGCGGCGCGGGUCAGGCUCUCUUUCUGCGCGCCGCAAAACCCUAGCCUCCUUUUGAAACCGUUCGUCCGCUCGCCUGCCCUCCUUGCUCCUGCUCGUCGGAGAUCUGGCCCGCGUCAAGCAGACCGCCCGCCGCCGCCGACGGUACGUAGCCAUGCCGUCCUCUUCCUCAUCUGCUGCAAAUACACCACCGGCCGGCGCAUCGUCCGAGGACACUCUGAGCAACAUGGUGGCGGAGGAGCUACGUCCUGGUGAUACAGUGGAGUUUGGUGUGUCGCGGAUUUCCUCGGUCCGCGUCCAGGAUAUGCAGCAGCUUGGAUAUUUUGGCAGCGGAGUGGGGCGUGUCCCGGGGGCGGAGGAGGUCCCCGAGCCAGAAGGCGAGUUGGUCGUGUUUGAAGCAUUUUUCACCGCUGGCCUUCGUCUGCCUGCACAUCGAUUCGUGGCGGAGGUGCUGCGGAGAUUCGAGGUCCAGGUCCACCAGCUGACGCCGAAUGUCGUGGUGGCCUUGGCGAAGUAUGUUUGGGCGGUGACUCCGUAUGGUGGUCAGCCCUCUGUGGAGGUCUUCGCGAAGCAUUACUGUCUGUAUUGGCAAAAGAGGAAAAUUAGACAUGAGAUUGCACAGUUUGGAUCAUGCACGUUUACGCCUAGGACCGGCAAGACUUCGAUGGAAGUCGUGGAGUUGGUUCCCUGUGCACGCAAUAAGUGGGGCAACUGGUGGAAUUUCUGAUUUUACGUUUCUAAAGGCGCAGUUGAAGACCACCCAGGACUCCCCGUGGCCGUCAUGUGUUCCCAUUAUGUAACACCCAAACUAUUAUUUUGAGAGUUUAGUUAAAUUCUCCAAAGAUUUUGAAUUAAAAUUUAUUUUUAUUAAAUGUUUUUAAUAAAAGGCGGAAUAAAGAGAUUCUCUUAUAAAUUAAGUUAUUUUAUUUGUUGAACUACAUAAGUACCCUAUAAAGGAUGUAAGUCUAAUCGUUUCGUAUAAAAAACUACAUAGUAGAAAUUAUUUUCUUUCUAUUAAAUAAAUAAUUAAGACUAAAUUAAAUUUGCAUCAUGCUAAGGUUCAUUCGUGGCUUCAGUUAACUUUUGAGUAAAUUUCAAAACAAAUUUAAAUUUGUAAUUUGGAUUGAAUUAGAAAAGAAUUAAAAAAAAUAGAAACCACAUGCGCUCAGAUCCAUCUUCCCAUUGGCCCAAUCACCUUUAACCCUUCAUGUAGCCCACGUCUCCUUGUUUUUUUUUUCUUCUUUUCUCAUUCUUUAUUCUGCCAGCCAAACGUUGCCUGUCUCAGUGAUACGUGGGACCAUGGAGUCAGCUCCAUCCCCUUCGCUGAUACCGCUUGACGAAGGUAGCUUCUCAGCCAUUGCAUGCGCGUCGUGCUUGUGAAAGGGAAAUGUGCCCUUGGGCCAUUUCUAAGUAUUUUGGUGAUUGAGUACCAACACAAGUGCUUUUGUGUUAAUCUAUGCAAUGUGGUGGACAAAGUGCAAAUCAAGUCAAAAGGUAUGUUUCUAGACUUAGUACAUUGUUUUAUGGACUAAUGUAUUGUGUCUAAGUGCUGGAAACAGGAAAAACUGAAUUCGAAAUGAGAUGGCUAUGUUCAGCCGAAGUCAGCUCAGUCUGGGUGCACCGGACUGUCCGGUGGUGCACCGGACAGUGUCCGGUGCGCCAGGCUGGCUCUGGCGAACAGGCUGCUCUCGGGACUUCGACGGCGGUGUACGGCUAUAAUUCACCGGACUGUCCGGUGGUGCACCGGACUGUCCGGUGAGCCAUUCACAAGCGAACUCGUCGCUCUCGGGAAACCAUCAACGGCGUACGGCUAAAAUUCACCGGUCUGUCCGGUGGUGCACCGGACUGUCUGGUGAGUCAACGGUCAGCCGGGGCAACGGUCGGCCGAGGAUUCCGCGCGUGACGCGUGGCUGAGCCAACGGUCACAUUGGUGCACCGGACAGUGUGCGGUGCGCCAACGGCUCUCAGACUCCAACGGUCGGCUUCGUCAAAUAAGGAAAGCAAUCUGCACCGGACAGUGAACAGUGGAUGUCCGGUGGUGCACUGGACUGUCCGGUGCGCCAGUCGACAGAAGGCAAGAUCUGCCUUCCAGGAAUGUUCUCAACGGCUCCUAGCUGCCUUGGGGCUAUAAAAGGGACCCCUAGGCGCAUGAAGGAGGACACCAAGCAUACUUACAACAUUCCUAAGCACCAAGACAUCGAUUCCGCGCAUUUGUUUCUUUGUGAUAGCAUAUAGAGCUCUAGUGGAGUUGUGAACUCACUGGGUUGUGUUGCGAGCUCUUGUUGCAACUUGUGUGCGUGUUGACACUCUGAUUUUUGUGUCUUGUGUGCGUUGCUAAUCCCUCCCUUGCUCCGUGCUUCUUUGUGAACUUCAAGUGUAAGGGAGAGAGGCUCCAAGUUGUGGAGAUUCCUCGCAAAUGGGAUUAAGAAAAGCAAGCAAAACACCGUGGUAUUCAAGUGGGUCUUUGGACCGCUUGAGAGGGGUUGAUUGCAACCCUCGUCCGUUGGGACGCCACAACGUGGAGUAGGCAAGCGUUGGUCUUGGCCGAACCACAGGAUAACCACUGUGCCAUCUCUGUGAUUGAUAUCUUGUGGUUAUUGUGUUUUGACUCCUCUCUAGCCACUUGGCGACUAUUGUGCUAACACUUAACCAAGUUUUUGUGGCUUAAGUUUCAAGUUUUACAGGAUCACCUAUUCACCCCCCCUCUAGGUGCUCUCAAUUGGUAUCAGAGCCGUUCUCUUCACAAAGGGACUAACCGCUCGAAGAGAUGGAUCCUAAGGGGAAGGGUAUCGUGAUCAACGAUAAAGAGAAGGAGUCCUUCGUCAACAAGCCGAAGGAUGACAAGCCUACCGACUCCGGCUCAGGCCAUAGACGGAAAGAUGGGAAGAAGAAGAAGACAAGGCGCAUCAAGGAAAUUGUCUACUACAACGAUAGUGAUGAGUCUACUUCUUCCCAAAAGGACAACGACGACAAUGACUACGACAAACGAAAGACGGUUAACUCAAACUUUUCUUUCUAUUAUUCGCGUAUUCCUCAAAGUUCAAAUUCACAUUUGCUCUCCAUUCCUCUCGGCAAGCCUCCACACUUUGAUGGGGAGGACUGCGGAUUUUGGAGCCACAAAAUGCGUAGUCACCUAUUCUCUCUCCAUCCGAGCAUAUGGGAGAUUGUGGAAAGUGGAAUGAAAUUUGAUAGCUCGGAUAGUCCUAUUUUUAUUAAUGAACAGAUUCAUAGAAAUGCACAAGCUACUACUGUGUUGUUAGCCUCUUUGUGCAGGGACGAGUAUCAUAAGGUGAGCGGCUUGGACAAUGCCAAGUAAAUCUGGGACACCCUCAAGAUCUCUCACGAGGGGAACGAUGUCACCUUGCUCACCAAGAUGGAGUUGGUAGAAGGAGAGCUUGGAAGAUUUGCAAUGAUAAGGGGCGAGGAGCCAACUCAAACCUACAACCGGCUCAAGACCCUUAUCAACAAAAUAAGGAGCUACGGGAGCACGCGAUGGACGGACCACGACGUCGUCCGCCUAAUGCUAAGGUCCUUUACAGUUCUUGAUCCUCAUUUGGUGAAUAAUAUUCGUGAGAAUCCCAGGUACACCAAAAUGUCGCCCGAAGAAGUCCUUGGAAAAUUCGUAAGCGGACGAAUGAUGAUCAAGGAAGCGAGGUACGUGGACGACGCACUGAAUGGUCCAAUCAAUGAGCCUCAACCCGUUGCUCUCAAGGCAACGAGGAGCAAGGAGGCGUUACCUAGCAAGGUGGCGCAAGUUGAGGCGGCAGGGCUAAAUGAUGAAGAAAUGGCCCUCAUCAUCAAGCGCUUCAAGUCGGCGCUUAAGGGUCGCAAGGGACAGCCAAGCAAGACCAAGACAAAGGGGAAGCGCUCAUGCUUCAAAUGUGGUAAGCUUGGUCAUUUUAUUGCUAACUUUCCUGAUAAUGAUAGUGACCAGGAAAAGGGAAACAAGAGGGAGAAGAAGAAGAAUUACAAGAAGGCCAAGGGCGAGGCACAUAUCGGAAAGGAGUGGGAUUCAGAUUGCUCCUCCUCCGACUCCGACAAUGAAGGACUCGCCGCCACUGCCUUCAACAAAUCAUCCCUCUUCCCUAACGAGCAUCACACAUGCCUCAUGGCGAAGGAGAAGAAGGUAUGUACUCGGGAUAUCACCUAUGCCUCCUCAAGUGAUGAUGAUUCUAGCGAUGAGGAAAUAGAUUACUCUAGCUUGUUCAAGGGAUUGGAUAGAAAUAAAAUUGAUAAAAUAAAUGAAUUGAUCGAUGCCUUGAAUGAAAAGGAUAGGCUUUUAGAAAAGCAAGAGGAUUUGCUGUAUGAAGAACAUGAUAAAUUUGUAGAGGCACAAAAAUCCUAUGCUUUAGAAGUUAAAAGAAAUGAAAUGCUUUCUUUUGAACUAUCUACUUGUCAUGAAACCAUUUCUACUUUAAAAAGUGUUAACAAUGAUUUAAAUGCUAAAUUAGAAGUAGCAAAUAAAUCUAAUUCUUGUGUAGAACAUGUUAUGAUUUGCACUAGGUGUAAAGAUUUUGAUAUUGAUGCUUGUAGUGAACACCUAGUUUCAAUUUCCAAAUUAAAAGAUGAAUUGGCUAGUCUUAAUGCCCAACUUAAGACUAGCAAAAGUGAUUUCGAUAAGCUAAAAUUUGCAAGGGAUGCCUACACGAUUGGUAGACAUCCCUCAAUUAAGGAUGGACUUGGCUUCAAGAGGGAAGCCAAGGACUUAACAAGCCAUAAGGCUCCCAUCUCCACCAAGGAGAAAGGGAAGGCCCCUAUGGCUAGUAGUGCUAAAAAGAACCAUGCUUUUAUGUAUCAUGACAAGAGACAAUAUAGAAAUGCUUAUAGGAGUUAUAAUGCAUAUGAUGCUUUUGAUUCUCAUGCCAUGUUUGCUUCUAGUUCUUCCUAUGUGCAUGAUAGAAAUGUUGGUAGGAGAAAUGUUGUUCAUAAUAUGCCUAGGAGAAAUGUUGUUAAUGUUCCUAGGAAAGUUAAUGAACCAUCUACAAUAUAUAAUGCUUGCAAUGCUUCAUUUGCCAUUUGUAGAAAGGGUAAGAAGGUAUUGGCUAGGAAGUUAGGGGCCAAAUGCAAGGGUGACAAAACUUGCAUUUGGGUCCCUAAGACAAUUGUGACUAACCUUGUAGGACCCAACAAGAGUUGGGUACCUAAGACCCAAGCCUAAAUUUGCCUUGCAGGUUUAUGCAUCCGGGGGUUCAAGCUGGAUUAUCGACAGCGGAUGCACAAACCAUAUGACGGGGGAGAAGAAGAUGUUCACCUCCUACGUCAAAAAUGAGGAUUCCCAUGAUUCAAUUAUAUUCGGUGAUGGGAACCAAGGCAAGGUAAAAGGGUUAGGUAAAAUUGCUAUUUCAUCUGAGCACUCUAUUUCUAAUGUGUUUUUAGUUGAGUCGCUUGGAUAUAAUUUGUUGUCUGUUAGUCAAUUAUGCAAAAUGGGAUAUAAUUGUCUAUUUACAAAUGUAGAUGUGUCUGUCUUUAGAAGAUGUGAUGGUUCACUAGCUUUUAAGGGUGUACUAGACGGCAAACUUUAUUUGGUUGAUUUUGCAAAAGAAGAGGCCGGUCUAGAUGCAUGUUUAAUGGCUAAGACUUGCAUGGGCUGGUUGUGGCAUCGCCGCUUAGCACAUGUGGGGAUGAAGAACCUCCACAAGCUUCUAAAGGGAGAACACGUGAUAGGUCUAACCAAUGUACAUUUCGAAAAAGAUAGACCUUGUGCAGCUUGUCAAGCAGGGAAACAGGUGGGAGGCUCUCAUCACACCAAAAAUGUGAUGACAACAUCAAGACCCUUGGAGAUGCUUCAUAUGGACCUCUUCGGACCCGUUGCCUAUCUGAGUAUAGGAGGAAGUAAGUAUGGUCUUGUUAUAGUUGAUGAUUUUUCCCGCUUCACUUGGGUAUUCUUUUUGCAGGAUAAAUCUGAAACCCAAGGGACCCUCAAGCGCUUUCUCAGGAGAGCUCAAAAUGAGUUUGAGCUCAAAGUGAAGAAGAUAAGGAGCGACAACGGGUCCGAGUUUAAGAACCUUCAAGUGGAGGAGUUCCUUGAGGAGGAUGGGAUCAAGCACGAGUUCUCCGCUCCCUACACACCACAGCAAAAUGGUGUGGUAGAGAGGAAGAACAGGACGCUCAUCGAUAUGGCGAGGACUAUGCUUGGAGAAUUCAAGACCCCCGAGCGUUUUUGGUCGGAAGCCAUGAACACGGCUUGCCACGCCAUCAACAGGGUCUAUCUUCACCGCCUCCUCAAGAAGACUUCAUAUGAGCUGCUAACUGGUAACAAACCCAAUGUGUCUUAUUUUCGUGUAUUUGGGAGCAAGUGUUAUAUUCUUGUGAAGAAAGGUAGAACCUCGAAAUUUGCUCCCAAAGCUGUAGAAGGGUUUUUAUUAGGUUAUGAUUCAAAUACAAAGGCGUAUAGGGUCUUCAACAAAUCAUCGGGUUUGGUUGAAGUCUCUAGCGAUGUUGUAUUUGAUGAGACUAAUGGCUCUCCAAGAGAGCAAGUUGUUGAUCUUGAUGAUGUAGAUGAAGAAGACGUUCCAACGGCCGCAAUGCGCACCAUGGCGAUUGGCGAUGUGCAACCACGGGAACAAUUGGAGCAAGAUCAACCAUCUUCAUCAACUAUGGUGCAUCCCCCAACCCAAGAUGACGAAUAGGUACCUCAAGUGGAGGCGCAUGAUCAAGGGGGAGCACAAGAUAUUCAAGUUGAGGAGGAAGAAGCACCUCAGGCACCUCCAACCCAAGUUCGAGCGACGAUUCAAAGGGAUCAUCCCGUCGACCAAAUAUUGGGUGAUAUUAGCAAGGGAGUAACUACUCGUUCAAGAUUAGUUAAUUUUUGUGAGCAUUACUCUUUUGUCUCUUCUAUUGAGCCUUUCAGGGUAGAAGAGGCCUUGCUAGAUCCGGACUGGGUGUUGGCCAUGCAGGAGGAACUCAACAAUUUCAAGCACAAUGAAGUUUGGACACUGGUGCCUCGUCCCAAGCAAAAUGUUGUGGGAACCAAAUGGGUGUUUCGCAACAAACAGGACGAGCACGGGGUGGUGACAAGGAACAAGGCUCGACUUGUGGCAAAAGGUUAUGCCCAAGUCGCAGGUUUGGACUUUGAGGAGACGUUCGCUCCUGUGGCUAGGCUAGAAUCAAUUCGCAUAUUGCUAGCAUAUGCCGCUCACCAUUCUUUCAGGUUGUACCAAAUGGAUGUGAAAAGCGCUUUCCUCAACGGCCCAAUCAAGGAGGAGGUGUACGUGGAGCAACCCCCUGGCUUCGAGGAUGAACGGUACCCCGACCACGUGUGUAAGCUCUCUAAGGCGCUCUAUGGACUUAAGCAAGCCCCAAGAGCAUGGUAUGAAUGCCUUAGAGACUUUUUAAUUGCUAAUGCUUUCAAGGUUGGGAAAGCCGAUCCAACUCUUUUCACUAAGACUUGCGAUGGUGAUCUUUUUGUGUGCCAAAUUUAUGUCGAUGACAUAAUAUUUGGUUCUACUAACCAAAAGUCUUGUGAAGAGUUUAGCAGGGUUAUGACACAGAAAUUCGAGAUGUCGAUGAUGGGCGAGUUGAACUACUUCCUUGGGUUCCAAGUGAAGCAACUCAAGGACGGCACUUUCAUCUCCCAAACGAAGUACACGCAAGACUUACUAAAGCGGUUUGGGAUGAAGGACGCCAAGCCCGCAAAGACGCCGAUGGGAACUGACGGACACACCGACCUCAACAAAGGAGGUAAGUCCGUUGAUCAAAAAGCAUACCGGUCCAUGAUAGGUUCUUUGCUUUAUUUAUGUGCUAGUAGACCGGAUAUUAUGCUUAGCGUAUGCAUGUGUGCUAGAUUUCAAUCCGAUCCUAAGGAGUGUCACUUAGUGGCUGUGAAGCGAAUUCUUCGAUAUUUAGUCGCUACGCCUUGCUUCGGGAUCUGGUAUCCAAAGGGGUCUAACUUUGACUUGAUUGGAUAUUCAGAUUCCGACUAUGUUGGAUGUAAGAUCGAUAGGAAGAGUACAUCGGGGACGUGCCAAUUCUUAGGAAGGUCCCUGGUGUCGUGGAACUCUAAGAAACAAACCUCCGUUGCCCUAUCCACCGCUGAGGCCGAGUACGUUGCCGCAGGACAGUGUUGCGCGCAACUACUUUGGAUGAGGCAAACCCUCCGGGACUUUGGCUACAAUCUGAGCAAAGUCCCACUCCUAUGUGACAAUGAGAGUGCUAUCCGAAUAGCGGAAAAUCCUGUUGAGCACAGCCGCACAAAGCACAUUGACAUCCGGCAUCACUUUUUGAGAGACCACCAGCAAAAGGGAGAUAUUGAAGUGUUUCAUGUUAGCACCGAGAACCAGCUAGCCGAUAUCUUCACUAAGCCUUUAGAUGAAAAGACCUUUUGCAGGCUGCGUAGUGAGCUAAAUGUCCUGGAUUCGCGGAACUUGGAUUGAUUUAUAGCAUACAUGUGUUUAUGCCUUUGGUCAUGUUCCUUCUGCAUUUGUUGCUUAUGUAUGGUGCUCAAGUUGUACAAACACUCCCUGGACCUCACAAGUCCUUUUUGCAAGUGAUGCACUUAUUUCGGGGGAGCUGUGCUACAACUUGACCCUUUGAGACUAACCGUGUGCUUGAGUUUGCUUGUUUAGUCUCAAAGGAGAUUUGAAAGGGAAAAGGUGGACUUGGACCAUGAAAGACUUCCACUGCACUCCGAUGAGAGGGUAAUUUAUUCCAAGUUCAUCUACUCUUAUUGCCUUUGUAUUCUUAUUUGAAGAUUUUGGUGAGGCAAUAGGGUUAAAGGGCCAAGAUUGAUUCCGUUUUGGUGCUUGAUGCCAAAGGGGGAGAAAAUAAAGGCCAAAGCAAUAGAUGGAUCAGCUACCACUUGAGAAAUUUUGAAAAUAGUAGAUUAUAGCUUUUGGUUUGUCAAAACUCUUUUUAUUGUCUCUCUUGUCAAAAAUUGGCCUCUUGUGGGGAGAAAUGUUGAUUAUGGGAAAAAGGGGGAGUUUUUGAAUCUUGACUCAAUUUCUCUUGGGAUGACUCUCCUUAUGUUUUAACAAGUGUGUUUGACUUAGAGAUAGGAAGUUGAGGUUGAUUUACAAAAACAAACCAAGUGGUGGCAAAGUAUGAUCCAUAUAUGCCAAAAUUGAAUCAAAACAAUUUUGAGUGUUCAUUUUCUUUGAUAUUGCACUUGUUCUAGUUGCUUUAUGUUGUGUUGGCAUAAAUCACCAAAAAGGGGGAGAUUGAAAGGGAAAUGUGCCCUUGGGCCAUUUCUAAGUAUUUUGGUGAUUGAGUGCCAACACAAGUGCUUUUGUGUUAAUCUAUGCAAUGUGGUGGACAAAGUGCAAAUCAAGUCAAAAGGUAUGUUUCUAGACUUAGUACAUUGUUUUAUGGACUAAUGUAUUGUGUCUAAGUGCUGGAAACAGGAAAAACUGAAUUGGAAAUGAGAUGGCUAUGUUCAGCCGAAGUCAGCUCAGUCUGGGUGCACCGGACAGUGUCCGGUGCGCCAGGCUGGCUCUGGCGAACAGGCUGCUCUCGGGACUUCGACGGCGGUGUACGGCUAUAAUUCACCGGACUGUCCGGUGGUGCACCGGACUGUCCGGUGAGCCAUUCACAGGCGAACUCGUCGCUCUCGGGAAACCAUCAACGGCGUAUGGCUAAAAUUCACCGGUCUGUCCGGUGGUGCACCGGACUGUCCGGUGAGUCAACGGUCAGCCGGGGCAACGGUCGGCCGAGGAUUCCGCGCGUGACGCGUGGCUGAGCCAACGGUCACAUUGGUGCACCGGACUGUCCGGUGUGCACCGGACAGUGUGCGGUGCGCCAACGGCUCUCAGACUCCAACGGUCGGCUUCGUCAAAUAAGGAAAGCAAUCUGCACCGGACAGUGAACAGUGGAUGUCCGGUGGUGCACCGGACUGUCCGGUGCGCCAGUCGACAGAAGGCAAGAUCUGCCUUCCAGGAAUGUUCUCAACGGCUCCUAGCUGCCUUGGGGCUAUAAAAGGGACCCCUAGGCGCAUGAAGGAGGACACCAAGCAUACUUACAACAUUCCUAAGCACCAAGACAUCGAUUCCGCGCAUUUGUUUCUUUGUGAUAGCAUAUAGAGCUCUAGUGGAGUUGUGAACUCAUUGGGUUGUGUUGCGAGCUCUUGUUGCGACUUGUGUGCGUGUUGACACUCUGAUUUUUGUGUCUUGUGUGCGUUGCUAAUCCCUCCCUUGCUCCGUGCUUCUUUGUGAACUUCAAGUGUAAGGGCGAGAGGCUUCAAGUUGUGGAGAUUCCUCGCAAACGGGAUUAAGAAAAGCAAGCAAAACACCGUGGUAUUCAAGUGGGUCUUUGGACCGCUUGAGAGGGGUUGAUUGCAACCCUCGUCUGUUGGGACGCCACAACGUGGAGUAGGCAAGCGUUGGUCUUGGCCGAACCAUGGGAUAACCACCGUGCCAUCUCUGUGAUUGAUAUCUUGUGGUUAUUGUGUUUUGACUCCUCUCUAGCCACUUGGCGACUAUUGUGCUAACACUUAACCAAGUUUUUGUGGCUUAAGUUUCAAGUUUUACAGGAUCACCUAUUCACCCCCUCUAGGUGCUCUCAGCUUGGACGAAACCUGUAGCCAUGGAUCCACCCACGCGCACGUGUAACUGCAUGGUCGCCAACCGGCGGGACCCUGUGGACAGGCUCGCUCUGCUCCCACCUCGCGCACGGGGAGUUUCAGUGACUAGUGAACUCUAUUGUCAGGUAUCUCAUCUACCUCCAGUUCACCCAUGGAGUACACGAGAUCGACGGGAUCUAGCGCUAGACUUGAAUACGCCGUGACCCUACACUAAUAAACUAUGGAUCCGCCUCAUCAGCCGUAACCCGGAUUCAAAUCGCACAAAAUCUCUAAGACCACCAAAUCCGCCCCUGUCGUAGGUUUGUUACGAUUUGUGCGCAGAUUGUUACGACUCUGUUGUGCCGGUCGUGCAUGCCUCCUCCCGCCUCUUCCUAUAUAACCUAUCCGUGACCUUCCCCUCAAAGUACCAAAUCAAUCGAGGCCCGAUCGAUACGAACUCAAGACGCCGCCGCGGAUCAAACCUGCAGCCGCAGGAUGUCGACUCUGAUGUUGGCCGUAGGACUUCUUUGCGGCGUGGUCUGCAAUGUCUACGUCGUGUUCACCAGUAAGAACCUUCCCACUAGUUUCUCCUUUAUCUCUUCAUCGACUAGCACAACUCCACAUUAGGACCUGUGAGUCGUGGCUCUAGCACUACUCUGCUCCGGCGUGUCGCCGCCACGGGUGGGAACUGCACCGCCGUGGGCGGAACCGUGGCGUACCAUCGCUCGGGCUCUUGGGCAGAGAACUUCGCCGAACCCCAGUGAUUUGAUCGUAGACAUCUCGGAUGCAGAAACUACCUUGGCUCGCCCGGAUUUCUUGUCGGGGUUGGUGCCCCGCCGUUGACCCGCCGUGCCGUGUGGGCAACAUCGCUUCCGUCACCCUCGCCCACUUUGCCGCGCCCCGUACUGUGGCGACAUGGCCGAGUACCACCUCGGGCUUCAGUUACACGGCCACACCGAUGACGUUCGUGGCGUCUUUGUAUGCGGGGUGCUGGGCUCGUGACAUCAUGGGCGUACCAAGCAGCACCGCAGCGGCAAUGGAAGGCCAGCCGCUCCCUCUCGCUCCUCAGUCCUCGCCCAGCCGCCGUCAUUGUUGAAAUGUUGACCGAGCCGUGGCUGGCCUGGGUAUUGACGGAUUGAAUGGGAGGUGGGAGAAGCGCUCCUAGCCGUGCAUCUCGGAUCAAGGGCCAGAAUGGAUGUAGGCGUCCUAGGGAUCAUAUUAAAUCAGGACUGCGAAUUCGAGAUCCGACGGUUGUCGUCGGGUACCGAUUCAUAAAAGCCUAGAUCUAAUCCGGUCCAUUGAUGGGGGAUUGAACGGCUGAGAGUAAUCGAUACCCCUUCACCCAGGAUUAUUUACAAAAGAGUCCCUGAAGUCUUCAUUAAUAAACCCGCAGUCUCGACUGUCGUGUGAAUCUAAGCAUGAGCCCUUGACUUCGCAAAUAACCCCCUGGUAAGUGUUUUUAGUAUAGAAUUGAUAUUAGAAGCAACCUAAAACUUGUGAGUUUUCUAUUAUUCUCGUUUUAACUCCGAUUUAGUCCGUUUCUGUUGCGUUAGCUUCAUAAUAUCAUUAUCUACGCAAUAACAACAUUAGUUUUAUCAUAACACAUAUUCUUAUAAUUAGUUAUUAUUUGAUCUCUGUUUAGUAGAUUAAUCUUCCUAAUCAAAGCUAAUCUGCUUAUAAUUAUAAUUUGACUAAAAUAGACUUUUACUCAAGUUAUAACUUAACUAAAGUUGAAUUAGUUAUUUCUCUAAUAUCUUUCUUACAUGAUUUAUAGUAAACAACAUAGAAUAUGGUUUUAUUGUUUAAUCACCUAAAGCUUGAGAAACCAUAUCUUUUAACCGUAACUCUGAAUUUAGUGAUUCUUGAACCCACAAUCUCGUUACAAUGCGUGGAUCAUUAUUAUUUAGUUUGUGCUUAUGAUUGAUGUGAUGUUAAUUUUGCCUAUACCAUGUUUGUUUGUAUUGCUACGACUAGCGUGAGGUUACGAGUCACCUGAAGAUCAUCCUGGUACCUCGAAUCUCAAGUGCCAGGCAAGUUGUGCCCUUGAUCACUUCUUUUUACCCACUCAUGUUCUGAUUAAUCAUAAUGAUCUGCAUAGGUUAAUUUUGAUGGGACCCAAUAGGUUACCCUAGUUUGAUUAUCUUUAUACCUUGUUCACCACUGAAUUUCUAGGUAGUACAUGCUAUUGCUUUAUGUGGUUUUGGGUAUAGAGAUAUACUUUAUUCAUAAUCAUACUUUUGUUAUCAGUUAUUAUUUACUGUUCAUGAUAAGAUCAUUAUGUUAAUUGGAACAUGGAGAACCACCCGGGAAAACAGUGCUACCACAAGGGUUUAAUGGGACGCCCUUGGCUGAUUAAUUAGGAAAGCUAGUGGAAGACUACCUUAGCCGAAAGGGGCAAGGGCAGUAGGGGAGUGGUCAGUGUAGGGAGGUCAUUGGGAUGAUUUUGCUGCGAUGGCGGUCAUGCGAGGGGUCCCUGCAUUGGAGCUUCCUAUAAACUGUAGCGGGUUUUCUGAAGCUAGUGGAACUUUGUAAAGGCCUCGUAGUGUUACCCUGCCUCGCCUCCUCGGUAGAGGUGUAUGGGAAGUCGCGAUCCCUUGGCAGAUGGGUAACAUGACUUGUGGGUAAAGAUGCGCAACCUCUGCAGAGUGUAAAACUGGUAUACUAGCCGUGCUCACGGUCAUGAGCAGCUCGGACCCUCACAUGAUUAAUUUAUAGAACUAAAUUCAAUUUGUCAUAUGCAUUGCAUCGCAGGUGAUGUUGUUACUUUUGUUCUACUACUUAAUUGGGUUGGUAUUUACUUAUACUUAGUAAUUGCUAAUAAAAUUUUGACCAACUUUAAAAGCAAUGCUCAGCUUCAACCAUCCUCUUUGGUAAGCCUUACACUUCACGUGAGCUCCCACCUUUGGCGAGUUCAUGCACAUUAUUCCCCACAACUUGUUGAGCUAUGAACGUAUGUGAGCUCACUCUUGCUGUCUCACCCCCCCCCCCACAGGUCAAGAACAGGUACCGCAGGAUGAGGCGCAUGAAGGAUGUUGUGCUGUGUUCGUGAGAGGUCUAGGCCGUCGUCUCCCAGUCAACUUUGGGUUGCUGGACCGUUGUCUCCUUAUAAUGUAAUUAUUUAUUUUGUGCAGAACUCAUAAUAUGUAGUAAAGAUGUGACAUUCGAUCCUGUACCAUGAUUCAUCAUAUGUGUGAGACUUGGUACCAGCACACCUGGUGAUUAUGUUCGCGUCCGGGCUUUGGUGCCCUGAAAUCCGGGUGUGACAGAAGUGGUAUCAGAGGAAUGUUGACUGUAGGACGAAACCUAGUUAGAACUGGACAACCAUUGUCUACUUACCUUUGUUACUCUGAUUCUUUUCUAAACUGUUCUUAAUCUUUUCUCAUCUAUUUCCGCUUACUCUGAUUAUUCUUACCUUUUCAUUCUAAAGACAAAUGUGGAUUUCACACUUUGAAGUCCCGUACCUAAAGUGACUUUUAGGACUAGGAGACCUAAUCCUAGGAACAAAAACAAAACUAUUUUUUGUAUCUAUGUACUUGAAUGUUUGUUCUUAUGAUACUUGUCUGAUUUGGAUUUUUGAUUGAGUGUGAUGAGUUGUGGAGUAAAGUCCACAAUUACAUCUACAUAUACAUAUAGAAAAAAAAUUGUUUAUAAGAUAAACUAGAUGAACUAAGAAUACCCCCACCAGAAUAUAUCAAAUAGGUCCAUUUUAUCUUAAAAGACUCUCUCUUAUCUUAAUAGAUACGUCUUAUCUCAAAAUAUUCUAACAUAUCCUAAUAAUAUAUAUCCUAUCCUAGUAGAUCUAUCUAACCUAAUCUAGUCAUACCUGAAAGGGAAUUAGGCUUACACCUAGUCCCUAAUUAAUUUUUGGUGGUUGAAUUGCCCAACACAAAUAAUUGGACUAACUAGUUUGCUCCAGUGUAUAAGUUUUACAGGUGUUAAAGGUUCACACUUAGCCAAUAAAAAGACCAAGAGUUGGAUUCAACAAAAGAGCAAAGGGGUCAACCGAAGGCACCUCUGGUCUGGGGCACCGGACUGUCCUGUGCACUAGAGGACUCCAACUCGAACUCGCUACCUUCGGGAAUUUCUGAGACCGGCGCGCUAUAAUUCACCGGACUGUCCGGUGUACACCGGACAGUGUCCGGUGCUCCAAGGAAGCGCGGCCUCCGGAACUCAGCAGCCUCGGGAACGCGCAGCAGCCGCUCCGCUAUAAUUCACCGGACAUGUCCGGUGUGCACCGGACUGUCCGGUGUAACAACGGAGCAACGGUUAUUUCGGCGCCAACGGCUACCUGCGGCGCAUUUAAUGCGCGCUGCGCGCGCGCAGAAGUCAGGCGCGCCCAUACUGGCACACCGGACAAUGAACAAGAAAUGUCCUGUGUGCACCGGACAUCCAGGCGGGCCCACAAGUCAGGAGCUCCAACGGUCAGAAUCCAACGGCAUUGGUGACGUGGCUGGGGCACCGGACAUGUCCGGUGUGCACCGGACUGUCCGGUGCGCCAUCGAACAGACAGCCUCCACCAACGGUCAAGUUUGGUGGUUGGGGCUAUAAAUACCCCAACCACCCCCACAUUCAUUGCAUCCAAGUUUUCCACUUCUCAACCACUUACAAGAGCUAGGCAUUCAAUUCUAGACACACCAAAAAGGAUCAAAUCCUCUCCAAUUCCACAAAAGGCUUUAGUGAUUAGCGAGAGAGAUUUGCCGUGUUCUUUUGAGCUCUUGCGCUUGGAUUGCUUCUUUUCUUUCUCACUUGCUCUUGUGAUCAACACUCAAUUGUAAUCAAGGCAAGAGGCACCAAUUGUGUGGUGGCCCUUGCGGGGAAGUUUUAUUCCCGGCCUUUGAUUUGAGAAGAGAAGCUCACUCGGUCCAAGGGACCGUUUGAGAGAGGGAAGGGUUGAAAGAGACCCGGCCUUUGUGGCCUCCUCAACGGGGAGUAGGUUUGCGAGAACCGAACCUCGGUAAAACAAAUCCGCGUGUCACACUCUUCAUUUGCUUGCGAUUUGUUUUGCGCCCUCUCUCGCGGACUCAUUUCCAUUUCUAACGCUAACCCGGCUUGUAGUUGUGUUUAUAUUUGUAAAUUUCAGUUUUGCCCUAUUCACCCCCCCCCCCUCUAGGCGACUAUCAAUUGGUAUCAGAGCCCGGUGCUUCAUUAGAGCCUAACCGCUCGAAGUGAUGUCGGGAGAUCACGCCAAGAGGGAGAUGGAGACCGGCGACAAGCCCACUACGAGCCAAGGGAGCACUUCAUCGGAAGAGUCCCGCACCAAGAGGAAGGAGAAAAAGAAAGACUCCUCCAAACGGAAGGAGAAAAGAUCUUCUUCCUCACACCACAAGGAGAAGAAGGAAAAAUCUUCUUCCCACAAGUCGCAUCGGAAAGGCGACAAGCACAAGAGUAUGAGGAAGGUGGUCUACUACGAGACCGACACUUCAUCAACAUCCACCUCCGACUCCGAUGCACCGUCCGUAACUUCUAAGCGCCAAGAGCGCAAGAAGUUUAGUAAGAUCCCCUUACACUAUCCUCGUACAUCUAGACAUACUCCAUUACUUUCCGUUCCAUUAGGCAAACCGCCAACCUUUGACGGUGAAGAUUAUGCUAGGUGGAGUGAUUUAAUGAAAUUUCAUCUAACCUCACUCCACAAAAGUAUAUGGAAUGUUGUUGAGUUUGGAGCACAGGUACCAUCCGUAGGGGAUGAGGAUUAUGAUGAGGACGAUGUGGCCCAAAUCGAGCACUUCAACUCCCAAGCCACAACCAUACUCUUGGCCUCUCUGAAUAGAGAGGAAUACAACAAGGUGCAAGGGUUGAAGAAUGCAAAGCAAAUUUGGGACCUCCUCAAGACCGCGCACGAGGGUGAUGAACUCACCAAAAUCACCAGGCGGGAAACGAUCGAGGGGGAGCUCGGUCGCUUCCGUCUUCGCCAAGGGGAGGAGCCACAAGACAUGUACAACCGGCUCAAGAGUUUGGUAAACCAAGUGCGCAACCUCGAGAGCAAGAAGUGGGAUGACCACGAGGUGGUUAAGGUUAUUCUUAGAUCACUCAUUUUCCUUAACCCCACUCAAGUUCAAUUAAUUCGUGGUAAUCCUAGAUAUACUCAAAUGACCCCCGAGGAAGUUAUCGGGAAUUUUGUGAGCUUUGAAUGUAUGAUCAAGGGCUCCAAGAAGAUCAACGAGCUUGAGGAGCCCUCCACAUCCGAAGCACAACCGGUGGCAUUUAAGGCAACGGAGGAGAAGAAGGAGGAGUCUACACCAAGUAGACAACCAAUUGACGCCUCCAAGCUCGACAAUGAGGAGAUGGCUUUAAUCAUCAAAAGCUUUCGCCAAAUCCUCAAGCAACGGAAGGGGAAGGAUUACAAAUCCCGUUCCAAGAAGGUUUGCUACAAAUGUGGUAAGCCCUGUCACUUUAUUGCUAAAUGUCCUUUAUCAAGUGACAGUGACAGGGAUAACGACAAGAAGGGCAAGAGGAGAGAAAAGAAGAGGUACUACAAGAAGAAGGGCGGCGAUGCCCAUGUUUGCCGGGAGUGGGACUCGGACGAGAGCUCCACCGACUCCUCCUCCGACGAGGACGCCGCCAACAUCGCCGUCACCAAGGGACUCCUCUUCCCCAACGUCGGCCACAAGUGCCUCAUGGCAAAGGACGGCAAAAGGAAGAAGGUUAAAUCUAAAUCCUCCACUAAAUAUGAGUCCUCUAGUGAUGAUAAUGCUAGUGAUGAGGAAAAUAAUUUGCGUACCCUUUUUGCCAACCUUAACAUGGAACAAAAGGAAAAAUUGAAUGAGCUAAUUAGUGCCAUCCAUGAAAAGGAUGAUCUCUUGGACUCCCAAGAGGACUUUCUAAUCAAGGAAAAUAAGAAACAUGUUAAGAUUAAAAAUGCUUAUGCUCUAGAGAUAGAAAAAUGUCAAAAUUUGUCUAGCGAGCUAAGCACUUGCCAUGAGACCAUUAACAACCUUAGAAAUGAAAAUGCUAAAUUAAUUGCUAAGGUUGAUUCUCAUGUUUGUGAUGCUUCAAUUCCUAGUCUUAGAAAUGAUAAUGGUGAUUUGCUUGCUAAGAUUAAGGAAUUGAAUGAUUCUCUUGCUAGCCUUAGGAUUGAAAAUGAAAAAUUAAUUGCUAAGGCUAAAGAUUUUGAUGUUUGCAAUGUUACUAUUUCUAACCUUAAAAAUGAGAAUGAUAUACUACAUGCUAAGGUUGUGGAAUUAAAAUCUUGCAAACCAUCUACGUCUACCGUUGAGCAUGUUUCUAUUUGCACUAGAUGUAGAGAUGUUGAUAUCAAUGCUAUUCAUGAUCACAUGGCUCUAAUUAAACAACAAAAUGAUCAUAUAGCAUUAUUAGAUGCUAAAAUUGCCGAGCAUAACUUAGAAAAUGAAAAAUUUAAAUUUGCUAGAAGUAUGCUCUAUAAUGGGAGACGCCCUGGCAUCAAGGAUGGCAUUGGCUUCCAAAGGGGAGACAAUGUCAAACUUAAUGCCCAUCCAAAGAAUUUAUCUAACUUUGUUAAGGGCAAGGCUCCCAUGCCUCAGGAUAACGAGGGUUACAUUUUGUACCCUGCCGGCUAUCCUGAGAACAAAAUUAGGAGAACUCAUUCUAGGAAGUCUCACUCUGGCCCUAACCAUGCUUUCAUGUAUAAGGGUGAGACAUCUAGCUCUAGGCAACCAACCCAUGCCAAGUUGCCUAGAAAGAAAACUCCUAUUGCAUCAAAUGAUCAUAGCAUUUCAUUUAAAACUUUUGAUGCAUCAUAUGUUUUAACUAACAAAUCCGGCAAGGUAGUUGCCAAGUUUGUUGGGGGCAAACACAAGGGCUCCAAGACUUGUGUUUGGGUACCCAAAGUUCUUGUUUCUAAUGCCAAAGGACCCAAAACAGUUUGGGUACCUAAAGUCAAGAACUAAAAUUGUUUUGUAGGUUUAUGCAUCCGGGGGCUCAAGUUGGAUACUCGACAGCGGGUGCACAAACCAUAUGACAGGGGAGAAAAAGAUGUUCUCCUCAUAUGAGAAAAACCAAGAUCCCCAACGAGCUAUCACAUUCGGGGAUGGAAAUCAAGGUUUGGUCAAAGGUUUGGGUAAAAUUGCUAUAUCACCUGACCAUACUAUUUCCAAUGUUUUUCUUGUAGACUCUUUAGAUUACAAUUUGCUUUCCGUUUCGCAACUUUGUCAAAUGGGCUACAACUGUCUAUUUACUGAUGUAGGUGUUACUGUCUUUAGAAGAAGUGAUGAUUCAAUAGCAUUUAAGGGAGUGUUAGAGGGUCAGCUAUACUUGGUAGACUUUGAUAGAGCUGAAUUCGACACUUGCUUGGUUGCUAAGACUAACUUGGGUUGGCUCUGGCACCGCCGACUAGCCCAUGUUGGAAUGAAGAAUCUUCAUAAGCUUCUAAAGGGGGAACACAUUUUAGGACUAACCAAUGUUCAUUUUGAGAAAGACAGGAUUUGUAGCGCAUGCCAAGCCGGGAAGCAAGUUGGCACUCAUCAUCCACACAAGAACAUCAUGACUAGUGACAGGCCACUGGAGCUCCUACACAUGGAUUUAUUCGGCCCGAUUGCUUACAUAAGCAUCGGCGGGAGUAAGUACUGUCUAGUUAUUGUGGAUGAUUAUUCUCGCUUCACUUGGGUGUUCUUUUUGCAGGAAAAAUCUCAUACCCAAGAGACCUUAAAGGGAUUCUUGAGACGGGCUCAAAAUGAGUUCGGCUUAAGGAUCAAGAAAAUUAGAAGCGACAACGGGACGGAGUUCAAGAACUCACAAAUAGAAAGCUUCCUUGAGGAGGAGGGCAUCAAGCAUGAGUUCUCUUCUCCCUACACUCCACAACAAAAUGGUGUAGUGGAGAGGAAGAAUCGAACUCUAUUGGACAUGGCAAGAACCAUGCUUGAUGAGUACAAGACAUCGGAUCGGUUUUGGGCCGAGGCGGUCAACACCGCCUGCUAUGCCAUCAACCGGUUAUAUUUACACCGAAUCCUCAAGAAGACAUCCUAUGAACUCCUAACCGGUAAAAAGCCAAAUAUUUCAUAUUUUAGAGUUUUUGGUAGCAAAUGUUUUAUUCUUGUUAAAAGAGGUAGAAAAUCUAAAUUUGCUCCUAAAACUGUAGAAGGCUUUUUACUAGGAUAUGACUCAAACACAAGGGCAUAUAGAGUCUUUAACAAGUCCUCAGGACUUGUUGAAGUUUCUUGUGACGUUGUGUUUGAUGAGACUAACGGCUCUCAAGUAGAGCAAGUUGAUCUUGAUGAGAUAGGUGAAGAACAGGCUCCAUGCAUUGCGCUAAGGAACAUGUCCAUUGGGGAUGUGUGUCCUAAGGAACCCGAAGAGCCUCCACAUGCACAAGAUCAACCAUCCUCCUCCACGCAAGCAUCUCCACCAACUCAAAAUGAGGAUAAGGCUCAAGUUGAUGAAGGGCAAGAUCAAGAAGAUGAGCCACCUCAAGAUGAUGGCAAUAAUCAAGGGGGAGAUGCAAAUGAUCAAGAAAAGGAGGAUGAGCAAGAACCAAGGCCGCCACACCCAAGAGUCCACCAAGCAAUUCAACGAGAUCACCCUGUCGACACCAUCCUCGGCGACAUUCAUAAGGGGGUAACCACUAGAUCUCGUGUUGCACAUUUUUGUGAACAUUACUCGUUUGUUUCCUCUAUUGAGCCACACAGGGUAGAGGAAGCACUACAAGAUUCGGAUUGGGUGGUGGCGAUGCAAGAGGAGCUCAACAACUUCACUAGAAAUGAGGUAUGGCAUUUAGUUCCACGUCCUAACCAAAAUGUUGUAGGAACCAAAUGGGUCUUCCGCAACAAGCAAGAUGAGCAUGGUGUGGUGACAAGGAACAAAGCUCGACUUGUGGCCAAGGGAUACUCCCAAGUCGAAGGUUUGGAUUUCGGUGAAACCUAUGCACCCGUAGCUAGGCUUGAGUCAAUUCGCAUAUUAUUGGCCUAUGCUACUUACCAUGGCUUUAAGCUUUAUCAAAUGGACGUGAAAAGUGCAUUCCUCAAUGGACCAAUCAAGGAAGAGGUCUACGUUGAGCAACCUCCCGGCUUUGAAGACAGUGAGUAUCCUAACUAUGUCUAUAAGCUCUCUAAGGCGCUUUAUGGGCUCAAGCAAGCCCCAAGAGCAUGGUAUGAAUGCCUUAGAGAUUUCCUUAUUGCUAAUGGUUUCAAAGUCGGAAAGGCCGAUCCUACACACUUUACUAAAACUCUUGAAAAUGACUUGUUUGUAUGCCAAAUUUAUGUUGAUGAUAUUAUAUUUGGGUCUACUAACGAGUCUACAUGUGAAGAGUUUAGUAGGAUUAUGACACAGAAAUUCGAGAUGUCUAUGAUGGGGGAGUUGAAGUAUUUCUUAGGAUUCCAAGUGAAACAACUCCAAGAAGGCACCUUCAUUAGCCAAACAAAGUACACUCAAGACAUUCUAAACAAGUUUGGGAUGAAAGAUGCCAAGCCCAUCAAGACACCCAUGGGAACCAAUGGGCAUCUCGACCUCGACACGGGAGGUAAGUCCGUGGAUCAAAAGGUAUACCGGUCGAUGAUAGGUUCUUUACUCUAUUUAUGUGCAUCUCGACCGGAUAUUAUGCUAUCCGUGUGCAUGUGUGCAAGAUUCCAAGCCGACCCUAAGGAAGCUCACCUUACGGCCGUGAAACGAAUCUUGAGAUAUUUGGCUUAUACUCCUAAGUUUGGGCUUUGGUAUCCCAGGGGAUCCACAUUUGAUUUAAUUGGAUAUUCGGAUGCCGAUUGGGCAGGGUGCAAAAUUAAUAGGAAGAGCACAUCGGGGACUUGCCAGUUCUUGGGAAGAUCCUUGGUGUCUUGGGCUUCAAAGAAGCAAAAUUCGGUCGCUCUUUCCACCGCCGAAGCCGAGUAUAUUGCCGUAGGCCAUUGUUGCGCGCAAUUGCUUUGGAUGAGGCAAACCCUGCGGGACUACGGUUACAAAUUAACCAAAGUCCCUUUGCUAUGUGAUAAUGAGAGUGCAAUCAAGAUGGCGGAUAAUCCCGUCGAGCAUAGUCGCACUAAACACAUAGCCAUUCGGUAUCAUUUUCUUAGGGAUCACCAACAAAAGGGAGAUAUCGAGAUUUCAUACAUUAAUACUAAAGAUCAAUUAGCCGAUAUCUUUACCAAGCCUCUUGAUGAACAAUCUUUUAACAAACUUAGGCAUGAGCUCAAUAUUCUUGAUUCUAGGAACUUCUUUUGUUAAAUUGCACACAUUGCUCUUCUAUAUACCUUUGAUCAUGUCUCUUUCAUAUGCUAUGACUAAUGUGUUUUUCAAGUCUAUUUCAAACCAAGUCAUAGGUAUAUUGAAAGGGAAUUGGAGUCUUCGGCGAAGACAAAGGCUUCCACUCCGUAACUCAUCCUUCGCCGUCGCUCCAAGAGACUCUCCAUCCUUGGGGGAGAGAGCAAAAGGACUUCGUCUUUGGUAUAAUCUUAACUCAUUUAUUUAUGACCAAAGGGCAAGAUAGCACUUCGUGGGCUCUAAUGAUUCCGUUUUUGGCGAUUCAUGCCAAAGGGGGAGAAAGUAAGGGCCCAAAGCAAAAGGACCGCACCACCACACCAAUUUCAAAAACUAAGUGUUGAAUAUUUUUCAAUUGGUAUCCUAUUGUGUUCAAAAAAAAGGGGAGAAAGUGAAAGUCGCCUAGAGGGGGGGUGAAUAGGGCGAAACUGAAAUUUACAAAUAUAAACACAACUACGAGUCGGGUUAGCGUUAGAAAUGUAAAUGAGUCCGCGAGAGAGGGCGCAAAACAAAUCGCAAGCAAAUGAAGAGUGUGACACGUGGAUUUGUUUUACCGAGGUUCGGUUCUCGCAAAUCUACUCCCCGUUGAGGAGGCCACAAAGGCCGGGUCUCUUUCAACCCUUCCCUCUCUCAAACGGUCCCUCGGACCGAGUGAGCUUCUCUUCUCAAAUCAAAGCCGGGAAUAAAACUUCCCCGCAAGGGCCACCACACAGUUGGUGCCUCUUGCCUUGAUUACAAUUGAGUGUUGAUCACAAGAGCAAGUGAGAAAGAAAAGAAGCAAUCCAAGCGCAAGAGCUCAAAAGAACACGGCAAAUCUCUCUCGCUAAUCACUAAAGCCUUUUGUGGAUUUGGAGAGGAUUUGAUCUCUUUGGUGUGUCUAGAAUUGAAUGCCUAGCUCUUGUAAGUGGUUGAGAAGUGGAAAACUUGGAUGCAAUGAAUGGUGGGGUGGUUGGGGUAUUUAUAGCCCCAACCACCAAACUUGACCGUUGGUGAAGGCUGUCUGUUCGAUGGCGCACCGGACAGUCCGGUGCACACCGGACAGUCCGGUGCCCCCGCCACGUCAUCACUGCCGUUGGAUUCUGACCGUUGGAGCUUCUGAUUUGUGGGCCCGCCUGGAUGUCCGGUGCACACCGGACAUGCACUGUUGGAUGUCCGGUGCGCCAGCAUGGGCGAGCCUGACUUCUGCGCGCGCUGACGCGCAUUUAUUGCGUCGCAGGUAGCCGUUGGCGCCUGAAGUAGCCGUUGCCUCGAUGUUGCACCGGACAGUCCGGUGUACACCGGACAUGUCCGGUGAAUUAUAGCGGAGCGGCUGCUGCGCGCUCCCGAGGCUGGCGAGUUCCGGAGACCGCGCUUUGUUGGAGCACCGGACACUGUCCGGUGUACACCGGACAGUCCGGUGAAUUAUAGCGCCGCGACCUGCGAAAUUCCCGAAGGUGGCGAGUUCGAGUUGGAGUCCUCUGGUGCACCGGACACUGUCCGGUGGUGCACCGGACAGUCCGGUGCCCCCAGACCAGAGGUGCCUCGGUUGCCUCUUUGCUCCUUUGUUGAAUCCAAAAACUUGAUCUUUUUAUUGGCUAAGUGUGAACCUUUUACACCUGUAUAAUCUAUACACUUGAGCAAACUAGUUAGUCCAAUUAUUUGUGUUGGGCAAUUCAACCACCAAAAUUAAUUAGGGACUAGGUGUAAGCCUAAUUCCCUUUCAAUCUCCCCCUUUUUGGUGAUUGAUGCCAACACAAACCAAAGCAAAUAUAGAAGUGCAUAACUGAACUAGUUUGCAUAAUGUAAGUGUAAAUGUUGCUUGGAAUUGAGCCAAUCUAAAUACUUACAAGAUAUGCAUGGAUCGUUUCUUUCUUAUUUAACAUUUUGGACCACGAUUGCACCACAUGUUUUGUUUUUGCAAACUCUUUUGUAAAUCCUUUUCAAAGUUCUUUUGCAAACAGUCAAAGGCAAAUGAAUAAGAUUUUGAGAAACAUUUUCAAGAUUUGAAAUUUUCUCCCCCUGUUUCAAAUGCUUUUCCUUUGAUUAAACAAAACUCCCCCUAAAUGAGAUCCUCCUCUUAGUGUUCAAGAGGGUUUUGAUAUAUCAUUUUUGAAAUACUACUUUCUCCCCCUUUUGAACACAAUAGGAUACUAAUUGAUAAUAUUCUUGGAAACACGAAGUUUUUGAAAUUGGUGGUGGUGCGGUCCUUUUGCUUUGGGCUCAUAUUUUCUCCCCCUUUGGCAUGAAUCGCCAAAAACGGAAUCAUUAGAGCCCUCGAAGUGCUAUCUUCCCCUUUGGUCAUAAAUAAAUGAGUUAAGAUUAUACCAAAGACGAAGUCCUUUUGUUCUCUCCCCCAAAGAUGGAGAGUCUCUUGGAGCGACGGCGAAGGAUGAGUUACGGAGUGGAAGCCUUUGUCUUCGCCGAAGACUCCAAUUCCCUUUCAAUACACCUAUGACUUGGUUUGAAAUAGACUUGAAAAAUACAUUAGUCAUAGCAUAUGAAAGACAUGAUCAAAGGUAUAUUUAUGAGCUAUGUGUGCAAGUUAACAAAAGAAAUUCCUAGAAUCAAGAAUAUUGAGCUCAUGCCUAAGUUUGUUAAAAGAUUGUUCAUCAAGAGGCUUGGUAAAGAUAUCGGCUAAUUGAUCUUUAGUAUUAAUGUAUGAAAUCUCGAUAUCUCCCUUUUGUUGGUGAUCCCUAAGAAAAUGAUACCGAAUGGCUAUGUGUUUAGUGCGACUAUGCUCGACGGGAUUAUCCGCCAUCUUGAUUGCACUCUCAUUAUCACAUAGCAAAGGGACUUUGGUUAAUUUGUAACCGUAGUCCCGCAGGGUUUGCCUCAUCCAAAGCAAUUGCGCGCAACAAUGUCCUGCGGCAAUGUACUCGGCUUCGGCGGUGGAAAGAGCGACCGAAUUUUGCUUCUUUGAAGCCCAAGACACCAAGGAUCUUCCCAAGAACUGGCAAGUCCCCGAUGUGCUCUUCCUAUUGAUUUUGCACCCCGCCCAAUCGGCAUCCGAAUAACCAAUCAAAUCAAAUGUGGAUCCCCUAGGAUACCAAAGCCCAAACUUAGGAGUAUAAGCCAAAUAUCUCAAGAUUCGUUUUACGGCCGUAAGGUGAGCUUCCUUAGGGUCGGCUUGGAAUCUUGCACACAUGCACACGGAAAGCAUAAUAUCCGGUCGAGAUGCACAUAAAUAGAGUAAAGAACCUAUCAUCGACCGGUAUACCUUUUGAUCCACGGACUUACCUCCCGUGUCGAGGUCGAGAUGCCCAUUGGUUCCCAUGGGUGUCUUGAUGGGCUUGGCAUCUUUCAUCCCAAACUUGUUUAGAAUGUCUUGAGUGUACUUUGUUUGGCUAAUGAAGGUGCCCUCUUGGAGUUGUUUCACUUGGAAUCCUAAGAAAUACUUCAACUCCCCCAUCAUAGACAUCUCGAAUUUCUGUGUCAUAAUCCUACUAAACUCUUCACAUGUAGACUCGUUAGUAGACCCAAAUAUAAUAUCAUCAACAUAAAUUUGGCAUACAAACAAGUCAUUUUCAAGAGUUUUAGUAAAGAGUGUAGGAUCGGCUUUUCCGACUUUGAAGCCAUUAGCAAUAAGAAAAUCUCUAAGGCAUUCAUACCAUGCUCUUGGGGCUUGCUUGAGCCCAUAAAGCGCCUUAGAGAGCUUAUAGACAUGGUUAGGAUACUCACUGUCUUCAAAGCCGGGAGGUUGCUCAACAUAGACCUCUUCCUUGAUUGGUCCAUUGAGGAAGGCACUUUUCACGUCCAUUUGAUAAAGCUUAAAGCCAUGGUAAGUAGCAUAGGCUAAUAAUAUGCGAAUUGACUCAAGCCUAGCUACGGGUGCAUAGGUUUCACCGAAAUCCAAACCUUCGACUUGGGAGUAUCCCUUGGCCACAAGUCGAGCUUUGUUCCUUGUCACCACACCAUGCUCGUCUUGCUUGUUGCGGAAGACCCAUUUGGUUCCUACAACAUUUUGAUUAGGACGUGGAACCAAAUGCCAUACCUCAUUCCUAGUGAAGUUGUUGAGCUCCUCUUGCAUUGCCACCACCCAAUCCGAAUCUUGCAGUGCUUCCUCUACCCUGUGUGGCUCAAUAGAGGAAACAAACGAAUAAUGUUCACAAAAAUGUGCAAUACGAGAUCUAGUAGUUACCCCCUUAUGAAUGUCGCCGAGGAUGGUGUCGACGGGGUGAUCUCGUUGGAUGGCUUGGUGGACUCUUGGGUGUGGCGGCCUUUGCUCUUCAUCCUCCUUGUCUUGAUCAUUUACAUCUCCCCCUUGAUCAUUAUCGUCAUCAUGAGGUGGCUCAUUUGCUUGAUCUUCUACUUCAUCAACUUGAGCUUCAUCCUCAUUUUGAGUCGGUGGAGAUGCUAGCGUGGAGGAGGAUGGUUGAUCUUGUGCAUGUGGAGGCCCUUCGGAUUCCUUAGGACACACGUCCCCAAUGGACAUGUUCCUUAGCGCGAUGCACAGAGCCUGUUCUUCACCUAUCUCAUCAAGAUCAACUUGCUCUACUUGAGAGCCGUUAGUCUCAUCAAACACAACGUCACAAGAAACUUCAACUAGUCCUGAGGACUUGUUAAAGACUCUAUAUGCCCUUGUGUUUGAGUCAUAUCCUAGUAAAAAGCCUUCUACAGUUUUAGGAGCAAAUUUAGAUUUUCUACCUCUUUUAACAAGAAUAAAACAUUUGCUACCAAAAACUCUAAAAUAUGAAAUAUUUGGCUUUUUACCGGUUAGGAGUUCAUAGGAUGUCUUCUUGAGGAUUCGGUGAAGAUAUAAUCGGUUGAUGGCAUAGCAAGCGGUGUUGACCGCCUCGGCCCAAAACCGAUCCGGUGUCUUGUAUUCAUCAAGCAUGGUUCUUGCCAUGCCCAAUAGAGUUCGAUUCUUCCUCUCCACUACACCAUUUUGUUGAGGAGUGUAGGGAGAAGAGAACUCAUGCUUGAUGCCCUCCUCCUCAAGGAAACCUUCGAUUUGAGAGUUCUUGAACUCCGUCCCGUUGUCGCUUCUUAUUUUCUUGAUCCUUAAGCCGAACUCAUUUUGAGCCCGUCUCAAGAAUCCCUUUAAGGUCUCUUGGGUUUGAGAUUUUUCCUGUAAAAAGAAUACCCAAGUGAAGCGAGAAUAAUCAUCCACAAUAACUAGACAGUACUUACUCCCGCCGAUGCUUAUGUAAGCAAUCGGGCCGAAUAAAUCCAUGUGAAGGAGCUCCAGUGGCCUGUCACUAGUCAUGAUGUUCUUGUGCGGAUGAUGAGUGCCAACUUGCUUCCCGGCUUGGCAUGCGCUACAAAUCCUGUCUUUCUCAAAAUGAACAUUGGUUAGUCCUAAAAUGUGUUCCCCCUUUAGAAGCUUAUGAAGAUUCUUCAUUCCAACAUGGGCUAGUCGACGGUGCCAGAGCCAACCCAAGUUAGUCUUAGCAACCAAGCAAGUGUCGAGUUUAGCUCUAUCAAAAUCUACCAAGUAUAGCUAACCCUCUAACACUCCCUUAAAUGCUAUUGAAUCAUCAUUUCUUCUAAAGACAGUAACACCUACAUCAGUAAAUAGACAGUUGUAGCCCUUUUGACAUAAUUGAGAAACGGAAAGCAAAUUGUAAUCUAAUGAAUCAACAAGAAAAACAUUGGAAAUGGAAUGGUCAGAUGAAAUAGCAAUUUUACCCAAACCUUUGACCAAACCUUGAAUUCCAUCCCCGAAUGUGAUCGCUCUUUGGGGAUCUUGGUUUUUCUCAUAUGAGGAGAACAUCUUCUUCUCCCCUGUCAUGUGGUUUGUGCACCCGCUGUCGAGUAUCCAACUUGAGCCCCCGGAUGCAUAAACCUACAAAACAAUUUUAGUUCUUGACUUUAGGUACCCAAACGGUUUUGGGUCCUUUAGCAUUAGACACAAGAACUUUGGGUACCCAAACACAAGUCUUGGAGCCCUUGUGUUUGCCCCCAACAAACUUGGCAACUACCUUGCCGGAUUUGUUAGUAAGCACAUAUGAUGCAUCAAAAGUUUUGAAUGAAAUAGCAUGAUCAUUUGAUGCAUUAGGAGUUUUCUUUCUAGGCAACUUGGCACGGGUUGGUUGCCUAGAACUAGAUGUCUCACCCUUAUACAUAAAAGCAUGAUUAGGGCCAGAGUGAGACUUCCUAGAGUGAAUUCUCCUAAUUUUGCUCUCGGGAUAACCGGCAGGGUACAAAAUGUAACCCUCGUUAUCCUAAGGCAUGGGAGCCUUGCCCUUAACAAAGUUAGACAAAUUUUUAGGAGGGGCAUUAAGUUUGACAUUGUCUCCCCUUUGGAAGCCAAUGCCAUCCUUGAUGCCCGGGCGUCUCCCAUUAUAGAGCAUACUUCUAGCAAAUUUAAACUUUUCAUUUUCCAAGUUAUGCUCGGCAAUUUUUGCAUCUAAUAAUGCUAUAUGAUCAUUUUGUUGUUUAAUUAAGGACAUGUGAUCAUGAAUAGCAUUGAUAUCAACAUCUCUACAUCUAGUACAAAUAGAAACAUGCUCAACAUUAGAUGUAGAGGGUUUGCAAGAUUUUAAUUCAACAACCUUAGCAUGUAACAUAUCAUUCUUAGUUCUAAGGUCGGAAAUAAUAGAAUUGCAAACAUCAAAAUCUUUAGCCUUAGCAAUCAAAUUUUCAUUUUCUACUCUAAGGUUAGCAAGAGAAUCAUUCAAUUCCUUAAUCUUAGCAAGCAAGUUAUUAUUAUCAUUUCUAAGAUUGGGAAUUGAAGCAUCACAAACAUGAGACUCAACCUUAGCAAUUAAACUAGCAUUUUCAUUUCUAAGGUUGGCAAUAGUGUCAUGGCAAGUGCUUAGCUCACUAGAUAGUUUUUGACAUUUUUCUACUUCUAGAGCAUAAGCAUUUUUAACCUUAACAUGUUUCUUGUUUUCUUUAAUUAGAAAAUCCUCUUGGGAAUCCAAAAGGUCAUCCUUUUCAUGAAUAGCACUAAUCAAUUCAUUUAAUUUUUCCUUUUGUUCUAUGUUAAGAUUGGCAAAAAGGGUAAGCAAGUUAUCCUCCUCAUCACUAGCAUUAUCAUCACUAGAGGAUUCAUAUUUUGUGGAGGAUUUAGAUUUAACCUUCUUCUUUUUGCCGUCCUUUGCCAUGAGGCACUUGUGGCCGACGUUGGGGAAGAGAAGCCCCUUGGUGACGGCGAUGUUGGCGGCGUCCUCGUCGGAGGAGGACUCGGUGGAGCUCUCGUCGGAGUCCCACUCGCGGCACACGUGGGCAUCGCCGCCCCUCUUCUUGUGGUACCUCUUCUUUUCUCUUCUCUUGCCCUUCUUGUCGUUGUCCCUGUCACUGUCACUUGAUAAUGGACAUUUAGCGAUAAAGUGACCGGGCUUACCACACUUGUAGCAAACCUUCUUGGAACGGGAUUUGUAGUCUUUCCCCUUCCGUUGCUUGAGGAUUUGGCGAAAGCUUUUGAUGAUUAAAGCCAUCUCCUCAUUGUCGAGCUUGGAGGCGUCAAUUGGUUGUCUACUUGGUGUAGACUCCUCCUUCUUCUCCUCCGUCGCCUUGAAGGCCACCGGUUGCGCCUCGGAUGUGGAGGGUUCGUCAAGCUCGUUGAUCUUCUUUGAUCCUUUAAUCAUACAUUCAAAGCUCACAAAAUUCCUGAUAACUUCCUCGGGGUCAUUAGUGGGUAUCUAGGGUUACCACGAAUUAAUUGAACUUGAGUGGGGUUAAGGAAAAUGAGAGCUCUUAGAAUAACCUUAACCACCUCGUGAUCGUCCCACUUUUUGCUCCCGAGGUUGCGCACUUGGUUUACCAAGGUUUUGAGCCGGUUGUACAUAUCUUGUGGCUCUUCCCCUUGGCGAAGUCGAAAGCGACCGAGCUCCCCCUCGAUCGUUUCCCGCUUGGUGAUCUUUGUUAGUUCAUCACCCUCGUGCGCGGUCUUGAGGAGGUCCCAAAUUUCCUUUGCAUUCUUCAACCCUUGCACCUUGUUGUAUUCCUCUCUAUUUAGAGAGGCCAAGAGUAUGGUUGUGGCUUGGGAGUUGAAGUGCUCGAUUUGGGCUACUUCGUCCUCAUCAUAAUCCUCAUCCCCUACGGAUGGUACCUGUGCUCCAAACUCAACAACAUUCCAUAUACUUUUGUGGAGUGAGGUUAGAUGAAAUUUCAUUAAAUCACUCCACCUAGCAUAAUCUUCACCGUCAAAGGUUGGCGGUUUGCCUAAUGGAACGGAAAGUAAUGGAGUAUGUCUAGAUGUACGAGGAUAGUGUAAGGGGAUCUUACUAAACUUCUUGCGCUCUUGGCGCUUAGAAGUUACGGACGGUGCAUCGGAGUCGGAGGUGGAUGUUGAUGAAGUGUCGGUCUCGUAGUAGACCACUUUCCUCAUCCUCUUGUGCUUGUCGCCUUUCCGAUGCGUCUUGUGGGAAGAAGAUUUUUCCUUCUUCUCUUUGUGGUGAGAAGAAGAUUUCUUCUCCUUCCCUUUGUUGGAGGAGCUCUUCUUCUUCUCCUUCCUCUUGGUGCGGGACUCUUCCGAUGAAGUGCUCCCGUGGCUUGUAGUGGGCUUUUCGCCGGUCUCCAUCUCCUUCUUGGCGUGAUCUCCCGACAUCACUUCGAGCGGUUAGGCUCUAAUGAAGCACCGGGCUCUGAUACCAAUUGAAAGUCGCCUAGAGGGGGGGGGUGAAUAGGGCGAAACUGAAAUUUACAAAUAUAAACACAACUACGAGUCGGGUUAGCGUUAGAAAUGUAAAUGAGUCCGCGAGAGAGGGCGCAAAACAAAUCGCAAGCAAAUGAAGAGUGUGACACGUGGAUUUGUUUUACCGAGGUUCGGUUCUCGCAAACCUACUCCCCGUUGAGGAGGCCACAAAGGCCGGGUCUCUUUCAACCCUUCCCUCUCUCAAACGGUCCCUCGGACCGAGUGAGCUUCUCUUCUCAAAUCAAAGCCAGGAAUAAAACUUCCCCGCAAGGGCCACCACACAGUUGGUGCCUCUUGCCUUGAUUACAAUUGAGUGUUGAUCACAAGAGCAAGUGAGAAAGAAAAGAAGCAAUCCAAGCGCAAGAGCUCAAAAGAACACGGCAAAUCUCUCUCGCUAAUCACUAAAGCCUUUUGUGGAUUUGGAGAGGAUUUGAUCUCUUUGGUGUGUCUAGAAUUGAAUGCCUAGCUCUUGUAAGUGGUUGAGAAGUGGAAAACUUGGAUGCAAUGAAUGGUGGGGUGGUUGGGGUAUUUAUAGCCCCAACCACCAAACUUGACCGUUGGUGAAGGCUGUCUGUUCGAUGGCGCACCGGACAGUCCCGUGCACACCGGACAGUCCGGUGCCCCCGCCACGUCAUCACUGCCGUUGGAUUCUGACCGUUGGAGCUUCUGAUUUGUGGGCCCGCCUGGAUGUCUGGUGCACACCGGACAUGCACUGUUGGAUGUCCGGUGCGCCAGCAUGGGCGAGCCUGACUUCUGCGCGCGCUGACGCGCAUUUAUUGCGUCGCAGGUAGCCGUUGGCGCCUGAAGUAGCCGUUGCCUCGAUGUUGCACCGGACAGUCCGGUGAAUUAUAGCGGAGCGGCUGCUGCGCGCUCCCGAGGAUGGCGAGUUCCGGAGACCGCGCUUUUUUGGAGCACCGGACACUGUCCGGUGUACACCGGACAGUCCGGUGAAUUAUAGCGUCGCGACCUGCGAAAUUCCCGAAGGUGGCGAGUUCGAGUUGGAGUCCUCUGGUGCACCGGACAGUCCGGUGCCCCCAGACCAGAGGUGCCUCGGUUGCCUCUUUGCUCCUUUGUUGAAUCCAAAAACUUGAUCUUUUUAUUGGCUAAGUGUGAACCUUUUACACCUGUAUAAUCUAUACACUUGAGCAAACUAGUUAGUCCAAUUAUUUGUGUUGGGCAAUUCAACCACCAAAAUUAAUUAGGGACUAGGUGUAAGCCUAAUUCCCUUUCAGAAAGUAGUAUUUCAAAAAUGAUAUAUCAAAACCCUCUUGAACACUAAGAGGAGAAUCUUAUUUAGGGGGAGUUUUGUUUAGUCAAAGGAAAAGCAUUUGAAACAGGGGGAGAAAAUUUCAAAUCUUGAAAAUGCUUCUCAAAAUCUUAUUCAUUUGCCUUUGACUAUUUGCAAAAGAACUUUGAAAAUGAUUUACAAAAGAGUUUGCAAAAACAAAACAUGUGGUGCAAGCGUGGUCCAAAAUGUUAAAUAAGAAAGAAACGAUCCAUGCAUAUCUUGUAAGUACUUAUAUUGGCUCAAUUCCAAGCAACCUUCACACUUACAUUAUGCAAACUAGUUCAAUUAUGCACUUCCAUAUUUGCUUUGGUUUGUGUUGGCAUCAAUCACCAAAAAGGGGGAGAUUGAAAGGGAAUUAGGCUUACACCUAGUCCCUAAUUAAUUUUUGGUGGUUGAAUUGCCCAACACAAAUAAUUGGACUAACUAGUUUGCUCCAGUGUAUAAGUUUUACAGGUGUUAAAGGUUCACACUUAGCCAAUAAAAGACCAAGAGUUGGAUUCAACAAAAGAGCAAAGGGGUCAACCGAAGGCACCUCUGGUCUGGCGCACCGGACUGUCCGGUGCACCACCGGACAGUGUCCGGUGCACCAGAGGACUCCAACUCGAACUCGCUACCUUCGGGAAUUUCUCAGACCGGCGCGCUAUAAUUCACCGGACUGUCCGGUGUACACCGGACAGUGUCCGGUGCUCCAAGGAAGCGCGGCCUCCAGAACUCAGCAGCCUCGGGAACGCGCAGCAGCCGCUCCGCUAUAAUUCACCGGACAUGUCCGGUGUGCACCGGACUGUCCGGUGUAACAACGGAGCAACGGCUAUUUCGGCGCCAACGGCUACCUGCGGCGCAUUUAAUGCGCGCUGCGCGCGUGCAGAAGUCAGGCGCGCCCAUACUGGCACACCGGACAAUGAACAAGAAAUGUCCGGUGUGCACCGGACAUCUAGGCGGGCCCACAAGUCAGGAGCUCCAACGGUCAGAAUCCAACGGCAUUGGUGACAUGGCUGGGGCACCGGACUGUCCGGUGCGCCAUCGAACAGACAGCCUCCACCAACGGUCAAGUUUGGUGGUUGGGGCUAUAAAUACCCCAACCACCCCCACAUUCAUUGCAUCCAAGUUUUCCACUUCUCAACCACUUACAAGAGCUAGGCAUUCAAUUCUAGACACACCAAAAAGGAUCAAAUCCUCUCCAAUUCAACAAAAGGCUUUAGUGAUUAGCGAGAGAGAUUUGUCGUGUUCUUUUGAGCUCUUGCGCUUGGAUUGCUUCUUUUCUUUCUCACUUGCUCUUGUGAUCAACACUCAAUUGUAAUCAAGGCAAGAGGCACCAAUUGUGUGGUGGCCCUUGCGGGGAAGUUUUAUUCCCGGCCUUUGAUUUGAGAAGAGAAGCUCACUCGGUCCAAGGGACCGUUUGAGAGAGGGAAGGGUUGAAAGAGACCCGGCCUUUGUGGCCUCCUAAACGGGGAGUAGGUUUGCGAGAACCGAACCUCGGUAAAACAAAUCUGCGUGUCACACUCUUCAUUUGCUUGCGAUUUGUUUUGCGCCCUCUCUCGCGGACUCAUUUCCAUUUCUAACACUAACCCGGCUUGUAGUUGUGUUUAUAUUUGUAAAUUUCAGUUUUGCCCUAUUCACCCCCCCUCUAGGCGACUAUCAAUACCCAAUCCUAUCUAAUCUAUUAUGAUCAAACCUAAUGUGAGUCACUCAAACAUGAUUAGCUAAUGCUAAGGAAAUACAUUAGACCCUGCUCCUAUAAGCAAGUUUGAGAUCUUAGAUCAACUCGACCCUACCCAAUAACUUGACCUACAAAACAGGUUACAUAACUAAUCCCACCUAACAUAUAGCUACCCACUAAACCCUCUAUCCAUAUCUUACCUACAGAUCUAUCUUAACUUCUUGUCCCAAACCCGGAAGGAGACACCAAAGCUCAAGAAGGAAGAGAUCAAUUUCCUUAAAGAAGAAUAGGACUCAAGAUCCACAAUCUUGGAGGAAGUCUUUCCUUACCCUACUAAGCCAAUCCAUGCUCUAAAGACAAUUUUUUUUCACAUUGGGUGGCUAUACAUAUAUAUACCCAUGCUCUCCUAAUCACCCACUAAUGAAAAAAAAUCUUGAUUUUUGAACUGAUUAGAAACUAAAAGCUAAAUUGCAAACCACUCUUCCUAUAUCCUCUUUCUCACUAAUCUUGAGGACGAGAUUUCUGUUAAGGGGGGUAGAAUUUGUAACACCCAAACUAUUAUUUUGAGAGUUUAGUAAAACUCUCCAAAGAUUUUGAAUUAAAAUUUAUUUUUAUUAAAUGUUUUUAAUAAAAGGCGGAAUAAAGAGAUCCUCUUAUAAAUUAAGUUAUUUUUUUGUUGAACUAUAUAAGUACCCUAUAAAGGAUGUAAGUCUAAUCAUUUCGUAUAAAAAAACUACAUAGUAGAAAUUAUUUUCUUUCUAUUAAAUAAAUAGUUAAGACUAAAUUAAAUUUGCAUCAUGCUAAGGUUCAUUCGUGGCUUCAGUUAACUUUUGUGUAAAUUUCAAAACAGAUUUAAAUUUGUAAUUUGGAUUGAAUUAGAAAAGAAUUAAAAAAACAGAAACCACAUGCGCUCAGAUCGGACACGGAUCCUCUGACGUACUGCACCGUGCAGUUGGGUCACUGCGCGUGGGCCCUGUCGCACGCGGAGCCCACGCGGCAGUGGCCCAUGCAGUACUGCAGGGGAUCCCGAUCCGCUCAGAUCCAUCUUCCCAUUGGCCCAAUCACCUUUAACCCUUCAUGUAGCCCACGUCUCCUUGUUUUUUUUCUUCUUUUCUCAUUCUUUAUUCUGCCAGCCAAACGUUGCUUGUCUCAGUGAUACGUGGGACCAUGGAGUCAGCUCCAUCCCCUUCGCUGAUACCGCUUGACGAAAGUAGCUUCUCAGCCAUUGCAUGCGCGUCGUGCUUGGACGAAACCUGUAGCCAUGGAUCCACCCACGCGCACGUGUAACUGCAUGGUCGCCAACCGGCGGGACCCUGUGGACAGGCUCGCUCUGCUCCCACCUCGCGCACGGGGAGUUUCAGUGACUAGUGAACUCUAUUGUCAGGUAUCUCAUCUACCUCCAGUUCGCCCAUGGAGUAGAACACGAGAUCGACGGGAUCUAGCGCUAGACUUGAAUACGCCGCGACCCUACACUAAUAAACUAUGGAUCCGCCUCAUCAGCCGUAACCUGGAUUCAAAUCGCACAAAAUCUCUAGGACCACCAAAUCCGCCCCUGUCGUAGGUUUGUUACGAUUUGUGCGCAGAUUGUUACGACUCUGUUGUGCCGGUCGUGCAUGCCUCCUCCCGCCUCUUCCUAUAUAACCUAUCCGUGACCUUCCCCUCAAAGUACCAAAUCAAUCGAGGCCCGGUCGAUACAAACUCAAGACGCCGCCGCGCAUCAAACCUGCAGCCGCAGGAUGUCGACUCUGAUGUUGGCCGUAGGACUUCUUUGCGGCGUGGUCUGCAAUGUCUACGUCGUGUUCACCAGUAAGAACAUUCCCACUAGUUUCUCCUUUAUCUCUUCAUCGACUAGCACAACUCCACAUUAGGACCUGUGUGUCGUGGCUCUAGCACUGCUCUGCUCCGGCGUGUCGCCGCCACGGGUGGGAACUGCGCCGCCGUGGGUGGAACCGUGGCGUACCAUCGCUCGGGCUCUUGGGCAGAGAACUUCGCCGAACCCCAGUGAUUUGCUCGUAGACAUCUCGGAUGCAGAAACUACCUUGGCUCGCCCGGAUUUCUUGUCGUGGUUGGUGCCCCGCCGUUGACCCGCUGUGCCGUGUGGGCAACAUCGCUUCCGUCACCCUCGCCCACUUUGUCGUGCCCCGUACUGUGGCGACAUGGCCAAGUACCACCUCGGGCUUCAGCUACACGGCCACACCGAUGACAUUCGUGGCGUCUUUGUAUGCGGGGUGCUGGGCUCGUGACAUCAUGGGCGAACCAAGCAGCACCGCAGCGGCAAUGGAGGGCCAGCCGCUCCCUCUCGCUCCUCAGUCCUCGCCCAGCCGCCGUCAUUGUUGACCGAGCCGUGGCUGGCCUGGGUAUUGACGGAUUGAAUGGGAGGUGGGAGAAGCGCUCCUAGCCGUGCAUCUCGGAUCAAGGGCCAGAAUGGAUGUAGGCGUCCCAGGGAUCAUAUUAAAUCAGGACCGCGAAUUCGAGAUCCGACGGUUGUCGUCAGGUACCGAUUCAUAAAAGCCUAGAUCUAAUCCGGUCCAUUGAUGGGGGAUCGAACGACUGAGAGUAAUCGAUACCCCUUCACCCAGGAUUAUUUACAAAAGAGUCCCUGAAGUCUUCAUUAAUAAACCUGCAGUCUCGACUGUCGUGUGAAUCUAACGCAUGAGCCCUUGACUUCGCAAAUAACCCCCUGGUAAGUGUUUUUAGUAUAGAAUUGAUAUUAGAAGCAACCUAAAACUUGUGAGUUUUCUAUUAUUCUCGUUUUAACUCCGAUUUAGUCCGUUUCUGUUGCGUUAGCUUCAUAAUAUCAUUAUCUACGCAAUAACAACAAUAGUUUUAUCAUAACACAUAUUCUUAUAAUUAGUUAUUAUUUGAUCUCUGUUUAGUAGAUUAACCUUCCUAAUCAAAGCUAAUCUGCUUAUAAUUAUAAUUUGACUAAAAUAGACUUUUACUCAAGUUAUAACUUAACUAAAGUUGAAUUAGUUAUUUCUCUAAUAUCUUUCUUACAUGAUUUAUAGUAAACAACAUAGAAUAUGGUUUUAUUGUUUAAUCACCUAAAGCUUGAGAAACCAUAUCUUUUAACCGUAACUAUGAAUUUAGUGAUUCUUGAACCCACGAUCUCGUUACCAUGCGUGGAUCAUUAUUAUUUAGUUUGUGCUUAUGUUUGAUGUGAUGUUAAUUUUGCCUAUACCAUGUUUGUUUGUAUUGCUACGACUAGCGUGAGGUUACGAGUCACCUGAAGAUCAUCCUGGUACCUGGAAUCUCAAGUGCCAGGCAAGUUGUGCCCUUGAUCACUUCUUUUUACCCACUCAUGUUCUGAUUAAUCAUAAUGAUCUGCAUAGGUUAAUUUUGAUGGGACCCAAUAGGUUACCCUAGUUUGAUUAUCUUUAUACCUUGUUCACCACUGAAUUUCUGGGUAGUACAUGCUAUUGCUUUAUGUGGUUUUGGGUAUAGAGAUAUACUUUAUUCAUAAUCAUACUUUUAUUAUCAGUUGUUAUUUACUGUUCAUGAUAAGAUCAUUAUGUUAAUUAGAACAUGGAGAACCACCCGGAAAAACAGUGCUACCACAAGGGUUUAAUGGGACGCCCUUGGCUGAUUAAUUAGGAAAGCUAGUGGAAGACUACCUUACCCGAAAGGGGCAAGGGCAGUAGGGGAGUGGUCAGUGUAGGGAGGUCCUUGGGAUGAUUUUGCUGCGAUGGCGGUCAUGCGAGGGGUCCCUGCAUUGGAGCUUCCUAUAAACUGUAGCGGGGUUUCUGAAGCUAGUGGAACUUUGUAAAGGCCUCGUAGUGUUACCCUGCCUCGCCUCCUCGGUAGAGGUGUAUGGGAAGUCGCGAUCCCUUGGCAGAUGGGUAACAUGACUUGUGGGUAAAGAUGCGCAACCUCUGCAGAGUGUAAAACUGGUAUACUAGCCGUGCUCACGGUCAUGAGCAGCUCGGACCCUCACAUGAUUAAUUUAUGGAACUAAAUUCAAUUUGUCAUAUGCAUUGCAUCGCAGGUGAUGUUGUUACUUUUGUUCUACUACUUAAUUGGGUUGGUAUUUACUUAUACUUAGUAAUUGCUAAUAAAAUUUUGACCAACUUUAAAAGCAAUGCUCAGCUUCAACCAUCCUCUUUGGUAAGCCUUACACUUCACGUGAGCUCCCACCUUUAGCGAGUUCAUGCACAUUAUUCCCCACAACUUGUUGAGCUAUGAACGUAUGUGAGCUCACUCUUGCCGUCUCACCCCCCCCCCCACAGGUCAAGAACAUGUACCACAAGAUGAGGCGCAUGAAGGAUGUUGUGCUGUGUUCGUGAGAGGUCUAGGCUGUCGUCUCCCAGUCAACUUUGGGUUGCUGGACCAUUGUCUCCUUGUAAUGUAAUUAUUUAUUUUGUGCAGAACUCAUAAUAUGUAGUAAAGAUGUGACAUUCGAUCCUGUACCAUGAUUCAUCAUAUGUGUGAGACUUGGUCCCAGCACACCUAGUGAUUAUGUUCGCGCCCGGGCUUUGGUGCCCCGAAAUCCGGGUGUGACACAUUAUUAUGUGGCGUACCCGCAGUUUGAGGUGGCGGAGGAUGAUGAAGACGAGGGAGCCCUUCGGUGCGCUGCCCGCAUGAGUAGCGGGCGCAAUUUAGUGGAGGAAUUUAUCGGGUAUGGGGUAUGGCCCUUGGCGCAUGGUUGGGCGCUGGGCGAAGUAUGCCCUCGCGAGAUGCCUUCUCGCGGUGGGCAGCAGGUGCGAAGUCCAGCCUUCGCGUUGGAUUUGCACGGUCGGGAUCCCGCCGCAUUCGUGCGCGAAGCGGAAGACGGUGCGGCGAGGAUCGUGGGGCGCUAUGUGCCGAAGACAGAGGGUGUGCGGAGCUGGGAUAUCCGUGGGGCCAACGAUAGAUUGAAUCGGGUCUUCGAAUUGAACGGCUUGCCAUACGGUGGUUAUCCCGAGGAAGACGCCGUGGACCGCCGCGGGAAAGGGCCAGUGGCCGUGACUGAAGAAGACCCCUCGCAGGAGGCCGCCCCAUCCACUAAGAAGAGGAAAUUAGGUACUGCAGUGGGGGAACUAGGGGUUUCCGAUAGUUUUGCUAUGGAGUUGAUGGGGACGUGCGCAGCCCUCGGGGGAAGGAUGUCUUCCCCCGAGCUCCGCGAGUCUUCGGCGCGAAUGCUGGAGGUUACCGGGGGUCGAUGGCCCAAGAAUGUUCUGAUCCCCCACGCAGCUGGCGAAGACUUCUUUACGUCUUGCAUGGCUAAUGACUUGAAGGUGUUUCCUUACAGACGGAAUAUUGCUGUUGUUGUGUUGGCAAUGAUGAACAAGGACCGUCAAGACGCUGCGCAGAAGCGCCGGGCGGUCGUCAGGAGCGCAGAUCCUAAUCGUGAGGCGAAGAGGGCGCGGGGGAGCACGAAGGCUGCCGCCUCCAGCAGUAGCCAGCCAAUGCCGGCUGCGAAACCAGCCGUGCCCGGAUCCAGCAAGGCGUCGGCGAGCGCGAAGACUACCGCCUCCGGCGGAACCAAGCCUCCCCUAGGCGGAUCCACGAAAGGACGGGAGCUGCCUUCGCCGGGGAGACGUGUUGGCGACUUCGGCAUGGACAUCACUGUCAAGUAUUAUUUUGUUCGUAAGCUUUUUUUAGCUAGUUGUUUGACUGGUAAUAUGUUGCAGGGUCGGGUGAAGGGCAAUUGGUUGUUAUCCCGCCUUCGGCGGCAACCGCGUUGCCAACGACGGUGGUUGGGGCGAAGGGUGCCACGCGAGACCUGUGGGCCGCUUUCUGCGUGAGCGGCGAGAUUCUAUCAGCCGCUGUCGCCAAGGACGUGGCGGGCUCCAUGUCCCAGCGGCUGAGGGAGGCAUCACAGCAGCUGUCGUAGCAGCUGAAGCAAGUAAGUUGUGCUGGAGUUCGAUGUUUGUUGUUUGCUUGAGGUUUUGGGUCUCAUGUGCUUUUGUUAGGCGACCGACUUUGCCGACCACGUGGCGUCGGGUGUCCUGACAGCGGACGUGGCUGCCGAAGUCAAGAGACUUCGGGCGCAGCACGCGGAUGCCGUCUGGGAGAAGUCGGCUGCGGAAAGCAAAAACCGCAGGCUGGCGGAGAAAGUGGCUGCCUUGGAGGCCGAGAAGACGGACCUCCGGCGCUAGCUGGUGGAGGAGAGGAGGGAGGCGAACCAGGCCAUCGCUGAGGCGUAGGCUGCGCAAGCGGAGGCCAAAGUGGCGCGGGCGGAGAGCAGUCUCACCACUCAACGCGCCGAAGAGCUGGAGGCAAGGUUCAACGCCUUGCACGGCCGCGUGGACAAGGCCGAGGCCUCUACGCGCUCGGAAGUUGAGCGGACACAUGCACAGUUCGUGGACUCAUACCGCGAGCUGGGUGCGUGGAGUGCUGACUUCGAAGUACCCGACCAGGAAGCAGGUCUUCGCUUCUUCGAUUGGUUGUAGGAGGAGUUGCUGGUGCUCCCGACCAUUAUGGAGGGUUUCAUGUCCUUUGCCUCCCUCGUCACCUGUGAGGGGGCCAUGAAUGCGUUGUCCCGCGAGGGCUGCAGGCACUACGAGGUCUUCGACCAAUCAGACGAGAACUUUGAACGCGAGAUCUUCAAGGCCGAUGACCCUAUGGUGAAGCAGUCAGCGGGGGCACUUUUUGAUAGGAUGUGGGGUCCGCAUGGUUGGGAAGCGGUCAGGGAGCGAUCGGACCCGGCGAGAGAGCACGUGAAGGUCAUUUUUGGUGUGGUUGUGUGUGUGGGUAUGUGUGGUUUUUGCUGAGUGAAUGUGCUGUUGCUGCAGAUGGAGCGUGCCGAGGACGUCGAGGACUUUGGAUGUCUGGCCGGCACACCACCUGAGGCUGCGGAGGUAAAUCAGGUGCUGCCUUCGGAUGCUGGUGAAGGCCCCUCGGCUGUGCCCGUGCCUACUGUGGCCGGCGAAGACCCUGUGUCGGCCCCUGCGUCGACGGUCGAAGAUGCCUUGAAGGUGGUGGCUGAGCCGGCAGUCAAAGACCCCACGGCCGCGGCCGGGCCUUCGCAGGUGGCUAAAUAGGUGGGGGGGAGUUUGUAAAUUUUGUCUGGGUGUUACUGAACCUCGGUUGCUGCGCAGGUUCAGGGUUUUGGGCCUGCGCAUGCAACCGCUACUGACAAUGCUAGUUUUGUGGUGGCUUCGACCGUGGUUGCUGAAGACGAUUCUGAUGAUUCUGUGUCUAAGUUUUUUGAGUCUGAUGAUUCUGGGAUUUCGAUUGUGUGAACAGAGGAGUCUUCGGAUGAGGACUUGGACUAUUUUGCAGCAUUGGAUGUCGCUGCGGCGGAGACUUCUUUGCAUGUGAUGGGUGAUGAUAUUCCGGGUGCGAGUGCUGGGCAUAGGCGGCGAAGGGCGGUGGCGAAGCGGAGAGUGAGUGAGUUGUCGCGAAGUGAUAGGCGUCAUCAUGGUGAGGUGGAGGGUGGUCGUCUUCAUGUGGACGGGACUACCAAACGGGAAAUGUUGUCCUCGCCGGCUGGGGCGAGUGUAGGUGAGGGUGAGCUGCGAAAUCUUUUUGAGGGUGAGGAAUUGAGGAUAAUGUUGUUCAACUACAGGGAGAUGGGUAUCAUCUCGAAGGUUGAGCCAUUGUAAUGUGUGAUGCCCUCGCUGUGUGUAUGUAACUAUGAUUUGUAUGAUGAGGCUGCGUGCCUUCGUUGAUCCGGCCGUGCCCGUAGGCGGUUUGUGUUUGGGUGCUUUUGGGGGAGUCUUUGAUUUUGCGCGUUUGUUGAGUUAGUCCGGUUGCACCCGUAGGCGACUUUUGCACGGAUAAUCUUUUGGAGAAGACUUCGAUUUCGCGCACUUAUUGUGCUGUUCCGGCUGCACCCGUAGGCGACUUUUGCACGGAUAAUCAUUUGGAAAAGACUUAGAUUUUACGCACUUAUUGUGCUGUUCCGGCUGCACCCGUAGGCGACUUUUGCACGGAUAAUCUUUUGGAAAAGACUUCGAUUUUACGCACUUAUUGUGCUGUUCCGGCUGCACCCGUAGGCGACUGUUGCACGGAUAGUCUUUUGGAAAAGACUUCAAUUUUACGCACUUAUUGUGCUAUUCCGGCUGCACCCGUAGGCGACUUUUGCACGGAUAGUCUUUUGGAAAAGACUUCGAUUUUAUGCACUUAUUGUGCUAUUCCGGCUGCACCCGUAGGCAACUUUUGCACGGAUAGUCUUUUGGAAAAGACUUAGAUUUUACGCACUUAUUGUGCUAUUCCGGCUGCACCCGUAGGCGACUUUUGCGCGGAGUGUCGCACGCGAGGGUAGUAAACGCUGCCCCUCGCGGUGACUUUGGUGUGGUCGAAUGCCGAAGACCGUCGAUGCGAUCUUUUUCGACGUGUCUUAAUUUUUGCGGGGGAUUUUUAUGGGUAUAUUGCAUGGCUCCGCCUCAUUAAAAACCUCACCCCCCGGGAGGAAAAGAGUACGGGCCAGAAUGAUAGUGUUUGGUGAAUUACAAGGGCGUGAUGGCCCUGAGGAGUCAAACAAAAAAUUUGCGGAGAUUAUCUAUGUUCCAGGAAUGCUCCAGGUCUUCGCCAGAUUGUGUUGUUAGCCUGUACGCGUUGGGAGACGACUUCGUCUUGACGAUGAAUGGUCCUUCCCACUUCGGCUCCAGCUUACCUUGUGACUCUGUCCGGGUUGUUCGGACGAGUACGAGGUCCCUUCGUUGAAUUCUCUCGGGACGACUGCGUGGUCGCGCCAGGUCUUUGUUUGGACUUGGUAUUUAUUGAGGGCCUGCAGGGCGAAGACGCGGUCUCCGUCGAUGAGAUCUUUGGAGGUUAGCUCGUCUACGUCGGGUGCGGCUGAAGCGUUUGUCCUUGGGGACCCAUGCUUGAUUUCCUGCGGGGUCAUGGCCUCCGAGCCAUAUAGCAGGCGAAAGGGAGUGAAUCCGGUCGCCCGACACUCGGUCGUGUUCAGCGCCCAGACUGCUUCAGGUAGCAGGUCGGCCCAUUUACCCUUCUUGUCGUCGAGAAGCAUUUUCUUGAUCGCCGUGAAAAUCUUGCCGUUGGCGCGCUCCAUGAUGCCGUUGGAUUGUGGGUGAUAUAUUGAGGCGAAGGCAAGCUUGGUGCCAAUGGAGAAGCAGAAGUCCCUGAAGUCUUGGCUGUCAAAUUGUUUGCCAUUGUCAACUGUGAGCUCGGACGGGACUCCGAAUCGGCAAACAAUGCUUUGCCAGAAGAAUUUCUGGGCAGUCUUCGAUGUUAUCGUGGAUACUGCUCUUGCCUCGAUCCACUUGGUGAAAUACUCGACAGCGACGAAGGUGAACUUGAGGUUCCCUUGGGCCGUGGGUAGUGGCCCAACAAUGUCCAGGCCUUAGCGCUGAAGGGGCCACGCGUGGGCGAUUAGCUUUGUGAACUGUGAAGGGUUUCUCGAGCGUGGAGAAAACUUUUGGCAGGCUUCACAUGACCUUGUGACCCGAUUCGCGGCGCAGAUCAUAGCAGGCCAGUAUAAGCCUUGACGGAUCACCUUGGCAGCUAGGGCCCUAGGCCCCGCGUGAGAGCCGCAAGUUCCGCUGUGGACUUCGCGCAGGAUCUGGACGCCUUCGGUCUCGGUGAUGCAUUUAAGCAUGGGUUGACUGACCCCCUUCUUGUAAAGCUGUCCCUCAAUGAGAGCAAAGUCUCGGCUUCGGUGUUUGAGGCGCUUGGCCUCGUUGAUAUCGCUUGGAUGGUAAUAUCCCUGCAGGAACAUGGUUAUUGGUGCCUGCCAAUCUUCGGUCAUGAUGAGGUUGACUAUGCGGUGGCCCUCGGUGUCGUUGGUUAUUUGGAGGCCCUCUGGGCUGCGAACCGCUGGCGUGCCGAUGACAUGGUAGAAUACGUCGGAGGGCAGGGCCUCGCCUCUGGCGGCUGCCUUGGCCAAUGCAUCGGCCUCCUUGUUCUUGGCUCGGUCCAUGUGCUGCAAGGUAAAGCCCUUGAACUGUCUCUCGAGACUGUGGACAACCGCGAGAUACUGCAUAAGUGUGGGGUCCUUCGCUGUGUAAUCUUUCUCUACUUGGCCGGCAACUACUUUGGAGUCUGUUCUGAUUAUGCAGGUAGUGACACCAAGUGCCCAUAGCUUGCGAUGGCCGAGGAUGACAACUUCGUACUCUGCUACGUUGUUGGUGCAUCUGUCGGACUUCAAAGCAAAGCUGAGACGUGCUGCAUAUCUGUGCUUGACCCCUGUGGGUGAAGUAAUGACUGCCGCUGCGCCUGCCCCCGCAUGGCACCAUGCGCCAUCGCAGUGGAUGGUCCACACCUUCUCUGCAGACGUGUCCGGCUGCAUUAUUGGCCCGGUCCAGUCGACGAUGAAGUCUGCCAGGACUUGUGACUUGAUGGCUGUCCUGGGCUCGAAGGUGAUAUGGUAGCCAAAAAGCUCGGCUGCCCAUUUGGCGAUCCAGACAGAUGCCUCCAGAUUUCUGAAUAAUUCAUCGAGUCCCCUAUCCGAGGUGACCCGCACCUUGAACGCUUCAAAAUAGUGGCGCAACUUGCGCGAAGCCAUAACGACUGUGUAGGCGAUUUUUUCCAGUUCCGUCAUGUUGCAUUUGGAUGUCGUGAGUACUUCGGAGACAUAAUAGACUGGACACUGCCUGGUCGUGCCCUCUCUGUCCUGUUCUUAAACCAGCGCUGCGCUGACCGCGUGUGGCGAAGCUACAACGUAGAGCAACAGGGGUAGCGAGGGGUUGGGGCUUGUAAGAAUUGCCAGCUCUAACAGGUGCUGCUUUAGUGAUGCGAAGGGCGCCGCUUGCUCUGGUCCCCAUGCAAAGUCCUUCGCGUCGCGUAGCGUUUUGAGUAAAGGUAGGCUUCGCUCGGUGGACUUGGAAAUGAAUCUAUUGAGGGUGGCCAAUCUGCCUGUCAGUCAUUAGACGUCUCUGGCUAACUACGGGGGCAUCAUGUUGAUGAUAGCCUAGAUCAUGGUCGGGUUGGCUUCGAUCCCGCGGUGCGACACCAGGUAGCCUAGUAUCUUCCCCUGGCGAACGCCGAAGACACACUUUUCGGGGUUUAGGCGAAGUUGUGCGUCCCGCAUGUUCGCGAAUGUUUCUGCGAGGUCAGCCAGAUGGUCCUCUUUGCUUUUGCUGGCGACGACGAUGUCGUCCACAUACGUAAAUAUGUUUCUGCCGACUUGGCUCUCGAGCACUGUCUUGGUGAGGCGAGAGAACGUGGACCCAACGUUCUUUAGUCCCUCCGGCAUUCUGAUGAAGCAGUACGUGCCGAAGGGUUUUAUGAAACUAGUGCUGGCCUUGUCUUCCUCCUUCAUAUAUAUCUGGUGAUAGUCGGAGAAGCAGUCAAGGAGUGACAUGACUUCGCACUCGGUCGCGCUAUCGAUGAUCUUGUCGAUCCGAGGCAGAGGGAAAUUAUCCUUGGGGCAGGCCUUGUUGAGGCUGGUGAAAUCAAUGCACAUCCGCCACUUGCCGCUCUUCUUUUGCACCAUGACUACGUUGGCGAGCCACGUAGGGUAGGCGACUGGUUCAAUGAAAUUGGCCUCAAGCAGGCGGUGUACCUCGGCCUUGGCGGCUUCUGUCUUCUCAUCAGACAUUUUGCGCAGCCUCUGCUUCUUCGGCCUCACCAAAGGGUCGAUGCUCAAGUUGUGCUCAAUAAUGGUGCGACUGACUCCGACCAGGUCGAGGGCGGACCAGGUGAAGACGUCCUUAUUUUUGGAAAGACAGGAGAUGAGUCUCUCCUCGUCAUGCGAAGUAAGGUCUUCGCUUAUGAUGACCGUUUGCUUGGGUGUUGCCUAGUCAAGGGGAACUGUCUUCGUCCCAUCGUUGCUCUGCAGCUGUGCCUUUUCGUGCUCGUUGGCAGUUGGGCAGGUAGCCUCGGGGACCUCGCGCUGCGCCGUGAGGCGGUGUACGUUCCUUUGUCCUGGAACGAAGUCUCUUUCUAUGUUGCGCGCGGCCUGCUGGUUGCCAUGUACUGUGAUCGCGCCUUGCGGACCCGGGAUUUUCAUGCACAGGUAAAGUCCGUGAAUGGCUGCCUCAAACUUGUUGAUGGAGCCCCGACCCAUUAUGGCGUUGUACGGGUACACCAUGUCGACGAUGUCGAAAGUGACCUGCUCACUUCGUGCAUUGGGUGCUACACCGAAGGAUAGGGGUAGCUCUAUUUUGCCCAUAGGGAAGGUGCCCUUGCCGCCGAAGCCAUAUAAGGGGUUGUCCAAAGGUUUUAGCAAGUUGUGGCUGAUGCCCAUGCGGUUGAAGGCGUGGAGGAAAAUGAUGUCCGCCUGGCUGCCGUUGUCAACUAAGACUUUGUGUUGGUCCUAGCCUGCCACGCUGCAGUUGAUGACCAUGGCGUCGAUGUGGGGUGCGCUGCACAGGUCGACAUCUCUGGCGUCGAAGGUCAACGGCACAUGGGGCCACUUUGUAUGCACGACUGGACCGGUGACGGCGACGUGGUUGACGCUGCGGUAGUGGUCCCUCUUCUGUCGCUUCGUGUCGAAGUCAACGCUGGACCCCCCAGUGAUCAUGUGGAUGACUCCGCGAUACGGCUGAUCCGCGAAGUCUUCUUGUUUUGGUGCUUGGGGGUGGUUUGGGUGGUGGAUGUUUGGCUGUUGCGGGUGUGGAGGUGGGGGUGGGGGAGGUACAAUUUGUACCUUCUAGUGGUGUUGGUAUGUGUGGUUAGGUGGAUGUUGUGCGGGUCCGUGGUUGUAUGGUUGUGGGAGUUGUUGAUAUGUGUGCGCGACAACUCUUGGGUUGUCGGCUAGUUGCGCCUAAGACAUCCUGUCCCUGGUGGCCUUCGUUUCCGGGCAGUCCCUUGUUGGGUGCGCACAGUCUUCGCCGUGAAACAAGCAGUAAAAUCGGCGCGGCUGUUGCGCCCGUCCUCGGCCCCGACCACGAGUUCCAUUGCCGCAGCCCUGGGGGGAUAAUCUUGGCGGCGAGGGGCCUCACCAGUGGGGUGUUGGUUGGCGAUGUUAUGUACCUGCUGCUGACUACGGCCGUCCCGACCGGAGUCUGACUGCGAAGGUCUCGUCCACGUUCGGCUGGAAUGUGGAGGGUCCUUGGGUUUCCUCUGGGACUCGACCUUGCGCUGGUGGAGCCCUUCAGAUCUGGCAUAUUUUUUGAACAGCUGAUACAGCUCCUGGAGGUUCUUGGGUGGAUCCCUGAUGCAGUGGUUGUAAAGGACGCCAGCCCAAAGGUCGCUGAUGGCGUAGUGAAUGGCGAUUUGGUCAUCAACCGAAGACAGUUGUGACUUGAGAGUCAGAAACUUGUGAUAGUACUCCGGCAGAGUUUCUCUCUCCAGCUGCUUGCAGAGUGACAAUUCGGCCAAGGCAUCGGUGUCUGGGCGGUACCCUUGGAAGUUGAGCAGAAAUUUGUCCCGGAGACUUCUCCAGGAGUCAAUGGACAAUGGGGGCAACCGCGUGUACCAGGUUAGGGCUGGACCCUCGAGGGCGAUGAUGAAGGACUUGGCCAUCGUGGCGUCGUCCCCUCCGGAUGAUGCGACAGCGACUUGAUAGCUCAUGAUGUACUGUGCUGGGUCGGUGCUGCCGUUAUACAUGGGGUAAGUCCCUGCCCUGAAGUUGGCGGGCCAAGGUGACACCUGCAGUUGCGGCGCCAGGGGGCUCUGCUCAUCAAGGUAAUUGAUGCCUUGGAAAGCGGCGGCGUGCGGGAUGAAGGGUCUGCGCUGAGGAACGAAUAGGUCUCCGACUAGCGCGCGAUGCUGGAAGGGCGGGCCGUGCUGCAGAUCAUGUUGGCCUUCGCGCUGCAUGAGCGCAAUCUCCUACUCAAGUUCUUGAGCCCUUUGCUCCUCAUCUCGUAUCAUUUGGCGCACCUUGUCCUGCACAGAGACACAUUGGCGCUUGGCCUCGAGGAUUUCCUUCUGCUUCUGGAGGUUACGGUUUUUGAGGCGCAUGGCCCGUAGCUGUAGCUAUUCUUCUAUGGAGACGCCGAGGACCUCGUCGUCCUUUGCUGCGUCCUCGCCCUCUGGUGGUUCGAAGCCUAGGGGUGGCGCUUGUGGCUGUCCUUCGGAGCUGUAGGUGCGGAGGGUGCCUUCUGGAGUGUGUUGGUCGUUGCGCUGUCUCUUACUAUGUGCUUCGUCUUCGCCAGCUCCUUGGUGGGUGUUGUCGGCGAGGGCCUUGCCCUUUUCUCAGCUAGCAGUGCUGCCUUCGCUGCUUCGUCGACGGAUGGGGCUGCCUUCGAGUUAGCUCUUUUGGGUGCCAUCGCGGGUGGCUUUCUCGUAGCACGAACGGUGGGCGCCAAUGUUGGAGCUUGCGCUCCCGUGCAAGCUGAUUCCAACAGGGGAGUGAGAGAGAAGUGAACAUGGUUUAACUCGAGGCGGCAAUUGCUCUGUUAACCUAGCCUCUCAAGGGCACUGUACAGGGGUAUUUAUAGGUGCCUGAGUGCCCAACGUCUCAAUGUAAGGACGCAUGUACCCUCAGGCACCCGGUCUAUCCCCGAAAUAUUCCUAUAAAGGAGGGUUACAGACUGUCAUUACAGAAAAGCUAUUACAAAUCGGGCCCGUAACACACUUAUCCGUGCGGGGCCCGUUACAAUGGGCCGAAUCCCACGUGGGCCUCCAGGUGGAGUGAGGACAUGGGACGGGGCGACGUCGCCGUAGGCCUUCGUCUUGUAAUGUAGAAGACGAAGGGUGGACCUCACCGGUCGUUCUGCUUCCUGUCGGCGUAGCGAGAUAGACUAAGGCUGGAGCGAAGGGUAGCGUCUUCGCCUUCGCCCCAACAUAUGUAUCCUAUCCGAACCUAAAGAGAAAAUAUGAAAAUAAACACAGAACCAUAAUAUCCAUCCAUAUUACACGGUUUCCGGUGGUUCCUGAGCGCGGAUGCGAAAACAGGUGACACAGAGAUGAGCAUGUCCCGGAUACGACUAGAGAUGGCCAAACGGACCUUCCGACCCGUUUUGGGCCCGGCCGGCUAGGUACGGUUAGUAAACCGGGCCGGACCGUCUAAGCCCGUGGACUCGUUUUUCUGUUCGAGCUCGGCCCGCUGUAGGCCUAAACGGAUCGGGCCGACCUGGUAAGCACAGAAAAAGCGGGCUAAACGGGCCGGUAAGCACGGUUUAGUGCAAAAAAGCGGGCUUGACGGGGCUUAGAGGUAAACGGACCGUGCCAGGCUAGCCCGCCGUGCUUAAUUUCCUGUCCGAGUCCGGCCCACUUAUUCGUGACAGAAUUGACCGAGCUCACAACCUGAAUCACCACCGUACCUGCUAGCGACACAGCAGGUCCAAAUCCAAACAACCUGUUCAUUUGUGGAGGGACACCCAAUGCAACAUGCAAAACAACAACAAAAUCUUGCUUAUUGGCGCCUGAUGAUUUAUUUUAUUCCAUCUCGACUGGGAAGGGACACCCAAUCAAACAUACAAAACAACAACAAGAGCUAGCUUAUUGGUGUGGCUGCCUGCUUGUAGCAAGGCGGACGGACGGAGGAACAUGGAAGGAUCCAUCGGCUGUGCCGCUGUGGCGCGCGGCCAUGGUGGAAUUGGAUGAGUCUCUAGUGGAUCUUGCAGCCGCAGUUUUCGGGGAGGAAGUCGCGGCACCUGUACUUGAUGGCCCCCUUGUCCGUGGACACGGGGACGCAGUUCUUGCAGGUGGCGGCGCACUUGGUGAGGAGGUCGUCGCAGGUCCACACGCCCGACCAGCUGGUGCACUCGCCGCACCAGCACUGCUUCUUCGUCGUCGGCCCUGCGCGCAGCAGCAUGAUGCGUACUUGCUUUAUUUCGUCACACCCCGCACACAUAUAUAUACGCGAAGAUGAACUGUAUACAAACGAGCUAGCAGCGUCCAAUCAAGCUAGUAGCCAGCUAGAUGAAAUCUCGGCAAGCACGACGUACCUGCAGGUCCUUUGGCCACGGCCGCAGAGACCAGAAGGGCCUGGAGAACUAGGAUCGCCAACAGAGUGCUGCUCUUCAUCUUCUC